rnacentral:lncRNA from 1 species
UAUAACUUCAAACUCUUUUUCAACAUAUAUAUGGCAGUAUCAAGUUAGAGAAGUUGGCUGUUAUGAGAGUGAGAGCAAUUCUUGGCUGCAUCAUCGUACAUGAAUGGUUGACGUACUUUAGAGCUCACAUGAUUACAUAAAGAAGUCACAUCUCGUAUGACUGUAUGUAACAACUGGUACCAAUUGUAGGUAGAAAAGAGAUCAAACAGUACAGAAACUGAAGGAAAUGGGUAAAAUCCAAUGUGGCUUUACCCUUCCCCAGGUCAUAUGUGUUCUUUACUGAGAAAGGAAAAAACAAUGUGUGACAAAUGGCAGGCUUUUGAGAGACCUGACCCUCUCCUAGUCUGAUUCUAAUCCCAACAAUCUGAAUGCCCUCCUCAGCAUUUUGUCACCUCCCAAUAUACUCCCCAACUCUCUUUUCUAACAAAAUUAUUUCACUACCCUUCCCCACCAGUCUUGCCGCCCAGAGUUACCAGUUCCUCGGGCCCAUAUUGCGCUCCCCUCCUCCCCGUCCUGAGCAUUUUGUUUUCCCACAACCGAGAUUUACUCAUUUCAUUCUCACCAUUAACCAUUUUAUCACUUUCCCUGCGUGUGUUUGUCUGCAUAUAUUUUGUUUUGAAUGUGUUAACUUUGUAAAUUACACAAAAUUAUUGGAUUGUUUUCUCAAUUUUCCUUCCCCCCGGCUUUGGGUGUUGAAGAAUUUACGAGGGUGUGAUCCACAAGGGCGAGUUUAUUAUUAAUGUAAACACCGGCAAGAAGAUCAAGGUAAAAUCUAAGGCUUUUUGUGAUUGUGUUAUUCAUGGGCAUAUGUGCAACUGAAUCCUGGAAUUUUUUUUGGCUAAUGCUAUGCUAUAAAUCAUAGGUGUAACUCUCAAGAUUUUUCCAAACACAACUUUGCAGUAGUGUUUUGUUGAAAUCUUCAGCUUUUUAUUAUUUCCUUUAGAUUUCAUCUUGGGAAGAGUAAUAAAUUACAUGACAUAAGAUUAUAGCAAUUAUUCAAUUUUAAUCUACCCUGGGUUCAUGAAUUUCUUUAAAACUAUGCACCAAAAUUUUGUUGUUGUGCUACCAGUGAUGUAAUAUUUUCACUAGUUAGAUCAUUAGGUCUGUGCUUUCAUGUAUUGCAUUUCAAAAUUAGAAUGAAUUUUUGGCUAAAUGUUUUUCUUAAUGGAUGCAGGUUCCUCGCUUAGUUAGGAUGCAUUCUGAUGAGAUGGAGGUUAGGUUUUGGAUUUACAGUAUUACUGGCGGAUUUUCAUGUUGUUGGUAUUUUUUUCUCAUUAUUUUUUUAUGGUAAAGAGGAACUCUUAUCCCCUUGUCCUACCCAGUUUGUUUAGUUUUCUCUUCAUAUUAAAAAAAGUCUUCUUUUAUCAAGAAAAAACAAAAAAGAAAAGAAAAGAAAAGAAAAAGAAACUUUUGUUGGGUAGGUUAUAGGCUAUUGUUUUUGCUAUAGAGUAACUUGGUAGGGGUACCUUUCCCUGCUUGAUUUGUUACGAAGACUGUUUAAUAUAUUUCAAUAAUUAAAUAUAUUUAAUAUUCAAUUAGGAUUUUAUCCAAAUUGCAGGACAUUCAAGAGGCUCAUGCAGGGCAAAUAUUGAUUUCUGGAAUCCUAUAUUGUACCUUUAUUUAUUCAAGAUUUAAUUAAGGGUCUUGUUAACAAGUGUUAAGGCACUUACUAAGAAUACUAUAAGAACAAGUAAAUGUUAAUUUUUUUUUUUAAUUUUUCUGUGCACUUAAUGCAAACCAAAACUUUUCUAUUUUCUCUCUUAACCAAUGCCCAUAGGAAACUCUCAAGUUAAAUCUUUUAAAUUAAUUUGUAAGGCUCUAAUUGUAUAGUUUAAUCAAUUUUUUAGGCUUAAUUACUGUCAAUCCUUCUCAACAGCUGUUAAACAUUCUGAAUUUCUGAUAAUUGAGUCUUUUGUUGUUAGCAGUCUCUGCCUAUUGAUGUAGAGAAUGAAUUGCACUCAAUUUUGAACUUAAUCUUGUAGUAAUAUGUUGCCUAAGUUAGUUUAUAUUGGCCUUAAUACAUGAUUACUUGUCUAGCUUUUUUCCAUCCAUUGGUUAUUAGGAGAUACUUUUACCGAUGUAUCAGUUAAAUACACAAUGACUUCCAUGAAUGUUCCUGAACCUGUAAUGUCAUUAGCUGUACAGCCAGUUUCAAAAGAUUCUGGAGGGCAAGUAAGUAGUUUCUUUAUGUAACACACUGACCACCCUGUCCCAGCUUAUCAUGUAUUUGAUUUUCUUGGUAUAUCACUUGCAGUUUUCAAAAGCUUUGAAUCGCUUCUAGAAAGAGGAUCCUACAUUCCGUGUUGGUUUAGACCCAGAGAGUGGGCAGGUAAUGUUCUAUUCUAUUUAUCUAGAUCAUAAAAGUGGCAAAUUUGUUGUACUUGCAAUGACAUAGUUUACCUUUGUUGUUAGACUAUCAUUUCUGGAAUGGGAGAACUACAUUUAGAUAUUUAUGUUGAACGUAUUCGGAGAGAGUAUAAGGUACCUAUUCCUUUCCCAUGCAUUAAUGUUAAUCCUUGCUGAUACUGGUUUUAUAUUUCCUGCUUCUGGAGUUUCAUUAUUAUGUUCCUACUUGUUAAGGUUGAUGCAACUAUUGGAAAGCCCCAUGUAAACUUCAGAGAAACUGUUACACAACGUGCUGAUUUUGAUUAUUUACACAAGAAGCAAUCUGGAGGGCAAGGUCAAUAUGGACGGGUAAUCGGGUAUGUAUCGGUAAUUUUUAUAUUAGUUACCAUAUCCAUGUGUAUAAAUAUCCUUUUUCUUUUCUCAAUAAAAGUGUAAUAAUCCUUAGAUUUAAAACAAAUUGGAUAAAGCCUUCUUCUCUUUGCUGUGGUUCUGGUUCUGGGCUAAUGGCUUCCGUAUAAAGUAUAUCUUACUUUAUGAUAGCAGCUGAUUGUGAAUUUGUGAUGUUCCAACUUAUCCCUAAUCACCUUUUGUUUCUUGAUGCUUAGUGAAUUCACUAUGUUCUAUGUUUGCAGGUAUAUUGAACCACUUCGGGCAGGAUCACCAACUAAAUUCGAAUUUGAAAACCUCCUUGUUGGGCAAGCUAUUCCAUCAGGUUUUAUCCCUGCAAUUGAAAAAGGUUUUAAGGAAGCCGCCAACUCGUGAGUGAAAUUUUCAUCAUUGCUUAUUUGUGAUUUCUACUUUAAGUCUAAUUGUUGUUCAACAUAUAUUAUCUUAUUCCCCAUGAAUGUAAUAAAGACCACCGAAAAAUGUAAUGAUGGAAUAAGUGAGCAUUCAAAAGUAAUUUAUGGGGACUAAGAAUGUAAUAUUGAGGAAGCCAAAGUUCAUUCAUAGGCAUAUUUACGAAACAUCAAUUUUAUUAUGCGAUUCAGCCAUGAUAGUAUUACAAUACUCAUUUUAUGGUAACGUAAUGUUGCUUUCAUACAGGGGGGCUUUAAUUGGACAUCCUGUUGAAAAUCUUAGAGUUGUCUUGACAGAUGGUGCUACUCAUGCCGUUGAUUCUAGUGAACUUGCAUUUAAGUUGGCUUCUAUCUAUGCUUUCAGACAGGUUCUUUACAAUUCCGCAUCCAUAUUCAUAACAUUGCACAUAUCAUCCUGAUAAUAUUGUCCAUAGUUUUGUUCUCAUAGUAAUGACCAUAUUCUUUGAUAUUUGUAUCAGUGCUAUACAGCUUCCAGGCCAUUUAUAUUAGAACUUGUUAUGCUUGUUGAGCUGAAAGUACCAACAGAAUUCCAAGGAGCUGUUGCUGGUGACAUUAACAAGUGGGGUUCUUAUUUUAUUCUAUCCUUGUUUCUCUUUUCAAAUGGUUUAUUUAUGAUAUUGGUUUAUUUAUGAUAUUUUUAUCUAUGGUAUUGGUUUAUGAUACUGGUUUAUUUUAUUCUAUCUUUGAUAUUGGUUUAUUUAUGAUAUUUUUAUCUAUGGUAUUGGUUUAUGAUACUGGUUUAUUUUAUUCUAUCUUUGAUAUUGGUUUAUUUAUGAUAUUUUUAUCUAUGGUAUACGAUGUCAGAUUUUUUUUUUUUAUUAAAUUUUAAUUUAGGUUAAGAGUUUUUAAGUCAUCUUAAUUAGUGGCUAGAAAAACUGACAGAAUGCUUUUUGAAAAAACUGACAAAACCUAUGCUUUGCCUCUGAUACCACUUUUAGACGGUGAUUAUAAUGUGAAAAAGGUUAAUGAACUCCUCAAUUUUUAGAUUUAUAUACACUAAUUAAUUAUUACUCAUAAUUAUAAUAUAUAAUAAAGAAGAACAUGAUGAGUCCUAAUUGAUCUUAAUUAAUUCUAGUAUAUCCUAAUCGAUACAUAAACACACUUUAAUAUAAUAUUAAUCAUAGUUAUCAGAACCAAAUGACCAGGUGACCCGAUUACUGAAUCAACUGGUGGGUCACUGGUUUAUCCGGUUGAUCCGGUCAUAAUUUAAAAAAUAUAAAUUAUAUAAAUAAAAUUAAAAUUACAUACUAAAACUUAAAAUGUAAGUCUUUACAAAUAUAAUAAUAAUCAAAUGUUAAUUUUUAGACAACUAAUGAUGCAAAAAAAGAUAAUAAAUUAAUUUUUAAUACAAAAUAUUUUUUCUAUUUAAAUAAACAAGAACAAGCAAAAGAUAACAUAAUUGAUAAUCAAGUCCAAGUGAUCUUAAAAUCGAAAUUUAUAUCUUCAUAGGAUAAAUUUGGAGCUUGAUCAACAUUUUUCUCAUUUUGAUUUGCAUCUAUAUCUUUCAUAAGAAACACUGUAUUAUGAUGCAGAACAUCAGAAUAAGAGAAAGAAGAGUUUGAAGAGAGAGAUACAAGAAACUAGUUGCAUUGUAUGAUAACUAUGAUAACUUUCAGGGAGCAACAAAAAUAUAAACUAUGAUAACUUUCAGGCAGCAACAAAAAAAAAAACAAGAAAAUUGAAACAGAAAGAACAGGGGGAAUUCAUUAACAAAUUCAAGGUUCAUGAUAAUCAGUAACAAAUUUCAGCAACACAUUCGGUUUUCAGCAACAAAAUUAAAACAGAAAGAACAGGGGGAACUCACCAAAUCGGGUUGCACAAAGGAAUCUGACGGCGAAGGAGAAGCUGAUGGCAAGGGAGAAGCUAACGGCAAGGCUCGAAGCAAGAAGACGACAACGAAGACCAGUCCACCGGGACCUGUUGCCUCUAUUACCGGGGACGAAGAGCGCAGGGAAGGGAGAGAUCGAGACCAGGUGCGAGACAGAGACCGUGAGAAGCAAGAAGAUGACCACCACCACUACCCGAGGGACCAGAUGCGGUUCCGUCUGCUUCUGCCGCCAACGAAGCGAACACCGGGGCACGGGACCGCGACGACGACCAAGGUGAGUGGACGAGGUGAGAGACUGAGAGAGCGACGAGGUGAGGCCGUGAGAGACUGAGAGUGACGACUGUCGAGGUGAGGGGAGAGACGAGAAAGGGACUACUGAGUAUUGAGUUCCGACUGCCGAGCUAGAGAUGGAGAGAUCACAGAGACUGGCUGGAUUAGGGGGGUUUUACUUAGACUCUCAGAGUCAAGAGUCUCAGAUUUGGCAUUUAAGCAUAGGGUUUCAUCUAAAGGGAAAGGUUAGGAGGGGGGUUAUGAAAGGACGCCGUUUCAAGUAUUAGGAAGAAAAAAAAAUAAGAACGACCCGAAUCGGGUUAAAUUAACCGGCCGGGUCAUUGGAUUUCACGAAAACCCGUUUGGUCGAACCGGGUUCGACCGGGUCUGUUGCACAACCAGUUCAACGAGUGGCUUGGCCCGACCAAGUAACGAAGUGACCGAAUUUUCGGUCGAACCGGCCAGGUCAAGCCGGAUUUGAUAACUAUGUCUACAAUAGACCACAAAUAGAGAUACAAAUAUCCUACACAAUAUAAUUUGCAACAUCCAUGUACAGGUCUCCAACAUUCAUUAAAAGUUUUCAACUAUCGUCAUUUUGAUCUACAUUAUUACUUAAUAGACCAAAAAUUACAACAGGUGGAUAGCUUUUUGUCAUCUCCCAAAGCAAUCACUCGAUAUUUCCUCACAACAUCCUUCAUUAUUUUUCCUCCAUCUUAUGUUAUAUGUCCAUUCCCUUUGUAGCAUUUAGUAACAUGAUACAUAUAUAGAGAUAUCUUUUAGUCAUCACAAUAUGUUUUUAGAUGCCCUUUAUAUCAAUGCAUAUCUCAACUUUGCUUUCUUCCUUCUUUCUUUCUCUUUUUAUUUCUUUCUCUCUUUUUGCUUAACUCAUUUUCUUCCUUGACAUCUUUUGAUUGUAAAUUAUUAAUUUUUUUUAAUCCAAAAUGGGACAAAGUGAUCCCAGAGAUUGUGUUUCUUGAACUUCUCAACUUUUUUAAUGAAUAAUAACAUUCUGUGUGAUCUGAUAUAUUUCAAUUAACAAAUUAACAUAGACAAUAAUAAAAGACAGAAAUAUGGUUGGUCUAACAAGCAGUCAUCAAUUGCAUAACCAAAAAAGAGUCGCAUUCCGUGAAUAAAGGAUAAAUUGAGAAUCGCAAACAAUCAUAUGCAAGACACUUAUUAAAUUGUAUUUAAUGAAGAUCGAUUAGUGAACCUAAAUGGUAAGCAAAACAGAAGCAAACUAAGGCCUUCAUUCUUCCAUUUGUCUUUAAUUAAAUUCAAAUGACAAGCAAAUUAAGUCCCUAAAAUGUUAACUAGUUCAUUCUUUUAUAAAGCAGCAAGGUUUAAUCAUACACAAGCAAAUUAAGCCUCUAUUUGGGAAGAACACAUCACAAAUAUUAAAAAGCUCUAACUAAAUUGAAUAAAGUUUAAUCACACUGUAUUUUCAUCUCAUAAAGAGGCAACCCAGAACCAACCUAAUAAAAAAGAUAGAUGAACAAAGAAAUUUAAAAAUUGAACUAAUCCAUAUUCUUAACUAAUCAAGUCAUCAAUAUUCAAUAAUCAAUUAAUCAAAAAUCAAGAGAUGCACAGAAAAGUAGAAGAAAAAAUACGUCAUCAAUGUCCAUUUUAUUAAGCAAAUUCUAGUGCCAAAGCUCUAUCAUUCGAGAAAAUGACACAAAACAAUCAUACAAAAUACCAUAGUUUAAAAAUAAAUAAAUUCAAUUCACAGAGCAAGAGGAAAAAAUAUUUAGAUAAAAUCAAACAAGAGACACAAAUUUAGGUUCCAAAUUGAGAAAUGACAACAAAUAGAAGAUAAAGAAGGAGAACGCAUACCUAAUUUUCUGAAGGAAGGAGACGUUCGUUGCAGUGCUGGUAGCAGAGUUUGCAGGCGGCGGCGGAGCCUGCUAGUGGAUAGAAUAGCGGCGGUGUGCGUAGAGAAAGCAAAAGGUAAGGUUAGAGAGGGAGUACAGAGUAGAGAGCACAGCAGCAGCGAAGAGAGGAGAAGUGAGCAGAUCGGCAUCGAGCUCAAAGGUUGCAGCCUCAACAGCAAUAGUAACAGUGUACAAUGAAGAAAUCAGAGGGAUGCUGGAGAAAGAAGUGGCUGCCGUUCUGGUCUACGACAGGGUGGGAGACUGAGGGGCUAUGGAAGAAGAAUAUUGGAGAUUCGAAAGUAGUGGGUAUUGUUGGGUAAGCAAAGAGAAAAUGGAAUGUCAUAGUUGUUGGGGUAUUUUUUGGAGUGUUUGUCACUCAUGUAUUAAUUUGAAAUCUUUAGAUUUUUUAUUUUUGUUAAUAGUUUAUNAUAUUAUAAAAAUAUGUUAUAGGUGUGUAUUAAACCAAAGAUCUCUCACUUAGUGCAAAACCCUAAAAAAUACCCUAAAAAAUCCUAGAAAACUCCUAAAAACUCCUAAAAAAAAUUCUAAAGAAUUCUGGAAAACCCUAGAAAACCCUAAAAAACCCUAGAAAACUCUAGAUAACCCUAGAAAACUUUAGAAAAACCCUAAAAAAUCCUAAAAAAAUCUAAGUACCCUAACAAACCCUAGAAAAUCCUAGAAAAUCCAAGAAAAACCCCUAAAAAAUCCUAGAAAAUCUUAGAAAAUCCUACAAACCCUAGAAAAUCCUAAAAAUUCUAAAAAAACACUUGAAAAAUCCUAGAAAACCCUACAAAACCCUAGAAAUUCCUAGAUAACCCUAGAAAACUUUAGAAAAACCCUUGAAAACCCUAGAAAACAAUAGAAAAAUCCUAGAAAACCUUAGAAAAAUCUAGAAAAUCCUAGAAAAACCCUAAAAAUCCUAAAAACCAUAAAAAAUAUAAAAAAAAACACUAAAAAUCCUAGAAAAUUUUAGAAAACCCUUGAAAACAACCUAGAAAACUUUAGAAAACCCUAGAAAACCCUAGAAAAAUCCUAGAAAACCCUAAAUAACACUAGAAAAUCUUUGAAAACCCUAGAAAACCCUAGAUAACCCUAAAAAUCAUAAAAAAUCCUAGAAAAAACCAUAAAAAAUCCUAGAAAAACCAUAAAAAUCCUAGAAAACCCUAAAACCAUAAAAAAAUCCAAGAAAAUCCUACAAAAAAACUUAGAAAACCCUAGAAGAUCCUAGAAAAUCGUAGAAAAACCAUAAAAACCCUAGAAAAUCCUAGAUAACCCUAAAAAAAUCCUAGAAAACCCUAAAAAAUUCUAGAAAAACCAUAGAAAACCAUAGAAAAACCUAGAAGAUCAUAGAAAACUAUAGAAAAACCCUAGAAAACCCUAGAAGAUCCUAAAAAAUCCUAGAAAACCGUAGAAAUCCCUAGAAAUCUCUAGAAAUCCCUAAAUAACACUAGAAAAUCUUUGAUAACCCUAGAAAAUCCUAAAAAAAAUCUUAGAAAAUAAUAAAAACCCUAAAAAUCCUAGAAAACCCUAGUAAAUCUUAAAAAACACUAAAAAGUCCUAGAAAACCAAAGAAAACUCUAGAAAAACCUAGAAAAUCCAAGAAAACAAUAGAAAAAUCUUAGAAAACUGUAGAAAAAUCUAUAAAACCCAAGAAAAAUCCUGAAAAAUUCUAAAAACCAUAAAAACACCCUUGAAAGUCCUAAAAACUCUAGAAAUCCUAGAAAAAACCUAAAAACACAUGAAAACUCUAAAAACAAAAAAAAACAUUAGAAGAUUCUAAAAAAUCCUAGAUAACCUUAGAAAACCCUAGAAAAACAUAAAAAACCCUAGAAAACCCUAGAUAACCCAAGAAAAACCUUAGAAAACACUAAAUAACCAUAAAAAAUCUUAGAAAAUACAAAAAACCUAAAAACCCUUAAAAAAACCAUAGAAAAUCCUAAAAAAAUCCCUAGGAAACCCUAGAAAAUUCAAAAAAAUCCUAGAAAAUCAUAGAAAAUCCUAGAUAACCCAAGAAAACCCUAGAAAAAUCCUAGAAAACCUAAGAAAAAAUCUAGAAAACUCUAGAAAACCCUAAAAAACCUUAAAAAAUCCUAGAAAAAACAAAAAAAAAAUCCUAAAAAACCCUAAAAAAAUCCUAGAAAACCCUAAAAAUCCUAAAAACUCUAGAUAAACCCAGACAAAACCUAGAAAAUCCUUGAAACCCCUCAAAAACCUAAGAAAAUCCUAAAAAACCUAGAAAACACUAGAAAAACCCUAAAAAACAAUGAAAAAAAGUCUAGAAAAUCCUAAAAACCUAGAAAAAACCUAGAAAACCCUAGAUAACCAUAAAAAAACCCUAGAAAAUUCUAGUAAAACCCUAAAAAAAUCCUAGAUAAUACUAGAGAACCCUAGAAAACCUUAGAUAACCCUAGAAAAUCCUAGAAAAAUCCUAAAAAACCAUAGAAAAAUCUAGAAAACUCUAAAAAACCCUACAUAAUAUCAUUUGCAACAUCCAUGUACAGGUCUCCAACAUUCAUUAAAAGUUUUCACCUAUCAUAUUUUAAUCUACAUUAUUACUUAAUAGACCAAAAAUUACAGCAGGUGGAUAGCUUUUUGUUAUCUUCUGAAGCAAUCACUCAAUAUUUCCUCACAACAUCCUUCAUUAUUUUCCUUCCAUCUUUUGUUAUAUGUCCAUUCCCUUUGUAGCAUUUAGCAACAUGAUACAUAUAUAGAGAUAUCUUUUAAUUUAGUCAUCACAAUGUGUUUCUAGAUUCCCUUUAUAUAAAUGAAUAUCUCAACUUUUCUUUCUUCCUUCUUUCUUUCUCUUUUUAUUUCUUUCUCUUUUUUUGCUUAACUCAUUUUCUUCCUUGACAUCUUUUUAUUGAAACUAUUAAUUUUGUUUUAAUCCAAAAAGGGACAAAAGUGAUCCUAGAGAUAGUGUUUCUUCAAAUUCUCAACUUUUUUCAAUGAAUAAUAAUAUUCUGUGUGAUCUGAUAUAUUUCGAUUAACAAAUUAACAUAGACAAUAAUAAAAGACAGGAAUAUAGUUGGUCUAACAAGAAGUCAUCAAUUGCAUAGCUAUAAAGGAGUCUCAUUACGUUAAUAAAAGAUAAAUUGAUAAUUGAAAACAAUCACAUGCAAGACACUUAUUACAUUGUAUUUAAUCAAGAUGGAUUAGUGAACCAAAAUGGUAAGCAAAAUCUAAGCAAACUAUGGCCUUCAUUCUUCCAUUUGUCUUUAAUUAAAUUCAAAUCACAAGCAAAUUAAGCCCCAGAAUGUUAGCUAGUUCAUUCUUUUAUAAAGCAGCAAGGUUUAAUCAUACACAAGCAAAUUAAGCCUCUAUUUGGAAAGAACACAUCACACAUAUUAAAAAGCUCUCACUAAAUUGAAUAAAGUUUAAUCACACUGUAUUUUUAUCUCAUAUAGAGGCAACCCAGAACUAUCCUAAUAAAAAAGAUAGAUAAACAACAAAAUUUAAAAAUUAAACUAAUCCAUAUUCUUAACUGAUCAAGUCAUCAAUAUUCAAUAAUCAAUUAAUCAAAAAUCAAGAGAUGCACAGAAAAGUAGAAAAAAAAUAGUCAUCAAUGUCCAUUUCAUUAAGCAAAUUCUAGUGCCAAAGCUCUAUCAUUCGAGAAAAUGACUGAUGAGCGGAUAUUUUAUACGCUUUUUGGGGUUAAUUUCAUGUAGUUUUUAGGAGGUUUUAGUUAGUUUUUAUAUUAAUUCUAGUAGUUUUUAGGAAAAAUUCAUAUUUCUGGACUCUACUAUGAGUUGUGUGUUUUUCUGUGAUUUUAGGUAUUUUUCUGGCUGAAAUUGAAGGAGUUGAGCAAAAAUCUGAUUCAGGCUGAAAAAGGACUGCUGAUGCUGUUGGAUUCUGACCUCCCUGCACUCAAAGUGGAUUUUCUGGAGCUACAGAACUCGAAAUGGCGCGCUUCUAGUGGUGUUGGAAAGUAGACAUCCAGGGAUUUCCAGCAAUAUAUAAUAGUCCAUACUUUGCACGAGGAUAGACGACGUAAACUGGCGUUCAACGCCAGUCCUCUACCCAAUUCUGGCGUUCAGCGCCAGAAAAGGAGCGAAAGCUGGAGUUGAACGCCCAAAAUGGCACAAAAACUGGCGUUCAACUCCACAAAUGGCCUCUGCACGUGAAUUGCUUAAGUCUCAGCCCAGCACACACCAAGUGGGCCCCAGAAGUGGAUCUCUAUACCAUCUGCUAUAGUUUACUCAUUUUCCGUAAACCUAGAGAAGACAGAGGAAAGCAGAGAUUCAGAAGACAAAGCAUCUCCAAAACUCCAACAUAUUCUCCAUUACUGCAUAACAAGUAACCUUUAAUCCAUGCUCUCUUGUUCAUUCGCAAUUCAAAUGAUAAACAUAAUUGACUUCCUGACUAAGAUUUACAAGAUAACCAUAGACUGCUUCAAACCAACAAUCUCCGUGGGAUUCGACCCUUACUCACGUGAGGUAUUACUUGGACGACCCAGUGCACUUGCUGGUUAGUGGUACAAGUUGUGAAACGUGUAAUUCACAAUUUGUGCACCAAGCUUUUGGCGCCGUUGCCGGGGAUUGUUCGUGUUUGGACAACUAAACGGUUUAUUUUGUUGCUUAGAUUAGGACAAAUUUCUUUUUUUUGUUUAGAGUCUCUUAUUGUUUUCGUGUUAAAAAUUUUAGAAUCCUGAUUUUCUUUUUAAAAUAUUUUUCAAAAAUAAUUUCUCUAUUAAAUCCUGUGCCAAACUUUAAGUUUGAUGUUUUCUUGUUGAUUUUCCUUUGGUUUUCGAAAAUUUUGGUUUGGUUUUCUAAAAAUUUUAAGUUUGGUGUUCUUCCUUCGUGUUCUUGAGUUUUCCUUGUGUCUUGAUCUUAAAAUUUUUAAGUUUGGUGUUCCUUUGUGUUUUUCCUUCCAAAAUUUUCGAAAAUAAGGAACAUUAGAUCUAAAAAUUUUAAAUCUUGUGCUAUCUUAUUGUUUUUCUCUCUCUUCUUAAAAUUCAAAAAUAUCUUUUCUCUCUAUUUUAAAGCAUCUUUUUCGAAAUCUAUUUCUAAAAUUUAGAUUUUUAUUUCAAAAUUUAAAACCUUUUUCAAAAAUCAUCAUAUCCUUUUCAAAAACAUCUUUAAAGAUGUUCAGCCUUAUUUGGAGGAUUCAGGGGACAUGAAAGAGCCUCUGAACUUUCUUCUGAAAGAGGAAAAACCUCCUAAACCCGAGCUCAAGCCACUGCCACCAUCCUUGAAAUAUGCAUUUCUGGGAGAAGGUGACACUUUUCCAGUGAUCAUAAGCUCUGCUUUAAAUUCACAGGAAGAGGAAGCACUUAUUCAAGUGCUAAGGACACACAAGACAGCUCUUGGGUGGUCCAUAGGUGACCUUAAGGGCAUAAGCCCAGCUAGAUGUAUGCACAAAAUCCUAUUGGAGGAUAAUGCCAAACCAGUGGUUCAACCACAGAGGCGGCUAAAUCCAGCCAUGAAGGAAGUGGUGCAGAAAGAGGUCACCAAAUUACUAGAGGCUGGGAUUAUUUAUCCUAUUUCUGAUAGCUCCUGGGUGAGCCCUGUCCAAGUCGUCCCAAAAAAGGGAGGCAUGACAGUGAUUCAUAAUGAGAAAAAUGAACUGGUUCCUACGAGAACAGUUACAGGGUGGCGCAUGUGUAUUGACUACAGAAGACUCAAUACAGCCACCAGAAAGGAUCAUUUUCCUUUACCAUUCAUAGACCAGAUGCUAGAAAGACUGGCAGGUCAUGAGUAUUACUGCUUUUUGGAUGGCUACUCAGGCUAUAACCAGAUUGCAGUAGAUCCCCAGGAUCAAGAGAAAACAGCAUUCACAUGUCCAUCAGGAGUGUUUGCUUAUAGAAGGAUGCCUUUUGGGCUGUGUAAUGCGCCUGCAACCUUCCAGAGAUGCAUGCUCUCUAUUUUCUCUAAUAUGGUGGAAAAAUUUCUGGAAGUCUUUAUGGAUGACUUCUCAGUAUAUGGAGACUCAUUCAGCUCCUGUCUUGAUCACCUGAAACUUGUUCUGAAAAGAUGCCAAGAGACCAACCUAGUUUUAAACUGGGAAAAAUGUCACUUCAUGGUGACCGAAGGGAUUGUCCUUGGGCAUAAAAUCUCAAACAAGGGAAUAGAGGUGGAUCAGGCAAAAAUAGAGGUAAUUGAAAAAUUACCACCACCUGCCAAUGUUAAGGCAGUCAGAAGCUUUCUGGGGCAUGCAGGAUUCUAUAGGAGGUUUAUAAAGGAUUUUUCAAAAAUCGCAAAACCUCUAAGCAAUCUGCUAGCUGCUGACACGCCAUUUGUGUUUGACACAGGGUGUCUGCAGGCGUUUGAAACGCUGAAAGCUAAGCUGGUCACAGCACCAGUCAUUUUUGCACCAGAUUGGACAUUACCAUUUGAGCUAAUGUGUGAUGCCAGUGAUCACGCCAUUGGUGCAGUGCGUUGUUUGAUGUAUGGGGAAUUGACUUCAUGGGACCUUUCCCACCAUCAUACUCAAACACUUAUAUUUUGGUGGCAGUUGAUUAUGUAUCAAAAUGGGUUGAGGCCAUUGCCACACCCACUAAUGAUACUAAAACAGUGCUGAAGUUCCUCCAGAAACAUAUCUUUAGCAGGUUCGGUGUCCCUAGAGUGCUAAUCAGCGAUGGGGGCACUCACUUCUGCAAUAAACAGCUUUACUCUGCCAUGGUUCGGUAUGGAAUUCGCCAUAAGGUGGCCACUCCAUAUCAUCCACAAACUAAUGGGCAAGCUGAAGUCUCUAACAGAGAAUUAAAGAGAAUCCUAGAACGGACAGUAAAUACCCGUAGAAAGGAUUGGGCACGGAGCUUGGAUGAUGCUCUGUGGGCUUACAGAACAGCAUUCAAGACCCCUAUAGGGACCUCUCCAUACCAACUUGUGUAUGGUAAAGCAUGUCACCUGCCCGUGGAACUGGAACAUAAAGCCUACUGGGCAACCAGAUUCCUAAACUUNNNNNNNNNNNNNNNNNNNNNNNNNNNNNNNNNNNNNNNNNNNNNNNNNNNNNNNNNNNNNNNNNNNNNNNNNNNNNNNNNNNNNNNNNNNNNNNNNNNNNNNNNNNNNNNNNNNNNNNNNNNNNNNNNNNNNNNNNNNNNNNNNNNNNNNNNNNNNNNNNNNNNNNNNNNNNNNNNNNNNNNNNNNNNNNNNNNNNNNNNNNNNNNNNNNNNNNNNNNNNNNNNNNNNNNNNNNNNNNNNNNNNNNNNNNNNNNNNNNNNNNNNNNNNNNNNNNNNNNNNNNNNNNNNNNNNNNNNNNNNNNNNNNNNNNNNNNNNNNNNNNNNNNNNNNNNNNNNNNNNNNNNNNNNNNNNNNNNNNNNNNNNNNNNNNNNNNNNNNNNNNNNNNNNNNNNNNNNNNNNNNNNNNNNNNNNNNNNNNNNNNNNNNNNNNNNNNNNNNNNNNNNNNNNNNNNNNNNNNNNNNNNNNNNNNNNNNNNNNNNNNNNNNNNNNNNNNNNNNNNNNNNNNNNNNNNNNNNNNNNNNNNNNNNNNNNNNNNNNNNNNNNNNNNNNNNNNNNNNNNNNNNNNNNNNNNNNNNNNNNNNNNNNNNNNNNNNNNNNNNNNNNNNNNNNAAAAAAACUAAAGAGAAAUAUUUCGAACCGUAAAAGCUUUCGACACUUAGACUUAAGGAGAUCGAGUAAAUCGACCUCGUUAGUGGCAUGACAGAAAGCUGUCAUCUAGAAUCUUUGAACCAGGACAGAAGGUUCUUCUGUUCAACUCUAGACUCAGGCUAUUCCCCGGGAAGUUGAAAUCCCGGUGGAGGGGACCAUACGUGAUUACAAGUGUAUCACCAUAUGGUUAUGUGGAGCUUCAAGAUAUUGAUUCUGAUAAGAAGUUCAUUGUCAAUGGACAGAGAAUCAAGCAUUAUCUUGAAGGCAACGUUGAGCAAGAAUGCUCAAGGCUGAAGCUAGAUUAAAAGCUCAGCAAAGUCCAGCUAAAGACAAUAAAGAAGCGCUUGCUGGGAGGCAACCCAGCCAUGGGGCAUCAAUUCUCUAAGCAUUUUGCCCUAUUUUUUAUUUUUAUUUUUAUUUGUUUAUAUAAAGUUCACUGACACUAAGGUAAAGAAUCAAUUGCAUAAAUUUACAGGGUUACAGAAGGAAUCUGCACACAAAACAGGGAUAGGGAGCUUACUGGAACGCCAGUGAGGGCCAGUUUUGGGCGUUCAGCGCCCAAAAUGGGCAUCCAGUGGGCGCUGAACGCCAGGAAGGAUAGCAAUCUGGCGUUCAACGUCAGAAAAGGGCAACAACUGGGCAUUGAACGCCCAGAAGUGCAGCAUUUGGGCGCUGAACGCCCAAAACAGGCAGUGUUUGGGCGUUCAAACGCCAGGAUGGCAGGGAGGAGCCAAAUUCAUUUUUCCACACAUAUUUCCAUUCUAAUUUCAAAAUUUUAUGUUUCAAUGCAUGAUUUUUACAUAAACAUGUUAGGAACCCUGAUUUCUAAAAUCCCCAAUUUCUAAAAAUCCCUCUUUCAAAAAUAUCAAAUAUAUCUUAAUCUAUAAGCACCACCCUCUUUGCAAAUUCAAUCCAACUCUUUUCAAAUAUUUUCUAAAAACAAAUCUAUCUUUUUCACUCUAAAAUAUUUUCAAUAUCUUUUUCAAAUCUCCAUAUUAUCUUUUUCAAAAUCUAGAUUCAUCUUUUUCAAAAAUCUAUCAUAUCUUCUCAAUUUUAAACUAUAUCUUCUAUCUUAUCUUUUUCAAAUCAAUCUUUUUAUCUUAUCUUUUCCCAAUUUUCGAAAACAACCCCCCAUUCCUUUAAAUAUGGGUUCGGCCUCCCUCCUCCUCCAUCAACAAUUGCACCUAGCUCUCCUUCCAUCCCUCUUCUUUCUUUUCUUUUGCUUGAGGACAAGCAAACCUCUAAGUUUGGUGUGUUUAUCCGAGAUCACUAAGAUCAUGGCUCCCAAAGGAAAACAACCCACUCCAAGAGGCAAGAAAGAGAGCGUUCCAAAACCACUUUGGAAUCAAGGGAAGUUCUUAUCUAAAGAACAUUCAGACCAUUAUCUUAAAGUAAUGGGGCUGAGAUCAGUGAUCCCGGAAGUUAGAUUCGAUCUGAAAGAAGACGAAUAUCCGGAGAUCCAGAAGCAAAUUCGAAUCAGGAACUGGGAAGUCCUAGCUAAUCCUGAAACGAAAGUGGGAAGGAACAUGGUCCAGGAAUUCUAUGCCAAUAUGUGGCAGACUGACAAGCAAAAACUAUCUGGAACUGCCUUCUAUGAAUUUCGGACCAUGGUCAGAGGAAAGCUUGUUCACACCACCCCUGACAAGAUCAGAGAGAUCUUAAAGCUACCUCAGCUAAAGGAUGAUCCAGACUCCUUCAACAGGAGGAUGAUGAGAGCAGACAUUGACCUGGAUAAGAUUCUAGAGGACAUAUGUAUCCCUGGAACCAGGUGGACCACCAACACAAAGGGAGUCCCAAAUCAACUCAAGAGAGAGGAUCUCAAACCAGUCGCCAGAGGAUGGCUGGACUUCAUUGGGCGUUCUCUGUUGCCCACUAACAACCGUUCUGAAGUCACAGUUAAAAGAGCAGUGAUGAUCCAUUGCAUCAUGAUGGGAAAGGAAGUGGAGGUUCAUCAGCUGAUUUCAACUGAACUCUACAAAAUUGCUAACAAAAAUUCCAAAGAGGCCAGGUUGGCUUAUCCAAGCGUGAUUUCUAUGCUCUGCAAGGACGCUGGAGUAAGGAUGGGAAUAACUGAAUAUAUCCUAAUUGAAAAGCCAAUCACCAAAGCAUCAAUGGAAAAACAACAAGCACAGGAGGAUCCCAUCAAGAAGAGAGCACAGGAAUUCCUCCCAGAGAUCCCUCAAUCUGAAUACUGGGAGUAUCUUGAGACGUCUGUUACCAAGAUACGGGAAGCUAUGGAGCAAAUAAUAAAAGAACAGAAGGAACACAGUCAAAUGCUGACCUACAUGUUUAAAGAACAAGAGGAGCAAGGGCAUGACUUAAGGGAAUUGAAGUGCCAAAAGUCUUCUCUUGUAGGACCAAGCACCCCAAGGAUCAGAGGAACCCCCGUUCCCCCAGAAAAAAGGUUGUUAAUUUCCAAUUUCUGCCUUAACUCUGUGAUAGUGUCCUUAUAGAAGUUUACCUUAGGAGUCAUAAAGUAGUAAUUAGUAUCUAUUUUGAUUUUAUCUCCAAUUAAGUUAUAAUUUAUUUUUCUCAUCAUCAGCAAACAUGAAUAAAGUAGUAGAUCUUUUGAAUAAGAGGCAAUAAAAUUUCGAGUUUUAAUAAGAGAAAUUCUAAUUAGUUAAAUGUGGUGGCAAUGCUUUCUGUCUUCUGAAUGAAUGCUUGAACAGUGCAUAUAUCUUUUGAAUUUGUUGCUUAAGACUGUUAAAUAUGUUGGCUCUUGAAAGAAUGGUGAACAUGAGACAUGUUAUUGAUGAUCUGAAAAAUCAAAAAAUUGAUUCUUGAAGCAAGAAAAAGCAGCAAAGAACAAAGCUUGCAGAAAAAAAAAAUAGCGAAAAAAAAUAGAAAGAAAAAGAAAAAGCAAGCAGAAAAAGCCAAUAGCCCUUAAAACCAAAAGGCAAGGGUAAUAAAAAGGAUCCCAAGGCUUUGAGCAUCAGUGGAUAGGAGGGCCAAAAAGGAAUAAAAUCCUGGCCUAAGCGGCUAAACCAAGCUGUCCCUAACCAUGUGCUUGUGGCGUGAAGGUGUCAAGCGAAAACUUGAGACUAAGCGGUUAAAGUCAAGGUCCAAGCAAAAAGAAGAGUGUGCUUAAGAACUCUGGACACCUCUAAUUGGGGACUUUAGCAAAGCUAAGUCACAAUCUGAAAAGGUUCACCCAGUUAUGUGUCUGUGGCAUUUAUGUAUCCGGUGGUAAUACUGGAAAACAAAGUGCUUAGGGCCACGGCCAAGACUCAUAAAGAAGCUGUGUUCAAGAAUCAUCACACUGAACUAGGAGAAUCAAUAACACUAUCUGAAUUCUGAGUUCCUAUAGAUGCCAAUCACUCUGAGCCUCAAUGGAUAAAGUGAGAUGCCAAAACUGUUCAGAAGCAAAAAGCUACUAGUCCCGCUCAUCUAAUUAGAAUCUGAGCUUCAUUCAAAAACUCUGAGAUAUUAUUGCUUCUCAACCUAUUAGUCUUCUACUUUAUUUGUCUAGUUGCUUGAGGACAAGCAACAGUUUAAGUUUGGUGUUGUGAUGAGCGGAUAUUUUAUACGCUUUUUGGGGUUAAUUUCAUGUAGUUUUUAGGGGGUUUUAGUUAGUUUUUAUAUUAAUUCUAGUAGUUUUUAGGAAAAAUUCAUAUUUCUGGACUCUACUAUGAGUUGUGUGUUUUUCUGUGAUUUCAGGUAUUUUUCUGGCUGAAAUUGAAGGAGCUGAGCAAAAAUCUGAUUCAGGCUGAAAAAGGACUGCUGAUGCUGUUGGAUUCUGACCUCCCUGCACUCAAAGUGGAUUUUCUGGAGCUACAGAACUCGAAAUUCUUAAUCAGAAUCUUCGUGGUAUAAGCUAGAACUGAUGGCGGCUUUCAUGAGAAUUCGGAAAGUCUAAACCUUGUCUGUGGUAUUCCGAGUAGGAUUCAAUGAUUGAAGGACUGUGACGAACUUCAAACUCACGAGUGCUGGGCGUAGUGACAGACGCAAAAGGAUAGCAGAUCCUAUUCCGGUAUGACUGAAAACCUGCAGAUGAUUAGCCGUACGGUGACAGCGCACUUGGAAUCUUUUCACUGGAAGGAUGGAUGGUAGCCAUUGACAACGGUGAUCCACCUACACACAGCUUGCCAUAGGAAGACGUGCGUGCGUGAAUCAGAAGACAGAGGAAAGCAGAGAUUCAGAAGACAAAGCAUCUCCAAAACUCCAACAUAUUCUCCAUUACUGCAUAACAAGUAACCUUUAAUCCAUGCUCUCUUGUUCAUUCGCAAUUCAACUGAUAAACAUAAUUGACUUCCUGACUAAGAUUUACAAGAUAACCAUAGACUGCUUCAAACCAACAAUCUCUGUGGGAUUCGACCCUUACUCACGUGAGGUAUUACUUGGACGACCCAGUGCACUUGCUGGUUAGUGGUACAAGUUGUGAAACGUGUAAUUCACAAUUUGUGCACCAAGUUUCAGAAAGCUUGGCUUAGCUGACGAAGUUAAACCAACCCGGAUAUGUCUCCAACUUGCUGAUGGCUCAACUAAAUACCCAUUAGGCGUGAUUGAAGACAUGAUAGUCAGAGUUGGGCCAUUCGCCUUUCCCACUGACUUUGUUGUGCUGGAAAUGAAGGUGCACAAGAGUGCUACUCUCAUUCUAGGAAGACCCUUCCUCGCAACUGAACGAUCCCUCAUUGACGUCCAACAGGGGGAAAUAACCCUGAGGGUCAAUGACGAUGAGUUCAAGUUGAACGCUGUCAAAGCCAUGCAGCAUCCAGACACAUCAACAGACUGCAUGAAAGUUGAUCUUAUUGACUCCUUGGUGGAAGAGAUCAACAUGGCUGAGAGUCUCGAAUCAGAGUUGGAAAAUAUCUUUAAAGAUAUUCAGCCUGAUUUGGAGGAUUCAGAGGACAUGAAAGAGCCUCUGAAAUUUUUUCUGAAGGAGGAAAAACCUCCUAAACCCGAGCUCAAGCCACUGCCACCAUCCUUGAAAUAUGCAUUUCUGGGAGAAGGUGACACUUUUCAGUGAUCAUAAGCUCUGCUUUAAAUUCAAAGGAAGAGGAAGCACUUAUUCAAGUGCUAAGGACACACAAGACAGCUCUUGGGUGGUCCAUAGGUGACCUUAAGGGCAUAAGCCCAGCUAGAUGUAUGCACAAAAUCCUAUUGGAGGAUAAUGCCAAACCAGUGGUUCAACCACAGAGGCGGCUAAAUCCAGCCAUGAAGGAAGUGGUGCAGAAAGAGGUCACCUAAUUUUCUGAAGGAAGGAGACGUUCGUUGCAGUGCUGGCAGCAGAGUUUGCAGGUGGCGGCGAAGCCUGCUAGUGGAUAGAAUAGCGGCGGUGUGCGUAGAGAAAGUAAAAGGUUGGAGAGGGAGUACAGAGUAGAGAGCACAACAGCAGCAAAGAGAAGAGAAGUGAGCAGAUCGGCAUCGAGCUCAAAGGUUGCAGCCUCAACAGCAAUAGUAACGGUGUAUAAUAAAGAGAUCAGAGGGAUGCUGGAGAAAGAAGUGGCUGUCGUUCUGGUCUAUGACAGGGUGGGAGACUGAGGGGCUGUGGAAGAAGAAUAUUGGAGAUUUGAAAGUGGUGGGUAUUGUUGGGUAAGCAAAGAGAAAAUGGGAUGUCAUAGUCGUUGGGGUCUUUUUUGGGGGGUUUGUCACUCAUGUAUUAAUUUGAAAUCUUUAGAUUUUUUAUUUUUGUUAAUAGUUUAUUAGUUUAACAAUAUUUCUUUAUAUUUAAAGAUCAAAUUAAAAUUAUGAUUAAAAAUCAAAUAUUUCAAAUUUAAACAAUAAUAUUUAAGAGGCUAAAUUGUAAUAAUUUAAAUUUUUUGAAUACCUUACGAAUAAACUAUGUCAAAAUAUGACAAAUUAGAGGAUUGAAAAUUGAGUGUGACUAACUUACAUCCUAUAUAUGUAUAUGUUACAAAAAUUUGUUAUAGGUGGGUAUUAAACUAAGGAUCUCUCACUUAGUGCAAAACCCUAAAAAAUNNNNNNNNNNNNNNNNNNNNNNNNNNNNNNNNNNNNNNNNNNNNNNNNNNNNNNNNNNNNNNNNNNNNNNNNNNNNNNNNNNNNNNNNNNNNNNNNNNNNNNNNNNNNNNNNNNNNNNNNNNNNNNNNNNNNNNNNNNNNNNNNNNNNNNNNNNNNNNNNNNNNNNNNNNNNNNNNNNNNNNNNNNNNNNNNNNNNNNNNNNNNNNNNNNNNNNNNNNNNNNNNNNNNNNNNNNNNNNNNNNNNNNNNNNNNNNNNNNNNNNNNNNNNNNNNNNNNNNNNNNNNNNNNNNNNNNNNNNNNNNNNNNNNNNNNNNNNNNNNNNNNNNNNNNNNNNNNNNNNNNNNNNNNNNNNNNNNNNNNNNNNNNNNNNNNNNNNNNNNNNNNNNNNNNNNNNNNNNNNNNNNNNNNNNNNNNNNNNNNNNNNNNNNNNNNNNNNNNNNNNNNNNNNNNNNNNNNNNNNNNNNNNNNNNNNNNNNNNNNNNNNNNNNNNNNNNNNNNNNNNNNNNNNNNNNNNNNNNNNNNNNNNNNNNNNNNNNNNNNNNNNNNNNNNNNNNNNNNNNNNNNNNNNNNNNNNNNNNNNNNNNNNNNNNNNNNNNNNNNNNNNNNNNNNNNNNNNNNNNNNNNNNNNNNNNNNNNNNNNNNNNNNNNNNNNNNNNNNNNNNNNNNNNNNNNNNNNNNNNNNNNNNNNNNNNNNNNNNNNNNNNNNNNNNNNNNNNNNNNNNNNNNNNNNNNNNNNNNNNNNNNNNNNNNNNNNNNNNNNNNNNNNNNNNNNNNNNNNNNNNNNNNNNNNNNNNNNNNNNNNNNNNNNNNNNNNNNNNNNNNNNNNNNNNNNNNNNNNNNNNNNNNNNNNNNNNNNNNNNNNNNNNNNNNNNNNNNNNNNNNNNNNNNNNNNNNNNNNNNNNNNNNNNNNNNNNNNNNNNNNNNNNNNNNNNNNNNNNNNNNNNNNNNNNNNNNNNNNNNNNNNNNNNNNNNNNNNNNNNNNNNNNNNNNNNNNNNNNNNNNNNNNNNNNNNNNNNNNNNNNNNNNNNNNNNNNNNNNNNNNNNNNNNNNNNNNNNNNNNNNNNNNNNNNNNNNNNNNNNNNNNNNNNNNNNNNNNNNNNNNNNNNNNNNNNNNNNNNNNNNNNNNNNNNNNNNNNNNNNNNNNNNNNNNNNNNNNNNNNNNNNNNNNNNNNNNNNNNNNNNNNNNNNNNNNNNNNNNNNNNNNNNNNNNNNNNNNNNNNNNNNNNNNNNNNNNNNNNNNNNNNNNNNNNUGAGCAGAUCGGCAUCGAGCUCAAAGGUUGCAGCGUCAACAGUAACAAUAACGGUGUACAAUGAAGAAAUUGGAGGGAUGCUGGAGAAAGAAGUGGCUGCCGUUCUGGUUUAUGACAGAGCGAGAGACUCAAGGACUGUGGAAGAAGAAGAUUGGGGAUUUGAAAGUAGUGGGUAUUGUUGGAUAAGCAAAGAGAAAAUGGGAUGUCUAGUUGUUGGGGUAUUUUUUGGGGGGUUUGUCACUCAUGUAUUAAUUUGAAAUCUUUAGAUUUUUCAUUUUUGUUAAUAGUUUAUUAGUUUAACAAUAUUUCUUUAUAUUUAAAGAUCAAAUUAAAAUUAUGAUUAAAAAUCAAAUAUUUCAAAUUUAAACAAUAAAAUUUAAGAGGCUAAAUUGGAAUAAAUUAAAAUAGUUUGAAUACCUUACGAAUAAACUAUGUCAAAAUAUGACAAAUUAGAGGAUUGAAAAUUGAGUGUGACUAACUUACAUCCUAUAUAUGUAUAUGUUAUAAAAAUAUGUUAUAGGUGGGUAUUAAACCAAGGAUCUCUCACUUAGUGCAAAACUCUAAAAAAUCCCCUAAAAAAUCCUAGAAAACUCCUAAAAAACCCUAAAGAAUCCUGAAAAACCCUAAAAAACCAUAGAAAACUCUAGAUAACCCUAGAAAACUUUAGAAAAACCCUAGAAAAUCCUAAAAAAAACCUAAGUACCCUAACAAACCCUAGAAAACCCUAGAAAAUCCAAGAAAAACCCUAAAAAAUCUUAGAAAACCCUAGAAAAUCCUAAAGAUCCUAAAAAAUACUAGAAAAACCCUAGAAAACCCUAGAAAACCCUAGAAAAUCCUAGAUAACCCUAGAAAACUUUAGAAAAACCCUUGAAAACCCUAGAAAAUAAUAGAAAAAUUCUAGAAAACCUUAGAAAAAUCUAGAAAAUCCUAGAAAAAUCCUAAAAAUCCUAAAAACCCUAAAUAACCCUAGAAAAUCUUCGAAAACUCUAGAAAACCCUAGAUAACCCUAAAAACCAUAAAAAACCCUAGAUAAAACCAUAAAAACCCUAGAAAACCCUAAAAAAACCCUAAAAAACCUAUGUACCCUAACAAACCCUAGAAAAUCCUAGAAAACCCUAGAAAAUCCUAAAAAUCCAUAAAAACACUAGAAAACCCUUGAAAACCCUACAAAACCCUAGAAAUUCCUAGAUAAUGAUGCCAUGGCAUCUUAUCCUAGUUUUACUAGUCUUUUUCUUUGUUUUCAUUUGGUUUUAUGCACUUUCCUGAGUUACAAGUAAGCCAUUUGGGUAGAAAUUCAUGUGUACUUGGAUUCAAUCAACCAUGAGUAAAUUAAUGUAUUUUCAUGAGGUUUUGUGCUAUAAUUGCUUAUAUGUCAAGGAUAAUAAGAAGUCUCAUGAUUUUAGCAUAGCUUUGAUGCAAUUAUUGGUUGAUAACAGGUAAAGAAAGACAUGGAGAAAGGUUGAAGAAAAGAGACUUAGAGAAGAGAAACAGAGCUCACGUUUGAGAUGGCGUUGGGGGUCCAACGUUAAUCCCAUCGUAGUUAGAAAAUGAUCAAGUCUGGGCCGAAGGAUUUUUGAAGUGCGCGCACGCGUACAUGCCGCGUACGCGCAAAAGCAACAAAUUUUGGCAUCCGCGCGGAAGCAUACAGCACGCGUACGCGCAGAUGCAUAUUUUUGGCUCAUGUGCGCGAAAGCGCACGGUGCACGUACGCGCCACAACCAAACGUUGGGGGUCCAACAUUGUCUCAAACUCUACCUCCAACGUCUUCGAUGCUCAUCCCAGAAUUGAGAUUGGAAAAAGUGGAAUCGGCGCGCACGCACCAAUGUCACGUACGCGUACUUGGGAAAAAAGCAAUGCACGCGUAAGCGUGAAGUACGCGCACACGUAAAAAUGCCAACGUUGGAGGUCCAACGCUGAGACCAACGUCAUCCCUCCCUGGAUCAAACUGGAAAUUGGAAAAUAUGCAUCCACGCGCAAGCGCGCAGUGCGCGCACGCGUGGAUGAGCAAUUUUGGCAAGGUGUGCGGAAGCGCAUGGUGCCCGUACGCGUGGAUCGGCGGACGUUGGCCCUCCAACGUUGGGUCAAACGCCGAUGACAGCAGACCUUUCUGGUUUUACUGAUAUGAUGGAAAGUGGAGUUUGAGUCAACGUUGGCACUAAAACGUUGACUCAAACUUGAAGCACCAGCAUCCAACUUUCACACAGAUCUCUUCUCAAGAUCAAGAGCAGUCAAUGGGAGCCAUCUUCGAUCCAAAUUCAUCAAGGCCAAAAGCCCAAUUCAAGGCUUGAAGAUUAAAAAUAGAAAGUGUAUAAAUAGAAGUUAGUUUGAUUUAGAAAGGGGACGGUCAUUUUUUUUUUGGCUGUAAGCUCAGUUUAGUUGAGAUUGAAUUCUCCCUCCUCUUUAUUCUUACUCUGCAUUCCUUCUUUCUGUUUUGAGAAUUGUAGAGAGAUUGAAGGAAUUCUGUUUCAAUCCCUGAUCUACAAUUUAUCUUUGUUUUCGUCUGCAUAAUUUUAAGGAAUUGUGAAUUGAAUUAAGCUUUCUGAUUUCAUUCUUAUUGCUCCUGCUAAUCUUGCUAUUUUCCUUUGGAUCUGGAAUUGAGAUUGGAACGAGUUCUAUUGAUUCAAAUUCUGAGAAUCAUUUUUUAUUCUUCAUCUCAAGUGAUCUAAGGACUGGAUCUAAAUUUCCUUUACUGCUUCCAUUUUAUAUUUUUCUGUGAAUUGCUUGCUGAUCGGAUCAAGGAAGGAAUUGAGAUCUAAACUUGUUUUCUAGUCUCUUGACCCCUGAGAUCUGCAUUUUCAUUUCUGUUCAUUUGCUGAGGCUUCUUCAAGCCAAUUUACUUUUCUAUUUAAAGAUCCAGCUCAAUCCAAGUUAUCUUCUACUCUUUUACUUGUUGAAAUUUACUUUCCUUUGCUUAAAUUCUGCUAUCCCAACUCCCUAAGCCCUUUAAUAUUCAAGCAAUUUACAUUUCCUGCACUCUAAGCUUCUGCAAUUUACCUUUCUUGCACUUUAAGUUUUUGUCAUUUACUUUACUUGUCCUUUAAGAUUCAGCUCUUUUACUUCUUUAAGCUCUUUAAUUUACUGCAAUUCUUCCCUCUCCCUUUACAAUUCAUGCAAUUUAGCUUCUGUCAAUUACAAAUCACUCAGAUCAACUCUUGUUUGCUUGACUAAAUCAACCACUAAACUAAAAUUGCUCAAUCCUUCAAUCCCUGUGGGAUCGACCUCACUCCCGUGAGUUAUUAUUACUUGAUGCGACCCGGUACACUUGCCGGUGAGUUUUGUGUUGGAUUGUUUUCCACACAUGAAGUUUUUGGCGCUGUUGCCGGGGAUUGAAAUAGAUUGACAAUGAUUAAGUGAGGUGGUGAUCUAGAUUAAGCAUUUUUUUCUUUUGUUUUCAACUAACACAUUAACUGUUUGACUUUUUGCCUAAGCUAACCAAAACUUCAUUCUAGCAAUAGAUUGAAGUUUCACUGGUUUUCUGGCUUUUAUGUUUCUUGUGUUCUGGUUUGUAUGUCAGGUACAAGGAGAGUUACACCUAUCUUUUGUGAACAAGACGAAAGGAUUCUUAGAAGGAUAAGAAGAGAAGCUAGAGGGAAGGCUGUUGUUGGAAAGGAAGAUUCUGAGGAGGAAUACCACGAAAUGGAAGGAGAUCCCUCUAAUUCCAAUCCUCCAGAAGGAGGGGUCAAUAACAAUCCACCACAGAGGAGAGUACUGGCCUCUUAUACAUUUUUAAACUCUAGACAUUGUGGGAGUAGCAUUCUUACCCCUAAUGUCAAUGCAAAUAACUUUGAACUGAAGCCAUAACUCAUCACACUGGUCCAAAACAACUGCUCUUUUGGAGGAGGGCCACUUGAAGAUCCAAACCAACACUUAUCCACCUUCCUUAGGAUAUGUGAUACUGUAAAAUCUAAUGGUGUGCAUUCUGACAUCUACAAGUUGCUGUUAUUCCCAUUCUCCCUCAGAGAUAAAGCCACUCAAUGGCUAGAAACAUUCCCAAAGGAGAGCAUCAACACUUGGGAAGAUUUGGUGAGCAAGUUUCUUGCCAAAUUUUACCCACCUCAGAGGAUUAUUAGAUUGAAGACGGAAGUGCAGAUAUUCACACAAUUGGAUGCUGAAACUCUAUAUGAGGCAUGUGAGAGAUAUAAGGCUCUGCUCAGGAAAUGCCCACCGAAAAUGUUCACUGAGUAGGACAAACUGCAAAACUUCUAUGAAGGACUCACUCUAAAGGCUCAAGAGGCACUGGAUCACUCAGCUGGAGGCUCAUUGCAACUGAUGAAGACUGCAGAGGAGGCUCAAAACCUCAUUGACAUGGUGGCAAACAACCAAUAUUUCUUUGCUUACCAAAGGCAACGCCAACCAUCACAGAGGAAAGGACUGCUAGAGUUGGAAGGAGUAGACACAAUCCUAGCCCAACACAAAGUGAUGCAGCAGCAAAUUCAGCAAUAAUUUGAGCAAAUGGCCAAGAGAAUUGAUAGCCUACAAGUUGCAUCAGUGAAUGUCACAAGCCAACCAUCAACUCCUUGGGGGCAGAAUGAAGAGAAUCAAGCCAAAUCUAAUAUGUGCACAACCAAGGCUCUAGACAAAAUGAAGCGUAUGGUGACACCUAUAACCCAUCCUGGAAGAACCACCCAAACCUUAGGUGGGGAGAUGGCCACAACCAGAAUCAACAACCAUGGCAAAGGAAUUCAAAUCAAAACACCCCAAGAAAUAACUAGAACCACAACCAGCAGCACACUAACCAAAACUCCUACAGAAAACCCCAAAACAACUACCCCACUUCCAACCAUUAUCCACCCAGUAAUCAAACCACCAACCAAAAUACUUACCAUCAACAAUCAACACCCCAAAACCAACCGAUCUCACAAGACUCUCAGAAGAUCACCAAUUUGGAGAUGUUAAUGGAGAAAAUGAUGAAGCACCAAGAAAUGACAACAAAGAACCAGGAAGCUUCCAUGAAGAAUAUGGAGAGGCAGAUUGGACAGCUCUCCAAGAAAAUUGCUAUUGAGAGACCAUCAAGCUCAUUACCAAGUGACACCAUUCCUAAUCCAAAAGAAGAGUGCAAAGCUAUACAGCUAAGGAGUGGGAAGAUAUUGGUGGACAAUAAAGAGGCAACCAAGAAGCCUAUGGAAAGUGACAAAGAAUCAACAGAGAAAGAGGAAGCUAGCAACAAGGACACAACAAGCAAGAAUGUCCCAGAAAAGUUCAAAGAGAAGGACAACCAGCCACACAAUUCAAAGGAAGAAUCAACCCAGGGAUAUAAACAAGUGGGGAAAACUUACACACCUUCACUGCCAUAUCCCCAAAGAUUCAACAAAGAAGCAAAGGAUCAACACUUUCAUAAGUUCCUUGAGACUUUCAAGAAGUUAGAGAUCAACAUUCCUUUGGCUGAGGCAUUAGAGCAGAUGCCUCUGUAUGCCAAGUUUCUGAAAGAGCUUAUCAGUAAAAAGAGAAGUUGGCAUGAGAAAGAGACUAUACUGCUUACUGAGGAAUGUAGGGCGUUGAUUCAAAAAGGGCUUCCCCCUAAGCUUGAAGACCCCGGAAGUUUCUUUCUGCCUUGCACCAUUGGGAGAUUGACCAUCAACAAGGCAAUGUGUGACUUAGGGGCAAGUAUCAACCUAAUACCCUCUUCUUUGGUGAAAAAGCUUUGUAUAGAGGAAGUGAAGCCAAUACAAAUGUCUCUGGAACUGGUGGAUAAGUCGGUGAUAUGUUCCAGGGGUGUGAUUGAAAACCUUCUAGUUAAGGUGGACAAAUUCAUAUUCCCUGCGGAUUUUGUGGUCUUAGACUCAGAUGAGGAUGAAGGUGAUUCCAUUAUACUUGGGAGACCAUUCUUGGCCACUGCUAGGGCCAUUAUAGAUGUGGAGCAAGGAAAGCUAACCCUCAGAAUGCAUGAUAAAAACAUCACCUUGAAUGUAUUCCCAGAAACACAGCUCAGUGAUGAAAAGAACAACUGCAUGGACAUUGACAAAGGAAGCUUGCAAUGGAAGGAAGGAACUAGCAAGACAGUUGAUAACCAUCUUCCAAGGCAGGAAACAAACAACAUAGCAGGGUAAGAGAAGAAUGAGACUGGGCAAAGUGAAGAGGGAAACCGAGAAGGAAUUGAAGUGCUUACUAAGAAGGAGAGGCCCAAAAUAAAGGUUGCUGUCAAAGAAGAAGGAGUAACAAGAAGAAGAAAGAAAAGCAAGAAAAAUACUCAGAAGGGAUGGAAGAACAAGAAAAUCCCAACUGAGGGGUUCUCCAGGGUGAUGAAGUACAGUUGAUCUAUCAACAAUUGGGAACAAGCCAACAAGCCAAUGACUACUACACUGUUUGCAAAAUACUCUCACUUGAGCAUGCUGAAAUUGAGCAUCAAGGAACAAAAAGGAAGCUCACAGUGAGGGGGGAUAAGUUGAGACAUCACAGCCGUCAACCACCCUGAAGGGGGACCCAAUGUCAAGCUAGUGACAAUAAAAGAGCGCUCCAUGGGAGGCAACCCAUGAUUUAAGAUUCCUGUUUGUUUUAAAUUCAAUAAGCUAUGAUCACCCUAGCAUGAUUUUGAAUCUUCAUGAACAGACUUGAUAGAUGCAUGCACUAUUUCGAAGCAUAUGCCAGACUUCUAAGUUUGGUGUCCCUUCAAGAACACCAAAUUAGUUUUUCAAGCAUUCUUAGACCAUAUGCUCAGUCAUUUCGCUGAAGUAUAUGACCAAACACUAAGUUUGGUGUCUGCAUGUGUAGUGAUUUUCAGAAGAUCAUUUCUUGUUCAUAGAAUCAAAGUCAUACAUAAAUGGAUCAUGCAUUAUAACAUUUUAGGACUUUAUGAUAGGAAAGAAAUUAUAUUUUAUGAUGAAGAUAUCAAUUGUGAUGAAUUGCUUGCAUUCUACAUUAAUCCCUUAGCAAGAGACAAGUUUGGUGUUCACCGAACCUUGGUUCACUAAUUAAGGGACACAAUUGAUUCUUUAUGAAAAAAAAAGGGGGAGUCACGGUUAGACAAUCAUAAGGAAUGAUAGUCAAUCUAUAGUUUUAGAUAUGAAAGGAUCUUGCUACCGUUUGAUAAUGCUUGUUCUUUUUGUCUUGUUGUGAUAGUUAGGUAGUCAGAGAACUAUUCAAUGGAAGGGAAAAGACAAGGAAGGGCAAGCUAGCAAGAAGACAAAAGUGGAUCACAUGGCUUGAAAGGUGAAUCUGCACAUCCUUGGAAGGAGCACUUUGAAGACCAAGGAGAUAUACUUUACGAAGAGGCAAACUUUGUCUUCAUUUAACUUUGCAUACACACCCUUCAUUAACCACUUGUCCAAAUGAAUCCUAACCCUCCAUUCUUCAUUAAAGUAUACUAUAAAAAGCCUCACUUGAACCAUGCACAUGAACCAAAUUUUCACACAUCUUGCACUCCAGAUAAUUCAAACCUUGUGUACCUUAAAACCAAGGCCUAGAAACCGUGUCCCCUCCUGACCAACUAAGCACCCUUGUUCACCUACACCCAUCAUACUACCCUCACUUCAAACACUCUUCUUCCAAAAGUACACCACACCACCCAACCUUCUUUGUAACUUAACUUCAACCCCUUCAACCAAUCAAGGAAGCAUGGCUUCUUCUUCAAGUGCAAAAAGACGGAAAGGAAAGGAACCCAUGGUUGAAGAAAGUGGUAGUGAAUAUGAUCGAUGGAAGUUCAAAUCAUGGUACCAUCAAAUGCAACUGGGAUGGAUGAAUGAUAGAAAGAUAUAUCCAGAAAUUCCAUUUCAGCUACCUGAUGAAGGAUGCCUAGAAAUGAAAGCCAAGAUCAGAAAGAGAAAAUGGGAAGAGCUCACAUCACCAAUCACUAGAAUUAAUGCAAACAUCAUAAGAGAGUUUUAUGCUAACACCCCAAGGCUUAAUGCGAAUGAAGCUCCAACUUACAAGAGCUAUGUACGGGGAGUAGAAGUGGAUUUUAGUUCGAAGACUAUUGCGAAAGUCUUAGGACUAAGGACAGCUCACUUUGAUGAAUCAGGGUACCACCAAAGAGUAAAUAGAAACCCAGAUUAUGAUGAAAUCUCUAGUGAUAUCUGUGUGGUGAACACAGAUUGGGAAAGAGAUGAACAUGGAAGGCAUAAAUACUUGAAAAGGGGAGAUCUAACCCCUGAGGCAAAAGGAUGGUAUGAGCUCAUAAAGAGAUCAAUCCUAGGUACAGUGAACACUUCAGAAGUUAACAAGCAAAGAGUUGUCAUGCUACACUGUAUGGUGAUGGGGGGAGAAGUGAAGGUUCAAGAAAUCAUCGCCGAUGAUAUUCAAAGGAUUGCAGAGAAGAGUUCGGCUGACGCUUGGCUGUACUACCCAAGUACCAUUAUGCGGUUAUGCAUGAAGGCUAAAGUACCACAAGAGGAUGCAAACCCAAAAUGGUUGAAUCCAGGCAUGCCUAUAACCUUUGAAAGAAUGAUGAUCGUCACAGAGGCGCAGCAAAGUUGAAGACCACAAAGAAGGAGAAGAAGAGAAGAACCAAAGGAGGAAGAAGAACCAUUGGAAGAACAAGGAGAACAGCAACAAGUUCAACCACAAAACAAUAUGAACAUGGUUCGGAUGCAAGAAGCAAUUCAAAGGCUAUCAGAACAAUACAUGGGAUUCAAGAGAAGCAGGAAGAAUUUCAUUCACAGUACAUGAGAGCUCAACAAAGACAAGAAGAACUUCAGUUGAGGAUGAUGAGUCAACAAAGAGACUAUGAGUCAAGAUCUUUGGUCAUGCAACAGGACCAAGCUUCACAAAUUCAAGAGUCAUUCAAUCAGUUGGCCCAACUGUACUUUGAGAAUAUGAGAGCUCUCAAGGAAUUCACAACCCUUCAGGAUGCAAGGUAUGGAGUUCAAGCUGAUUAUAACAUAAAUGGCCAAUUCAAGUUAAGCUAUAUUGUGGAUCAUCUACACAACAUGGAACCAGCAUUUUCAACUUUUGAUGAAUACUUCAAAGUGAGAAGUGAAAGAGAAGUAGACAAAGCAAUACUCCUGGAGAACAGGGUAGAAGAGACAAUGAAAAAAGUUGGAUUCUGGCAAAAGCUAAAAGGCAAGGGCAAGGGAGAAACUAGUAAGCAAGCAAGUGAGAAGAAAAACAAAGACAAAAAGGAAGACAAAUAAAAGGUGGACCCGCUCCUUGCUUAUCACAUUCACUAAAGAAAAGAACAUGCUUGUUUAGUUGGUAGUCAUUCUAGUUUGAUAGUUUUUGCAUCUUGUCUGUUUAACUUUACAAUAAGAAGGCUAGUUUAAGUGUGUGCUUGUGUGUGUUCACUUUCACUUGACUAAAUGCUUGUCUUAUGGCCUGAGUGUUUUCAAUUCAAUAAAAGAAAUGUUUGAAACAUGAAGCGAGAUAGUUCUUUGUUAGCUGGAAGUAAAAUAAUAGUAAGUGGUGGUAUGUGUGUUUGAUUGUGUGGUAGCUCACUCACAAUGAAUAAAAGGAAUAGCUUGUUCUCUUUUUAAGUGGAAAUUAGCCUGCUGUCUAUGAAUCUCAAGCAAAUAAAAAUCCUUGGUUAAAAGAAAAACAAAUAGAAAGAAAAAGAAAAGCCAAGAGUGGCAGAAAAAAAAAAGAAAGAAUAAAGCUAGACACCAAUAGCUUGAACACUAGGAUAUAUGCCUGUGGUAUCUUUGUACUAGGAUCUGCUUGGACGAUUAAGUUCUAUGGAGUGCUUUAACACUUGGUAACUUGGGUUAACUAACCCGAGAUUAUCAACUGAAAGUUCAAUAUCAAGAACAACUUAGUUACAAGACAUUUAGUGACCCAAAGAGGUGCUAGGCAUCAAUGUCCUAAGUAGAAAUAUGAGCCAAGUGUCUGCAGUGAAUAAUGUGUUGAGCACAAAUAAGUUGAGAAAUUGUUGUACACAUGACACUGAGCUAAAGCUUACAGAAAAAGAAAAUGAAGAAAAGUAAUCACCAAGGACAAGUAAAUAAUGAGAGGUCAUAGCAAUGUGUUAAUUGAUGCUUGAAAGAGACUUUCUAUGCCUAAAGGUCAAUAAGAAGUGAGUUGUUGCAUAUCUUAACAAAACCCCAUGAACUACCAAUAAUACUUUGCUAACGUGAACAUUCCCUUCCAUUUCAUUCUUUCUUCUUAAUAGUUCAGUACUUGCUUGGGGACAAGCAAGAUUUAAGUUUGGUGUUGUGAUGCCAUGGCAUCUUAUCCUAGUUUUACUAGUCUUUUUCUUUGUUUUCAUUUGGUUUUAUGCACUUUCCUGAGUUACAAGUAAGCCAUUUGGGUAUAAAUUCAUGUGUACUUGGAUUCAAUCAACCAAGAGUAAAUUAAUGCAUUUUCAUGAGGUAUUGUGCUAUAAUUGCUUAUAUGUCAAGGAUAAUAAGAAGUCUCAUGAUUUUAGCAUAGCUUUGAUGCAUUUAUUGGUUGAUAACAGGUAAAGAAAGACAUGGAGAAAGGUUGAAGAAAAGAGACUUGGAGAAGAGAAACAGAGCUCACGUUUGAGAUGGCGUUGGGGGUCCAACGUUAACCCCAACGUAGUUAGAAAAUGAUCAAGUCUGGGCCGAAGGAUUUUUGAGGUGCGCGCACGCGUACAUGCCGCGUAUGCACAAAAGCAACAAAUUUUGGCAUCCGCGCGGAAGCAUACAGCACGCGUACGCGCAGACGCAUAUUUUUGGCUCAUGUGCGCGGAAGCGCACGGUGCGCGUACGCACCACAACCAAACGUUGGGGGUCCAACGUUGCCUCAAACGCUACCUCCAACAUCUUCGAUGCUCAUCCCAGAAUUGAGAUUGGAAAAAGUGGAAUCGGCGCGCACGCACCAAUGCCACGUACGCGUACUAGGGUAAAAAGCAAUGCACGCGUAAGUGUGAAGUACGCGCACGCGUAAAAAUACCAACGUUGGAGGGAACGUUGGAGGUCCAACGCUGAGACCAACGUCAUCCCUCCCUGGAUCAAACUGGAAAUUGGAAAAUAUGCAUCCACGCGCAAGCGCGCAGUGCGCGCACGCGUGGAUGAGCAAUUUUGGCAAGGUGCGCGUACGCGUGGAUCGGCGGACGUUGGCCCUCCAACGUUGGGUCAAACGCCGAUGACAGCAGACCUUUCUGGUUUUACUGAUAUGAUGGAAAGUGGCGUUUGAGUUAACAUUGGCACUAAAAUGUUGACUCAAACUUGAAGCACCAGCAUCCAACUUUCACACAGAUCUCUUCUCAAGAUCAAGAGCAGUCAAUGGGAGCCAUCUUUGAUCCAAAUUCAUCAAGGCUAAAAGCCCAAUUCAAGGCUUGAAGAUUAAAAAUAGAAAGUGUAUAAAUAGAAGUUAGUUUGAUUUAGAAAGGGGACGGUAAUUUUUUUUUGUUUUUUUGGCUGUAAGCUCAGUUUAGUUGAGAUUGAAUUCUCCCUCCUCUUUAUUCUUACUCUGCAUUCCUUCUUUCUGUUUUGAGAAUUGUAGAGAGAGAUUGAAGGAAUUCUGUUUCAAUCCCUGAUCUACAAUUUAUCUUUGUGAAAGUCUGCAUAAUUUUAAGGAAUUGUGAAUUGAAUUAAGCUUUCUGAUUUCAUUCUUAUUGCUCCUACUAAUCUUGCUAUUUUCCUUUGGAUCUGGAAUUGAGAUUGGAACGAGUUCUAUUGAUUCAAAUUCUGAGAAUCAUUUUUUAUUCUUCAUCUCAAGUGAUCUAAGGACUGGAUCUAAAUUUCCCUUACUACUUCCAUUUUAUAUUUUUUUGCGAAUUGCUUGCUGAUCGGAUCAAGGAAGAAAUUGAGAUCUAGACUUGUUUUCUAGUCUCUUGACCCCUGAGAUCUGCAUUUUCAUUUUUGUUCAUUUGCUAAGGCUUCUUCAAGCCAAUUUACUUUUCUAUUUAAAGAUCCAGCUCAAUCCAAGUUAUCUUCUACUCUUUUACUUGUUGCAAUUUACUUUCCUUUGCUUAAAUUCUGCUAUCACAACUCCCUAAGCCCUUUAAUAUUCAAGCAAUUUACAUUUCCUGCACUCUAAGCUUCUGCAAUUUACCUUUCUUGCACUUUAAGUUUCUGUCAUUUACUUUACUUGUCCUUUAAGAUUCAGCUCUUUCACUUCUUUAAGCUCUUUAAUUUACUGCAAUUCUUCCCUCUCCCUUUACAAUUCAUGCAAUUUAGCUUCUGUCAAUUACAAAUCACUCAGAUCAACUCUUGUUUGCUUGACUAAAUCAUCCACUAAACUAAAAUUGCUCAAUCCUUCAAUCCCUGUGGGAUCAACCUCACUCCCGUGAGUUAUUAUUACUUGAUGCGACCCGGUACACUUGCCGGUGAGUUUUGUGUUGGAUCGUUUUCCACACAUCAGAUAACCCUAGAAAACUUUAGAAAAAUCCUUGAAAACCCUAGAAAACAAUAGAAAAAUCCUAGAAAACCUUAGAAAAAUCUAGAAAAUCCUAGAAAAAUCCUAAAAAUCCUAAAAACCAUAAAAAAAAAAUCCAAAAAACCCUAAAAAUCUUAGAAAAUUUUAGAAAACCGUAGAAAAAACCUAUAAAAUCUUAGAAACCCUUGAAAACCCUAGAAAAAUCUUAAAAAAACCCUAAAUAACCCUAGAAAAUUCUCGAAGACCCUAGAAAACCCUAGAUAACUCUAAAAACCAUAAAUAACACUAGAAAAAACCAUAAAAAACCCUAGAAAAAUCAUAAAAAACCCUAGAAAACCCUAAAAACCAUAGAAAACCCUUGAAAACCUUUGAAAAUCCUAGAAAAACCAUAAAAAUCCUAGAAAAGCCUAGAUAACCCUAAAAAAUCCUAGAAAAUCCUAAAAAAUUUUAGAAAAAUCAUAGAAAACCAUAAAAAAAAUCUAGAAGAUCAUAGAAAACUGUAGAAAAACCAUAGAAAAUCCUAGAAGAUCCAAAAAAAUCCUAGAAAACCGUAGAAAUCCCUAGAAAUACCUAAAUAACACUAGAAAAUCUUUGAUAACCCUAGAAAACCCUAAAAAAAUCUUAGAAAACAAUAGAAACCCUAAAAACCCUAGAAAAUCUUAAUAAAUCUUAAAAAAUCCUAAAAAGUCCUAGAAAACCCAAGAAAACCCAAGAAAAACCUAGAAAAUUCAAGAAAAUAAUAGAUAAAUCUUAGAAAACUGUAGAAAAUCUAUAAAACCCAAGAAAAAUCCUGAAAAAUUCUAAAAACCAAAAAACACCCUUGAAAGUCCUAAAAACUCUAGAAAAUCCUAGAAAAAACCUAAAAAACACAUGAAAACUCUAAAAGACCUAAAAAAACAUUAGAAGAUUCUAAAAAACCCUAGAUAACCCUAGAAAAUCUUAGAAAAACAUAAAAAAUCCUAGAAAACCCUAGAUAACCCAAGAAAAAUCUUAGAAAACACUAGAUAACCCUAGAAAACCUUAGAAAAUACAAAAAACCUGAAAAACCCCUAAAAAAACAUAGAAAAUCCUAAAUAAAUUCCUAGGAAACCCUAGAAAAUACAAAAAAAUCCUAGAAAAUCCUAGAAAACCUUAGAUAACCCAAGAAAAUCCUAGAAAAACCCUAGAAAAUCCUAAAAAUGCUAAACACCCUAGAAAAACCCUAGAAAACCUAAGAAAAAAUCUAGAAAACCCUAGAAAACUCUAAAAAACCUUAAAAAAUCCUAGAACAAAUAAAAAAAAACCCUAAAAAAUUAUUGAAAACUCUAAAAAUCCUAAAAACCCUAGAUAGACCUAGAUAAAACCUAGAAAAUCCUUGAAACCCCUCAAAAACUUAAGAAAAUCCUAGAAAACCUAGAAAACACAAGAAAAACCCUAAAAAACAUGAAAAAAAAAGUCUAGAAAAUCCUAAAAACCCUAGAAAACCCUAAAAAAACCUAGAAAAUCCUAGACAACCAUAAAAAACCCUAGAAAACUCUAGUAAAACCCUAAAAAAACCCUAGAUAAUACUAGAGAACCCUAGAAAACCUUAGAUAACCCUAGAAAAUCCUAGAAAAAUCCUAAAAAACCAUAGAAAAACCUAGAAAACUCUAAAAAACCCUACAUAAUAUCAUUUGCAACAUCCAUGUAUAGGUCUCCAACAUUCAUUAAAAGUUUUCACCUAUCGUAUUUUAAUCUACAUUAUUACUUAAUAGACCAAAAAUUACAGCAGGUAGAUAGCUUUUUGUCAUCUUCCGAAGCAAUCACUCAAUAUUUCCUCACAACAUCCUUCAUUAUUUUCCUUCCAUCUUUUGUUAUAUGUCCAUUCCCUUUGUAGCAUUUAGCAACAUGAUACAUAUAUAGAGAUAUCUUUUAAUUUAGUCAUCACAAUGUAUUUUUAGAUUCCCUUUAUAUAAAUGAAUAUCUCAACUUUUCUUUCUUCCUUCUUUCUUUCUCUUUUUAUUUCUUUCUCUUUUUUUGCUUAACUCAUUUUCUUCCUUGACAUCUUUGGAUUGAAAUUAUUAAUUUUGUUUAAAUCCAAAAUGGGACGAAAGUGAUCCUAGAGAUAGUGUUUCUUCGACUUCUCAACUUUUUUCAAUGGAUAAUAAUAUUCUGUGUGAUCUUAUAUAUUUCAAUUAACAAAUUAACAUAGACAAUAAUAAAAGACAGGAAUAUAGUUGGUCUAACAAGCAGUCAUCAAUUGCAUAGCUAUAAAAGAGUCUCAUUACGUGAAUAAAAGAUAAAUUGAGAAUUGAAAACAAUCAUAUGCAAGACACUUAUUACAUUGUAUUUAAUGAAGAUGGAUUAGUGAACUAAAAUGGUAAGCAAAAUCGAAGCAAACUAAGGCCUUCAUUCUUCCAUUUGUCUUUAAUUAAAUUCAAAUCACAAGCAAAUUAAGGCCCCAGAAUGUUAGCUAGUUCAUUCUUUUAUAAAGCAGCAAGGUUUAAUCAUACACAGAAAAAUUAAGCCUCUAUUUGGAAAGAACACAUCACACAUACUAAAAAGCUCUCAUAAAUUGCAUAAAGUUUAAUCACACUGUAUCUUUAUCUCAUAUAGAGGCAACCCAGAACUAUCUUAAUAAAAAAGAUAGAUAAACAAAGAAAUUUAAAAAUUGAACUAAUCCAUAUUCUGAACUGAUCAAGUCAUCAAUAUUCAAUAAUCAAUUAAUCAAAAAUCAAGAGAUGCACAGAAAAGUAGAAGAAAAAAUACGUCAUCAAUGUCCAUUUUAUUAAGCAAAUUCUUGUGCCAAAACUCUAUCAUUCGAGAAAAUGACACAAAAAAAUCAUACACAAUACCAUAGUUUAAAAAUAAAUAAAUUCAAUUCACAGAGGAAGAGGAAAAAAUAUUUAGAUAAAAUCAAACAAGAGACACAAAUUUAGGUUCCAGAUUGAGAAAUGACAACAAAUAGAAGAUAAAGAAGGAGAACGCAUACCUAAUUUUCUGAAGGAAGGAGACGUUCGUUGCAGUGCUGGCAGCAGAGUUUGCAGGCGGCGGCGGAGGCUGCUAGUGGAUAGAAUAGCGGUGGUGUGCAUAGAGAAAGCAAAAGGUUGGAGAGAGAGUACAGAGUAGAGAGCACAACAGCAGCGAAGAGAGGAGUAGAGAGCAGAUCGGCAUCGAGCUCAAAGGUUGCAGCCUCAACAGCAAUAGUAAUGGUGUACAAUGAAGAGAUCAGAGGGAUGCUGGAGAACGAAGUGGCUGCCAUUCUGGUCUAUGACAGGGUGAGAGACUGAGGGGUUGUGGAAGAAGAAUAUUGCAUAUUUGAAAGUAGUGGGUAUUGUUGGGUAAGCAAAGAGAAAAUGGGAUGUCAUAGUCGUUGAGGUAUUUUUUGGGGGGUUUGUCACUCAUGUAUUAAUUUGAAGUCUUUAGAUUUUUCAUUUUUGUUAAUAGUUUAUUAGUUUAACAAUAUUUCUUUAUAUUUAAAGAUCAAAUUAAAAUUAUGAUUAAAAAUCAAAUAUUUCAAAUUUAAACAAUAAAAUUUAAGAGGCUAAAUUAGAAUAAAUUAAAAUAGUUUGAAUACCUUACGAAUAAACUAUGUAAAAAUAUGACAAAUUAGAGGAUUGGAAAUUGAGUAUGACUAACUUACAUCCUAUAUAUGUAUAUGUUAUAAAAAUAUGUUAUACGUGGGUAUUAAACCAAGGAUCUCUCACUUAGAGCAAAACCCUAAAAAAUACCCUAGAAAAUCCUAAAAAAUCCUAGAAAACUCCUAGAAAACCCUAAAAAACCCUAAAAAAUCCUGAAAAAUCCUAGAAAACUUUAAAAAACUCUAGAAAAUCCUAAAAAAACCUAAGUACCUAACAAACCCUAGAAAACCCUAGAAAAUCCCUAAAAAAUCCUAGAAAACCCUAGAUAAUCCUAGAAAAUCCUAGAAAAUCCUAAAAAACACUAGAAAACCCUAGAAAACAAUAGAAAAAUCCUAGAAAACCUUAGAAAAAUCUAGAAAAUCCUAGAAAAAAUCUAAAAAUCCCUCUAGUCGAUGAAAAAUGCAAGGAAGGAAGAGAAGCAAACAUCUUGCUGGCACUAAACUCUGUUAUCGAAGGAGGGGAGCUUCUAAAGCGUACACGAAAAGGUAUCCUUAAAAUAUUUAUAGCAAUUGAAGUAAAUUAAAAUAAAUGGCAAAUGCACAUAGAAGUUUAUAUUUAUAACACAAAGUAUCCCUUUCUUUCUGAAUGUCAAAUGCAGGAGAUCUUCACUGGAAGCAAGUAUUUUUCAAUAUGAAUUCAAAUUUACAGGUAAUUGCUAGAAGACACUCAAAAAUCCAUCAAAAAAUAAUAGGCAUAGGAGAUAAUCAUAACCACUGAUUUUGUUAAUAUCUCCAAUUAAAUAGUUACAUGGAAUGUUCUAACAAAAUUACAACAGGUUAUAGCAAAAAUGAAGAGCAAGCACAUGGCAGGAACAUUCACCAAAAAGAAGAAAUGUAAGCUCAAAGUUUCAUUCAUAACUAUUCUUUCCCACAAUCUAAAAACCAAUGCUUUAAGGUAUGGCCUAUAAAAUCGCAGGUAUAGUCACCGGAGUCUGCAGUGAUGUCCAAGCUUGGCCAGGAAGAGAGAAAGAAGACUUAAUAGAAAAGAGGGCAUAUUUCGGAAUUAAAACUGCAGAAAGGAUAAUAGAGUUUGAAUGUGAGAGUAAAAGAGACAAACAGUUCUAGCUUGAUGGGAUUCAGUAUAUGUUGAAUUGCCAUGCCAAAGCGGCAUAAAUAUAAACAGAAAAUAAGAAAAAAUAAAAUGGCUGAUAUGGGGUUGCUUUUUCUACUUCUCUUUUACUUUUACUUUGUGAGAUGCUUAUAAAGAUGUACAUUUGAUAGAAUAACUGUAAGAUUUCGCCAAGGACUAUGACAGAGUACAAUGAUUUCAAUGAAGAGGCAUAGGAUCUAGAACCGUUACAUUGUCACUCUAAUUCCUUCAGGAAAUCAGCAUUAUCAACAAAAGCCUGCAUAAGUAAUACACAAGUCAAACUUUAAAAUACAAUAAGAUGGUAUCAUUCUAUGCCAAAGUCUCGGGUAUAAAUGAAAGGAGAACUCAGAUGAUAGGUAUAGAGAAAAAGAAGUAGUGGUAAAUAAUAUUUUGAGUUAUGUUAGGUGUACAUAUCUUGCAUCGCAAGUCAUCCGACUCACCCCGUUCAACCGUGGAUAGUGUGAGUCGGCAUGGUGUUUAAAAUAAAAUAUAUUUGCCUAGUAUUUCUCACGUUAUUUCACAUAUGAUUCAUUCCUCUCUAAUUACAUAUCAAACACAAACCACCCAUGAAUUCAUCAACAUAGUUGACCAGGUUGAAGUCUUAGAAGAAGCACAUAAUAAAUCCCAUACAAUCAAAUAGAUGGAAAGGUUACGCAUACCAAUUUGCAACCAUCAGGGUCCAAGGUCCAAGCAAACUGCUAUCUUGGUGUUGAUAACUGGCAGCGGCCCAGGUUCACGGAUAAUCUUGCCUCCACACAGUUUGAUUGCUUCUACACUCUUAUACACAUCAUUUGUGCCUAUUGCAAUAUGUGCAAACACAUAAAUGAGUUGCAUUCUAACAGUAAGAUAUAGAAAAUAGACACGGAGAACACCACAAAAAUCAAUAAAAUCACUUUCGAAAAUGGAAAAUAAAUAGUAUCUACCUGUCCAUAGCCAUUUCCUUUGUCAUAAUUAGUGAUUCCGUAGAUAUAUGUAAGUUCUAGAACAAUGUUCUUAUCUUCAGGACCAUACCCCAUUGUGGCAACUGUAUUCUAUAAACCAAUCAGAAUCAAUGACAAUUGAUAGCUAAAAAUCGAUAAAAUCAUGUUUUUUGUUUUUACUUUUUUUCUUCACAAAAUCUAAUAAGCAAAUGUUACUGAAAAUGAAAACAGAAACCAAACAAGCCAACUUGCGCAUGAUAUUAAUAAUUGCCACCAGCAUAAGUUUACCUUGUGCUCAGGAUUGUCUUUCCUAUGCAGAGGUUGCAUGCCAAUAGCCUUUUGAAAUCCAUAAAAACAAAGAAAAAAUAUUAAUACAUGAAAGAAAGAUGGAAUUCACUUCAUGAAAGAACCUUUCACAUUUUCAUCCUAACAGGAGUAGAAAACACUCACUUUCUGAUAGAAGACUAUGGCAUGGUCAAGAUCACCUACACGAAGUGACACUUAGCAUAGGGGUUCGGAAGUAAGUCCUCUUUCCAAGAGCUCAAAUUCAUAACCAUCAGGAUCUUGGAUGAAAGAAGUUACUGUGCUGCCACCUUUGACAGGCCCUGGUUCCUUGAUAACCUUUCCACCUUUUACUUUUAUCAGAUAAACUGCCUUGGCAGCCUAGAAAUUGGAGUAAGGACAAUAAUCAUCAUAAUUUAAGUCAGAAAUUUGACAGAGACAUGCAACAUACAUGAAAAUUGAGCAUCAAUAAAAGGAAAUGAACCAAAAACCACUCUUAAAAAGACCAUUUAGUUUUUAACUUCCUGUGAGAAUUUCAUAGUUUGAAGAUAACAACACACAUUGAUUAAUUGGCUGGUGAUGUUAGAUAAGCUGGUAACUAAUGUUCAUGAAAAAUAUAAAUUGGUUCUUAAUGCACCAAUGUGUUCAAUUGGAGACUCUAUUUGAAUUUUAAGUUGCUGUUGCUUAGUUCUACAAUAUCAACAAUCAUGCUUUGUUUUCUAAUUGUUCUAUAAUAGGAGCUUACAUCUUCAACUACAACACCCAAAUGACCAAACCCAUUUCCAAUGUCAUACUUGUCCACUCCAUAAUCUGCAAUGAUCAAGAAAUACAAACAAGAAACAUGAGAAGCACAAACUAUUUUAUGCUAAACAAAAGUUUGUAUCUUGCACAUCUAAACUCACUGUAGGUAAGCUCAACUGUAAAAUUGGAAUCUUCAGGGCCAUAUCCAAGAAAAGAAUUUGUGUAUCUUUCUUCAGGUAUAUCACGUUUUCUCAACAGCUUCAUGCCAAGGCACUUAGUGUAAAACCUAAAUAUAUAUACACAUUCCAAAAAUGUAAUCAAGAUUCAAGAAUAUAGUAUAAUAAUUGCAUUAAUUUAGGGCAACUGAAGCAUCAUAGGUAGCAUACUUUAUAGUCUUAUCCAAGUCCCCAACACGGUACACAACAUGUAAGAAUCUUCUAUUGUCAUUUUUGACCCAUUCAAACAAGUUUUGCUCUGGUUGAAUUAGAUUCUCUGCUGUAUUAGCCUUUGCUACUCUAAACAAUUCUGAACCUUUUACACCAAAUAACAGAGAUUGGGACUGUGGAAUAGCUGAACAAAUUGCCAUAACAAUUCUGUUAAUAUAAACAGAGUGAUAAUAUAAUUAAUUAACUCUAAGUAUCAAAUGGAUAAUAAUAAAGCUGAUGUGAAUGGAGGUUAAUUACCAAAUGGACCAAAAAGAAGGUGAAAGAGAGCUAGUCUUCUAGAAGGGUUAGGGUUGUAAGAGGAAAUGCAUAUAGUGAUAGAAGGGAAACUGAAAGAACAAGUUGUUGAUAACAUUAAGGAUGAGGCCAUGGCCAUUGCCAUUGCCAUUUGGCAAUGCUGCAAAUUGCUAAUGAAGCUGGUUGCCUUGUUCUCUUCUUCCCGACUACCUAAACCAAACAGCUCUAUCCACCAUGCAUCAUGCAUGGACAGUAAUUAUUGUUAACGGGAUUUUAUUAGAUUGGGCUUUAGCCCAUUGUAACUACAGCGUUUCGUAGAGUUUGGGCUUUUAUUUACAUCAUUGAGUCUGCUCGUUUUAAUUUUCUUUCAUCAAUUCAUUCGGCAAAACCUUUAUAUAAAAAUUAAGUCUUAAAUUUCCGAAUUGCGCAUAUUUAUUAUUUACCAUCGUGAUUUUGUUAGUAUACAAUACGUGUUGAAUCUCAAGAAGGAAGAAAAACAUAUUGACAAAUUGAACCACUAGUUUUGUUAGUAUUCGAUGAUUAUUUUAAGAGGAGAAAAAGGGUAUCGUUGGCAUGAAUUUUGAGUUGUAAAAUGCAUGCUCCUACAAUCUAUGUACAAAACAAAACCACAUGGUAAAAUACAAUGAUGUGGUUCUUUUUAGAAUAACAAAAGAAGUUUAUGCAAGAAUUGGCCUAGUUUAUUACCAUUGCAACUUGGGGGUAGAUGGGGGAAGAAGGUUGAAGAUACAGACUAAAAACAAGGAUUGAAGAUGUAUAAUUUUUAAGGUAAAGUAUAUUUUUUGUUCUUGAAAUUUGUUAAAAAUUUUAAAAAUAUUCUUAAGUUUUAAUUUGUUUCAAUUUUAUCCUUAAUAUUUUCAAUUUGUAUCAAUUUUAUCCUUAUCUUCAAAUUUUUUGGUCAAACUAUGGUCAACAUUAAUUUUUUCCAAUAACACCCCCCAAACCCUAUUCUCUUUCAUCAUCAUCCCCAAACUCACUCAGCAACAGUCCCAUCCGGCCAUCCCUCACUCCCUCUAUGAUUAUCUCUUCUGCCGUGUAGUCUACCUCCAGAACAACUCCUUCUCCAGCCACCUCCCUCCGCCGCUCCUCAACCUCACCAACCUAACCUCGCCAACCUCCAGCUACUCAACCUCGCUCACAACCUCUUCUCCGGCACGCUCUUCGGCCACAUAACAAACUUUCUCUAGUACCUCGAUUUGUCAUCCCACACAUUUUCCGGCGACGUUCCAAUGAACUUCUCCUCCAAAUCUCAACGCCAGCUCAUUAACUUGUCCUACAAUGACUUUUUUGGUGGGAUUUCGGUCACCAUCGGAGCUCUAAAGAAGCUCGAGCAUCUCUGGCUUGGCUCCAACAACUUCCAUGGAACCUUACCUUCAACACUUGCAAACUGAAAGAUAUAACGCCCCAUGAGAAGAGAAGGUUGUUGAUUCCCAACAUGAUUCCAACGAAGAUGAUAAAGGUAGAAUCUUUUUGUUGAAAUCUUUGAGAACAUGCUUGAAGAUAUAUACAGUACCCACAAAGAGAAGAAAGUAAUUGAGAAUCAGAAGGGACAUGUACCUCUUAUUUGUUAUGGAGUUUUGAUCUGUUGUUGCAUGGAGCUGUUGUUGUGUUUUGUUGUUGUUGAUGUUGCCGUUGCCCAUAUUUUAUUUUGCUUCUUCUUCUUAAAUGUUGAUGGAUUUGAUUUCAAGUGCUUCAUAGCACUUGUUGGUUGGAGCCAUGGUCAGGGAUUGGUGGUGGAAUGCUGGGUCUUGUAAUNNNNNNNNNNNNNNNNNNNNNNNNNNNNNNNNNNNNNNNNNNNNNNNNNNNNNNNNNNNNNNNNNNNNNNNNNNNNNNNNNNNNNNNNNNNNNNNNNNNNNNNNNNNNNNNNNNNNNNNNNNNNNNNNNNNNNNNNNNNNNNNNNNNNNNNNNNNNNNNNNNNNNNNNNNNNNNNNNNNNNNNNNNNNNNNNNNNNNNNNNNNNNNNNNNNNNNNNNNNNNNNNNNNNNNNNNNNNNNNNNNNNNNNNNNNNNNNNNNNNNNNNNNNNNNNNNNNNNNNNNNNNNNNNNNNNNNNNNNNNNNNNNNNNNNNNNNNNNNNNNNNNNNNNNNNNNNNNNNNNNNNNNNNNNNNNNNNNNNNNNNNNNNNNNNNNNNNNNNNNNNNNNNNNNNNNNNNNNNNNNNNNNNNNNNNNNNNNNNNNNNNNNNNNNNNNNNNNNNNNNNNNNNNNNNNNNNNNNNNNNNNNNNNNNNNNNNNNNNNNNNNNNNNNNNNNNNNNNNNNNNNNNNNNNNNNNNNNNNNNNNNNNNNNNNNNNNNNNNNNNNNNNNNNNNNNNNNNNNNNNNNNNNNNNNNNNNNNNNNNNNNNNNNNNNNNNNNNNNNNNNNNNNNNNNNNNNNNNNNNNNNNNNNNNNNNNNNNNNNNNNNNNNNNNNNNNNNNNNNNNNNNNNNNNNNNNNNNNNNNNNNNNNNNNNNNNNNNNNNNNNNNNNNNNNNNNNNNNNNNNNNNNNNNNNNNNNNNNNNNNNNNNNNNNNNNNNNNNNNNNNNNNNNNNNNNNNNNNNNNNNNNNNNNNNNNNNNNNNNNNNNNNNNNNNNNNNNNNNNNNNNNNNNNNNNNNNNNNNNNNNNNNNNNNNNNNNNNNNNNNNNNNNNNNNNNNNNNNNNNNNNNNNNNNNNNNNNNNNNNNNNNNNNNNNNNNNNNNNNNNNNNNNNNNNNNNNNNNNNNNNNNNNNNNNNNNNNNNNNNNNNNNNNNNNNNAGCCUAGAAAUUGGAGUAAGGACAAUAAUCAUCAUAAUUAAAGUCAGAAAUUUGACAGAGACAUGCAGCAUACAUGAAAAUUGAGCAUCAAUAAAAGGAAAUGUACCAAAAACCACUCUUAAAAAGACCAUUUAGUUUUUAACUUCCUGUGAGAAUUUCAUAGUUUGAAGAUAACAACACACAUUGAUUAAUUGGCUGGUGAUGUUAGAUAAGCUGGUAACUAAUGUUCAUGAAAAAUAUAAAUUGGUUCUUAAUGCACCAAUGUGUUCAAUUGGAGACUCUAUUUGAAUUUUAAGUUGCUGUUGCUUAGUUCUACAAUAUCAACAAUCAUGCUUUGUUUUCUAAUUGUUCUAUAAUAGGAGCUUACAUCUUCAACUACAACACCCAAAUGACCAAACCCAUUUCCAAUGUCAUACUUGUCCACUCCAUAAUCUACAAUGAUCAAGAAAUACAAACAAGAAACAUGAGAAGCACAAACUAUUUUAUGCUAAACAAAAGUUUGUAUCUUGCACAUCUAAACUCACUGUAGGUAAGCUCAACUGUAAAAUUGGAAUCUUCAGGGCCAUAUCCAAGAAAAGAAUUUGUGUAUCUUUCUUCAGGUAUAUCACGUUUUCUCAACAGCUUCAUGCCAAGGCACUUAGUGUAAAACCUAAAUAUAUAUACACAUUCCAAAAAUGUAAUCAAGAUUCAAGAAUAUAGUAUAAUAAUUGCAUUAAUUUAGGGCAAUUGAAGCAUCAUAGGUAGCAUACUUUAUAGUCUUAUCCAAGUCCCCAACACGGUACACAACAUGUAAGAAUCUUCUAUUGUCAUUUUUGACCUAUUCAAACAAGUUUUGCUUUGGUUGAAUUAGAUUCUUUGCUGUAUUAGCCUCUACUACUCUAAACAAUUCUGAACCUUUUACACCAAAUAACAGAGAUUGGGACUAUGGAAUAGCUGAACAAAUUGACAUAACAAUUCUGUUAAUAUAAACAGAGUGAUAAUAUAAUUAAUUAACUCUAAGUAUCAAAUGGAUAAUAAUAAAGCUUAUGUGAAUGGAGGUUAAUUACCAAAAGGACCAGAAAGAAGGUGAAAGAGAGCUAGUCUUCUAGAAGGGUUAGGGUUGUAAGAGGAAAUGCAUAUAGUGAUAGAAGGGAAACUGAAAGAACAAGUUGUUGAUAACAUUAAGGAUGAGGUCAUGGCCAUUGCCAUUGCCAUUUGGCAAUGCUGCAAAUUGCUAAUGAUGCUGGUUGCCUUGUUCUCUUCUUCCCGACUACCUAAACCAAACAGCUCUAUCCACCAUGCAUCAUGCAUGGACAGUAAUUAUUGUUAACGGGCUUUUAUUAGAUUGGGCUUUAGCCCAUUGUAACUACAGCGUUUCAUAGAGUUUGGGCUUUUAUUUACAUCAUUGAGUCUGCUCGUUUUAAUUUUCUUUCAUCAAUUCAUUCGGCAAAACCUUUAUAUAAAAAUUCAGUCUUAAAUUUCCAAAUUGCGCAUAUUUAUUAUUUACCAUCGUGAUUUUGUUAGUAUACAAUACGUGUUGAAUCUCAAAAAGAAAGAAAAACAUAUUGACAAAUUGAACCACUAGUUUUGUUAGUAUUCGAUGAUUAUUUUAACUUUUAGAAAAAAAAGGGUAUCGUUGGCAUGAAUUUUGAGUUGUAAAAUGCAUGUUCCUACAAUCUAUGUACAAAACAAAACCACAUGGUAAAAUACAAUGAUGUGGUUCUUUUUAGAAUAACAAAAGAAGUUUAUGCAAGAAUUGGCCUAGUUUAUUACCAUUGCAACUUGGGGGUAGAUGGGGGAAGAAGGUUGAAGAUACAGACUAAAAACAAGGAUUGAAGAUGUAUAAUUUUUAAGGUAAAGUAUAUUUUUUGUUCUUGAAAUUUGUUAAAAAUUUUAAAAAUAUUCUUAAGUUUUAAUUUGUUUCAAUUUUAUAUUUAAUUUUUUCGAUUUGCAUCAAUUUUAUCCUUAUUCCAAAUUUUUUUAUCAAACUAUGGUCAACACUAUUUUUUUUUCAAUUUUACCCUUCAAAAUCUAUUCACUUUCAUCAUUUCCAAAAUAUUAUUUUCUCUCUCUUCCAAAUACCCCAUCACCAAACCCCUUACCACUACCGCCACUAUUAUCAUCAUAUCUUCCCCUUAAUCUUAUUUCUAAACAGAAUAAAGAAAAGAAAUCGAAAAAUCUCAAUAAACUGAUUCAAAAAAAUAAAAAUGGCAGAAGAUUAUAACCUUCAUAAUCAAGAACAAGAACAACAACAAUAACCCACCAAGUUGCUCCAAUUCAGAGACUCACUUCAACCCGAGUUAAUGCAGUUCUUUGUACUUUGCAGCUCGAAAAUUCCCGUGAGAAAAUUAAAGACAAGUUUAACAAUUUGAAUGGACAAAGAAUCGCACAACAACGAAGUGGGGACCGAACCUAAAAAGUUAUUUGUUGAAAGGGACAGAAACUGAAGUCUCAGCAUCUUCCCUAUUUGUUGAAGGGAAUAACCCUCCGAUGGAAUUCUUCUCGGCGUUGACGUGAACGUGGUUGAUGGUGACCGGAAUCCAAGGGUUUUCUAGGGUUAUCUAGGAUUUUCUAGGGUUUUUAGGGUUUUCCUAGGGUUAUCUAGGGUUUGCUAGGUUUUUUCUAGGGUUUUCUAGGAUUUUUUAAGGAUUUUUUGAGUUUCUAGGGUUUUUUAUAGUUUUCACAAUUUUUAGGGUUUUUCUAGGAUUUUCUAGAUUUUUCUAGGGUUUCUCUAUUAUUUUCUAGCGUUUUUUAGGAUUUUUCUAGUAUUUUCUAGGAUUUUCUAGGAUUUUUCUAAAGUUUUCUAAGGUUAUCUAGGGUUUUCUAGGGUUUUUUAGGGUUUUCUAGGGUUUUUUAGGAUUUUUUAGAAUUUUUUAGGAUUUUUUAGGGUUUUCUAGGGUUAUCUAAGAUUUUCUAAGGUCUUUUAGAGUUUUCUAGGAUUUUCUAUGUUUUUCUAAAUAUUUUUUUCUCUUACUCUGUGAAUUGAAUUUAUUUAUUUUUAAACUAUUGUAUUUUGUAUGAUUGUUUUGUGUCAUUUUCUGGAAUGAUAGAACUUUGGCACUAGAAUUUGCUGAAUGGAAUGGACAUUGAUGGCGUGUUUCUUCUUCUACUUUUCUGUGCAUCUCUUGAUUUUUGAUUAAUUGAUUAUUGAAUAUUGAUGAUUUGAUCAGUUAAGAAUAUGGAUUAGUUCAAUUUUUAAAUUUCUUUGUUCAUCUACCUUUUUUAUUAGACUAGUUCUGGGUUGCCUCGUUAUGAGAUGAAAAUACAGUGCGAUUAAACUUUAUUCAAUUCAGUGAGAGUUUUUUAAUAUUUGUGAUGUGUUCUUCCCAAAUAGAGGCUUAAUUUGCUUGUGUAUGAUUAAACCUUGCUGCUUUAUAAAAGAAUGAACUAGUUAACAUUCUAGGGCCUUAAUUUGCUUGUCAUUUGAAUUUAAUUAAAGACAAAUGGAAGAAUGAAGGCCUUAGUUUGCUUCGGUUUUGCUUACCAUUUAGGUUCACUAAUCCAUCUUCAUUAAAUACAAUGUAAUAAGUGUCUUGCAUAUGAUUGUUUACAAUUCUCAAUUUGUCUUUUAUUCAUGUAAUGAGACUCUUUUAUGGCUAUGCAAUUGAUGACUGCUUGUUAAACCAACAAUAUUCUUGUCUUUUAUUAUUGUCUAUGUUAAUUUGUUAAUAGAAAUAUAUCAGAUCACACAGAAUAUUAUUAUUCAUUGAAAAAGUUGAGAAGUUGAAGAAACACAGUCUCUGGGAUCACUUUCAUCCCAUUUUGGAUUAAAAAAAAUGAAUAGUUUACAAUAAAAAGAUUUCAAUGAAGAAAAUAAGUUAAGCAAAAAAAGAGAAAGAAAUAAAAAGAGAAAGAAAGAAGGAAGAAAGAAAGUUGAUAUAUACAUUGAUAUAAAGGACAUCUAAAAAUAUAUUGUGAUGACUAAAAGAUAUCUCUAUAUAUGUAUCAUGUUACUAAAUGCUACAAAGGGAAUGGACAUAUAACAAAAGAUGGAGAAAAAAUAAUAAAGAAUGUUGUGAGAAAAUAUUGAGUGAUUACUUUGGGAGAUGACAAAAAGCUAUCCAUCUACUGUAAUUUUUUGUCUAUUAAAUAAUAAUGUAGAUUAAAAUGACGAUAGGUGAAAUCUUUUAAUGAAUGUUGGAGACCUGUAUCUGAAUGUUGCAAAUUAUAUUAUGUAGGAUAUUUGUGUCUUUAUUUAUAGUCUAUUGUAGACAUAGUUAUCAAACCCGGCUCAACUCGGCCGAUUCGACCGAAAACCCGAUCACCCGGUCACCUGACUAGAUCGAGCCACUCAUUGAACCGAUUGUGCAACAGACCUGGUUCGACCCGACGGGUUUUCGUGAAACCCGAUGACCCAGCUGAUUAAUUUAACCCGGUCCAGGUCGUUUUUUUUUUCUUCUUAAUACCUGAAACGGCGUCGUUUCAUAACCCUCUCCUCCCCUUCCCCUUUCGAUGAAACUCUAUGCCCAAAUGCCAAAUCUAAGACUCUUGAAUCUUUGUGCUCUCUCCGUCUCUAGCUCGGCAGUCAGAACUCAGUACUCAAUAGUCCCUCUCUCAUCUCUCCCCUCACCUCGACAGUCGUCACUCUCAGUCUCUCACGGCCUCACCUCAUCGCUCUCUCAGUCCCCCACCUCAUCCACUCACCUUGGUCGUCGUCACGGUCCCAUGCCCCUGUGCUCGCUUCGCUGGCGGCAGAAGCAAAUGGAACCGCAUCUGGUCCCUCGGGUGGUGGUGGUGGUAAUCUUCUUGCUUCUCACAGUCUCUAUCUCACACCUGGUCUCGAUCUCUCCCUUCCCUACGCUAUUCAUCGCUGGUAACAGAGCCAACAGAUCCUAGUGGGCUGGUCUUCGUUGUCGUCUUCUUGCUUUGAGCCUUGCCGUCAGCUUCUUCCUCGCCAUCAGCUUCUCCUUCGCUGUCAGAUUCCUUCGUGCAACCCGAUUUGGUGAGUUCCCCCUGUUCUUUCUGUUUCAAUUUUUUUGCUGCAUCACUGCACUUUGAUUUUGUUGCCAAAAUAAUUUGUUGCUGAAAGUUGAAUGUGUUGAUGAAAUUUGUUAUAUCAUAGUUUAUGUUUUUGUUGCUGCCUGAAAGUUAUCAUAGUUAUCAUAGCUGAAUUUGUUGCUAGAACUCUAGAAGUAGAAUUUGUUGUUAAGUUGAAUUUGAUGCUGAACCUAUCAUAAAUGUGGUUGUUGCUAGAAAUAGAAUUUGUUACUGGAUAACUGACUUGAGUUGAAUUUGUUACUGAACCUUCUUGUUGUGUUGCUUAAAAAAUGCUAAAUCUUUUGUUGCUGUAUGUUAAGGGAUAAGAGAUAAGAGAGUUAGUCAAUAACAAAAUCAGUUUGGUACAGUUAGUUAGGGUUUGUUAUUCUGAUGUCUGAUCUUUUUCUCUUUUUCAAUUCUGUUAUAAAUAAAGCUCUUGCAUCUCUCUAAGAGGUGUGUAGAAUUGAUUCAUUGAUGGAGGAAUAAGAUGAAGUUAAUUCAGUUCACUAGUUUCUUGUACCUCUCUCUUCAAACUCUUCUUUCUCUAUUUCAGAUGUUCUGCAUAACAUCAUAAUGCAGUGUUUCUUAUGGAAGAUACAGAUGCAAAUCAAAGUGAAAAAAAUGUUGAUCAAGCUCCAAAUUUGUCCUAUGAAGAUAUAGAUGUCGAUCUUAAGAUCACUUAGACUUGAUUAUUGAUUAUGUUAUCUUUUGUUUGUUCUUGUUUAUUUAAAUAGAGAAAGUAUUUUCUACUAGAAACUAGUUUAUUAUCUCUUUUUCAUUAUUAGUUGUCUAAAAAUUAACAUUUGAUUAUUAUUAUUAUUAUUAUGUUUGUAAAGACUUGCAUUUUAAGUUUUAAUAUGUAAUUUUAAUUUCAUUUAUAUAAUUUUAUAUUUUUUAAAUUAUGACCGGGUCAACCGAGUGAAUCAGUGACCCAUCGGUUGAACCAGACCGGGUGGAUUGCCGAUUCAGUUCUGAUAACUAUAAUUGUAGAUUUGUAGCCCUUUUUUCUUACUAUAUUAGUUUUAGUAUAUUAAAGGCAAAAUUUCCAAGGCGUAGAGUGAAGAAAAUGGUCAAACAAUCAACUCAAUUGAAGGAACUUAAAACCCAAACGCAGCAACCUCAAUUCAAAGAGCUUGAAAUCGAAGGUACAGCAAAAUCAAAUAACAAAUUUCUUGAUCAGCAUAAAGUUUUCACUAUUUAUUUAUUUUUAUUAAAACUCUACCUGUGUGUUUGUGGCAGUGGAGCGUCAAAUCAGUGCAAUUAAGGUGGUUCGUGAUGUUGAGAUUGAGCGAUUGUUGAUGGAACUUCGUUUGGUUCCGUCGUGUUUCAGUGAGGAACAGCUCCGGAAGCCAAUGCUGCAGGUCUUCGAAGAAACCUUACCGAAUCCCUCAAUUGUGAAAGAUGAAGGGAAUGGAAAAUUUGAUGUGAAGUAGAAAGAGAGAGGGAGCAGAAUGUCCACGACUUGUGGUGGUGUAGGAAGAGAUUUGCACGCUUCUCUGUUCUAGAGGCUUUCGAUUGCUUUUCCUUCGGAAUGUCCUUUUUCGGUUCCUUAGUUUGGUGGUUUUGAAUACUCUAGCAAUACUGGUAGUGUUUAGUUUUCUCUUUCGAUUUAACUCAUUUCAUAUCUGAAUUAAAGUUUCCUAAAUUGAAUUAAAAAAAAUGGAAAUGUAUGUUACGAAACAUACUAUUGUUUUGUGCCCCUUAAAAUGUUUGAGUUCCUUCAAUUUUGAACGAUUUUACUAUAGAUAUUAUAGUUCUUAUACAUUUUGGCAUAGAUUGUAGUUGAUACCUGUUAGUUUACUUCUUUGUUGGUAGGGAGAACCGGAUUUCUUGGUGAUGAAAAUCUUCAUUUUAAGGACUUUGUAUGUUCUCUAUCUUCUCUGUGCACUUUGAUUAAUUGUAUUUUGUAACAUCCUUAGCUGGCUUGUUUGGGUCACUUACAUAGGACUUGAUGCGACAUAAAAUUGGGGGUAGCUGUGUAGGAGCAGCAUUAAUAUAGCACUUCCAUUCUCAUUUCCAUCAUGUGCUGAAGCAUCCAUGAAUUGAUUUGAAUGAGAAAUGUUGCUAUUCAUUUAGGAUCCUUUCAUGUGCAGAUGGAAGAGAACUUGCCUCUAUUACUAGUUUCAUUGCAUACGCUGCUAAAUCUAUUAUGACUAACUUAAACAGCUUGCAAAUAAAAACUAAUUAGUGAUUGCAAUGUAUUGUGAUAAUAUGAAUUGAUUGAAUAUCUUGCUAUAUCUUGUUCAUUUAGUUUCCUUGUUGCAUGAAGAGAUACUUUUCUAAAAAUAAACUACCAAGAAUGGUACUCGAAAGUUUAUGCCGCUAAUAAAAAUAACCUAGAAAGAUAACAAAUAAGCUCCAAAAGAUUUAAAAAGUGAGAAAACUAACCGGAUAUUAGUUAUAUUUUUUUCAUAAAAUACUUUAGAUAUUAGAUUUCGAUGCGAUUUUUUGUAAGUAUUAUUAGAAAAAUGAGACUUUGUCAUAGUUAAAAUUUGGUGAUUUGUCAAGGAAUUUUUUCAAUGUUUUUUGUGAAUGAUUGAAUUUAAAAUAAAAUGCACAAGUUGUUUACUAAAUACAAAAUUCCUUUAUCAUUUAUGUAAAAAAAAUAUGAUAUUUUUGUUAAUUUUGUCACGUUUUUAAAUCUUUUGAGACUUCUUUGUCAUUCAUAGAAAUCUUAUUUGGUUAUUUUUCAUAGCGAUAUGAGUUUUUUGGUGCAAUUUCGAUAGUUUACCUUGUUCCUAAUAGCAUGUGAACUAUUUUUAGCUCAAUUUGUUAGUUACUUUAUAAGCUAAGCUCUUAAGCCAGUGAGCUACUGAGCUUGAGCUAAAAAUUUGAGCUCAUUUAUUAAAUGAGUCAAACUUAACUUUGCUAUGUUCCAUGAGCAGGGUUUGGUAGAGUUGAUGGAAGGUAUACCGGUUCGGAAUUCCACAAAAUACUUCCGUUGUUAGUAUAGCCCAACCGAUAAUCAAUCCUCAAUCCCAAAUUAAGAAAGGGUGGUUGUCACAAGUGCUAACCGCAAAUAAGAAUGUAACCGGAGUAUUUAGACUCUGGGUCGUCUCACGAAGAAUGGGCAAGCAUGUGCUUUAGCAUUGAUAAAAAAUACGGGGUUGAGAAUCAUGGUAAUGAAAAUUAACUACCAAGCUUGUCAUGCAAGAAAUCUUAAAAUGCAAGAAACUCUAAAUUUAAGCAAUUAACUAAAUCAAGAACUAGCAACUAAGAAUUUUGGUUUUUCAAAUAUGAAUCAAAGGUACUCUUGACUAAGCAUGGGAAUUGGGGUCUCUAUCCUUGUCUUCAACUAUAAUUAGCCAAUUGUGACGAACCAAACUCACUAAGUCUACCUCAAAGAACCUUAAGUACGUAAUAUUUACUCCUAGGGUUGAGGUAUGUCAAGUGGUUUGACCAAUUUCAACACAUAAGUCCCAACCAAUCUACUAAUUAGUAGUGGGUUGGUGUUAAUGGGUGUCAAUUUGGUCACUAAGGGUUCUCCAAUCAAUAAUCCAAUGAGACCCAAUGACUCAAGGUCACCCAAUUCUCAUAACUUAGACCAAGAGUAAAAGAAACUACUCCAUAAUUAAAGCAAACAUUUCAUCAAACACAUAGAAUGCACUAACUAGAGACAUGUUCAAAUUACAAUUAAAUUGAGAAUUAUGAGGACCCACUAACAAUCAUUUAUAGAAACUACACAAUUAACACUAGCAAUCACAAGAAGAAUCAACAUAUUCAUAGAAAUCAACACCCACAAUGUUCAUGAAUUGGGGUAGAAAAUUGAAAAGCAACAAGACAACACAAUCAAGAUAAGAUCUAAACAAAAUAACACUAGAGGAUUCAAAUUGAGUAAACAAGAGUAUCAAACAACAAGAUCCAAUCCAGUAAUUUCACAAUGGGAGAUCAAAAUCAAGCUAGAUCUAGGGAGGAAGAAGGGUUCCCUCUCUAGAUGAACAAAAACUACCCAAAAACUCAAAAUGUGUCUAAGUGUCUAAUGUGUGAUCCCCCCUUGCUCCUACAAUCCCUGGGUCAUUUCCAUGCAGAGCUAGCCUUCAAUUGGGCCCCUCCCGGCCUCAGAAAUCGCCAGCCACAAUUUCAUUAAUGAGGUCACGUGCUGGUCACGACGCGUGCGCGCCAGGUGUGCGCGCGCACCGAUGAGCUCCUGAAUCCACGCGUACGCGCACGGUGCGUGUGCGCGCCGAUGACGAUUCUUCCAAUGAGCGCGAGAGCGUUAGCUAUAUGCGAGUGGCCACAAUAGUACGCAUCCACGCGUGCGCGCCAGGUGCGCGUGCGCGUCGAUGACUGAACUCCAAGGCUCCAAAGUUCCAUGUUUCUUCACUUGUGCAUGCUUCCUUCUCCUCUUCUAGACCAAUCCUGCCCUGGAAACUCUAAAAUCACUGAAUAAACACGUCACGGCAUCGAGUGGUAAUAGAAGAGAUCAAAAUAUAGCAAUUCCAGCUCAAAUAAGCAUGUUUUCAAUCACAAGGUCAAACACGGAUGGAGAUACAAAACCAUGCAAUUCAAGUGGAUAAGUGCGGAAAUAUUGACAAAAUCUUCUCAAAUCAGCACAAGAUAAACCACAAAAUUAGGGUUUAUCAAAUCUCCCCACACUUAAACCAUGCAUGUCCUCAUGCUAAAGAUAAGAAGACCAAAGGAUAUAGGGAAAAGAGAGUUGUGGAAUGGAACUAAUGCAAAUGCAUCUACCUACUUGGUCAAGGGUGAAUCUAUCCUCCAAGAAUAUAUGGGAAUACAUAGGGUUAAGGUGACAUGAUAGUCCAAGAAUCCUACCAAUUCAAAGCAUCACAAUGCGGUGAACAUAACUUGCAAGAUGUACGCUUGUGAAAGUCGGGAACAAGAAGUUGAGCAUCGAACCCUCACCGGAAGUGUAUCCGCUCUAUUCGCUCAAGUGUAUAGGGUUCGCCACUCAAUUCCCUUCCAAUCAUGCUCUCCAAGAUUUGUCCUUCAUCUAACAAUCAACAAUUAUUUUAAUGCAUGCAUACAGUUAUCAUGAGGUCUUAUUUUCAGUUGUAAUGGGGCUAGGGUGAGGGUAAGGAUGCAUGUAUGGCCAAGUGAGCUUAAGAUUUGUAUCUUUGAUUAGCUUAGAUCCUCACCUAAAACAUACAAUAACCUAUGCAAUUCUAAUACAUAACCUAGCUACCCAAUUAUCCACUUUUCCUCAUGCUCAUGUAUUUCUCUUUAGUUCUUCAUCUGCAUGCAUUGGUGAUCAUUGGCUUUGCCUUGGGGUAAUUUGUCCCAUUUUCAUUGUUUCUUUAUCUAUGUUUUUGUCUCUUUUGUUUUUCUCUUUUUUUUUCUAUUCUUUUUUUUUUUACAUUCUUCCUUUUCUUUCUUUUUGUUUCUCUUUGCUUGUCCCCUUCUUUUUGGGGAUUUUAUGUACAAGAGUGCCAAUGCAUGCGGUCCAAUCAUUCAAUACAUAAGUAUGUUCUUACCUCCCAAAUUUUUUUUCAUUAUAAUUACAAAAACCUACCUUUACAUCUACCCAAGUUCCCAGGUAUUCCCUCCCAAUUGAAUAACACACACCCUCACUCACCUAAGCUAAUCAAGGAUCCAAUUCCAGGGACAUUCAUUGUUUUCUGCUUAGGGGUGUUGACGUGCUAAAAUUAAGAACAAAAGGGAUUAUUAUGGGCUCAAAAUUGGUUAGCAAUGGUAGAUAAAGGUUAAGGCUAUUUUGGGGAAGUGAAGUGACUAUUGAAAUGAUAGCCUCAAUCAUGUAAAUGCAUUCAUACACCAAAUAAAGGACAUAUAGAGUCAGACAAAGCAAUGAUUACACUCAUGGAAAGAGAAUGUUCGCACACAAGAAGAAAAAUAAGUAGUCAUAAGAUGUGACCACGUCAUUAGGCUCAAGUCCCACAAGCUUGUGUUCUUAACUCAACAAUCAUGUUCCAAAGUACAUUCUUCUAGCAAGUUUGUCACACAAAAAUUUUUUUUUUCAAUUAAUUGGUAGGGUGCCCUAAAAAUACAUUUUCUCAGAAAAGGAAGUUAUUACUUUGACCAAGUGUAAACUAACUAUCAUGCAAGGAGUAUUCACAAGCAAAAGUUAACUAACAUGCAAUCUACUGACUAAUCAAGAACAUCCAUGGGUGAGGAAGAGAUGGUUACCCAUGGAGAUCGGUCGAACGACCUCCCCACACUUAGAAUAUAGCACGGUCCUCCGUGCUACUAGCAAUGCGCAAAGGACGGUCGGGACUGGAACUAGCACUAUCCUCUUCAUCAGAGCUCCUGUCAGUUGGGUUCGAAGUGGAUGUGAAUAUUUCGCGUUCCUUCAGUUUAGGGGUAACACAACGCAGAAGCUUCUUGAUGUAAGUAUAGCGGCGUUGGUUGCGCCACUCAUAUCUAUCAAUCUUUCGGUGGAGAUCUUCAAUUUGUUGAUGGGUGGAUCUUUGUGGUGGUAGUGAUGAUGAUGUGGAAGGAAAAAUAGGCUGCGGGGUAAUGUCAAGGCUUGGGGUAGUCAAGGGAAGCUGUAAGUAUCUCCCACUCGGGACUACAUCGCCCUUGGCCGGAAUUAUAGCCUUCGUGUUCGUGGUCUCCCAAGGAACACCCGCUGCAGCGACUAAAGUAGAUACCAAUGCUGGUAAUGGCAAAUUACCCCGAGCAUGGAUUUGACUCAUUGCUUGUUGGACAAGAAGUGGAAUGUUCACCGGUCUCUCUGUGAGAACACACCAAACAAGCAAGGCAAGAUCCGCCAUGAAGGACGACUUGUGGGUGCUAGGUAGCACAUAGUGGGAGAGGAUCUGGGCCCAAGCUCUAGCUUCCACAGUAAGGUAACGAGCAUCGAUGCACUUGGGCUGCAUCCGGAGUCGUCCUUGGGUCCAAAAUGUCUCUGGCUCAGUGAUGACUCGAAGAAUCGAGUCCCAAUCAAACCCAAACGCACUUCGCUGACGUAAGACCUCUUGGUAUCCAUCCAUUUCCCUUGGUACCGGUAGGACAUUAAGCACAUGCUGAAUAGCCUCUUCUGAAACCAGGACUUGCUUUCGGCGCACAUAUACUGGCUGAAGAGAUGGGAGGUGGUAGUUGGUAUAAAAAUCUACCACCCAAGAGAUUGACCUCUUGUGGUUUUCUCAGAAGAAAAUCCCAUCCUCGCCGCUCGAUGCGGGGUAGGAUAUAAUGGGCAAUCUUGUCCGGAGGGGUGAGUAGAUGCUCAGCAUGAUAGUUCCGAUCAACCAUGGCGGGGAACACAAGUUCACAGAAGCGGUUGGGGAACCUUGAAGAGUCCCUUUCCGGAUUGCUCUUCUCUUUUUCAUCAAUAGGAGUGGAUGCCUUCGCUUUCUUAGAAAGAGGUAUGGCUUCUAGUGUAGGAUGCGCCUUGGAGGAUGACUUUUGGGGUGCCCUUUUUGUGGCCGGUUUUCUUGGUUCCUUCCCCUUUCCUUUUUUGGUGGCCAUCUUGAAAAAGGAAAGAGAAUGAAAAAUAUUAAACCCAAAUAAUCAUCUCAUGGAAAACAUCAUGCAAGUGAGAAGUAGUGCCCAGAGUAAAUUGUGGAUCUUGAAGAUGCGACAGUUGCACAUGUGAUCAAGAACAACUAAAGAAGCAUGGGUCACAACACUUAGCAUGGGAUGCAAGAGUGAAUAAUGCAUGCAAUGUGGCAUGAGAAGAGUGCACUCAAGUAUCCAAAAGAAAGAACCAGUCAUGUGAAGUGAGCAUUCAAUUGGUGAGCAUAAAGUAGAAUGGCUCAAUAUGCUUGAAAGAUGGCAAGUGAAUGAGGAAGAAGCACUAAAUUGCGGGUACAAGACCAAAACAAACCAAAAUGGCAUGUGUGCAUUUCUUCGAACACUUGGCGUGCAACUAACAAGUAAUGAGCAAAUAUAAGAAACUCACUCAAUUAAAGCCUCAAAAUGAAACAUCAAUCAUCAACACAAGAUCACUUACUUACAAAGUCAUCAAAUGACAACAACAAGAUUUACUCAAGCAAAUUAAAGUUUUAGUUCAUCAUCCAUGGAGAAAUAAGAAAGGAAAAAUCAAAUGGACAAGCAACAAGCAAAUAAAAGUAAGAGAGAAAUAAGAAGGUACUAAAAGAAGCAUGCAACUAAAAGAAGAAAAUGUGAAAAGAAAGUAAGAGAUGAGAGUAGAAGAAGCAAAACCUUGAGAGGGAGAGAGAGGCAAGAUGGGGUUCUUGCAAAAGGAGAAGAGGGGAAGAGAAAUGUAGGGCCACCGGAGGUGGUGGUGGUUGCCAGUGGGUGACCAGAGACAAUGUAAGUGAAGUAUGGAAGAAGAGGAAAGAGUAAGUAGUGGAAGAAGAGAGAAUUAGAAAAGAGAUGAGAGGAGGGACGAAGCAGGGGCGCGCAGUUUAAAGCUGGGCUGCGUGGCCGGCGCGCGCGCGCAUAGCGCGCUAGCGCACCGAUAAGGGUUGGGCAAGGGACGCGUGCGCGUCCCUUGCACGUACGCGCUAAGAUUGGCACGGGGUAGGCCCAGAGUAGGCCUAACUCUCUGGUUGUUGUACCAGAGUUGGCGUGCGGCAUAAGCGACGCGGACACGCACAGUGCGCGUUCGCGCGUAUGAAGAGGGUGGCGACCGACGCUGACGCGCCAGGUGCACUUGCGCGUCAGGUCGUGGGCACAGAGCAGGCACGACUUUGGCACAACUCUCUGAUUUUUGUACCAGAGAGCUCAGAAUACACACACGACGCACACGCACUGUGCGCUUGCGCGUCGAUAACGAGACAGCAGGGUUGCGCGCAGGCGCCACGUACGCUUGCGCGUGGGCCGCCUGACAUGAAGUGGGCACAAAAGAGGCACAACUCUCUGGUUUUUUAUACCAGAGUAUAAAUGCACCACCGGCACGCACGCGCACGGCACGCUGGCGCGCGGAUGCCCAAUUUCCCCUUCUUUUUUUUUGUUUUUUUGUUUUUUUUUAACAACACAGGAAAAAGAAAAUGUAAUUUAACAUACUCUUGGCAUACAAUCAACUAGAUAGGUUGAGAAAACACUCACAAAAUCAUACAACACUCAAGAUGAAGUAUUUCAACAACACAACCAACACAACAAAGAUUGCCAAGGUUGACAAAAUCCUAAUGAGUAUCACAACAUUCAAACAAAUUCAACUAUACCUAUCAUAUCAACAUAUAUCAAAACAAGCUCAACAAUCAUAAAAAAUCAUGGAAUUCACAAGUAUCUAAGCUAGAAACAAGAAAGUAUAUACAAGAACGAACAUACCACGGUGGGGUGUUGGUGCACGAAUUGUGAAUCACACUUUUCACAACUCGUACCACUAACCAACAAGUGCACUGGGUCGUCCAAGGUAUACCUUACGUGAGUAAGGGUCGAAUCCCACAGAGAUUGUUGGUUUGAAGCAAUCUAUGGUUAUUUUAUAAAUCUUAGUCAGGAAGUCAAUUAUAUUUAUCAGUUGAAUUGCGAAUAACCAAAAGAGCAUAAAUUAAAGGUUACUUGUUAUGCAGUAAUGGAGAAUAUGUUGGAGUUUUGGAGAUGCUUUGUCUUCUGAAUCUCUGCUUUCCUCUGUCUUCUGAUUCACGCACGCAUGUCCCCCUAUUGCAAGCUGUGUGUAGGUGGAUCACCGUUGUCAAUGGCUACCAUCCAUCCUUCCAGUGAAAAGAUUCCAAGUGCGCUGUCACCGCACGGCUGAUCAUCUGCAGGUUCUCAGUCAUACCGGAAUAGGAUCUGCUAUCCUUUUGCGUCUGUCACUACGCCCAGCACUCGUGAGUUUGAAGUUCGUCACAGCCAUCCAAUCCCAGAAUCCUACUCGAAAUACCACAGACAAGGUUUAGACUUUCCGGAUUCUCAUGAAUGCCGCCAUCAAUCUAGCUUAUACCACGGAGAUUCUGGUUAAGGAAUCUAAGAGAUACUCAUUCAAUCAGAUAUAGAACGGAGGUGGUUGUCAGGCACACGUUCAUGGUUUGAGGAAGGUGAUGAGUGUCACAGAUCAUCACCUCUAUCACAGUUAGGCGCGAAUGAACAUCUUAGAUAGGAACAAGCGUGUUUGAAUGGAAAACAGAAAUACUUGCAUUAAUUCAUCGAGACACAGCAGAGCUCCUCACCCCCAACAAUGGAGUUUAGAGACUCAUGCCGUCAAAGAGUACAAAGUUCAGAUCUAAAAUGUUAUGAGAUACAAAAUAAAUCUCUAAAAGUUGUUUAAAUACUAAACUAGUAGCCUAGGUUUACAGAAAAUGAGUAAACUGUAACAGAUGGUGCAGAGAUCCACUUCUGGGGCCCACUUGGUGUGUGCUGGGGCUGAGACUUAAGCAAUUCACGUGCAUAAGGCUGUUUUGGGCGUUCAACGCCAGGUUUGGAUCCAUUUCUGGCGUUGAACUCCAACUUUUGAUCCUUUUCUGGCGCUGGACGCCAGAAUUGGGCAGAGGACUGGCGUUGAAUGCCAGUUUACGUCAUCUAUCCUUGUGCAAAGUAUGGACUAUUAUAUAUUGCUGGAAAUCCCUGGAUGUCUACUUUCCAACGCAAUUGGAAGCGCGCCAUUUCAAGUUCUGUAGCUCCAGAAAAUCCACUUUGAGUGCAGGGAGGUCAGAAUCCAACAGCAUCAGUAGUCCUUUUUCAGCCUGAAUAAGAUUUUUGCUCAGCUCCUUCAAUUUCAGCCAGAAAAAUACCUGAAAUUACAGAAAAACAUACAACUCAUAGUAAAGUCCAGAAAUAUGAAUUUUUUCCUAAAAACUAAUAGAAUUAAACUAAAAACUAACUAAAACAUCCUAAAAACUAUAUGAAAUUAACCCCAAAAAGCGUAUAAAAUAUCCGCUCAUCACAACACCAAACUUAAACUGUUGCUUGUCCUCAAGCAACUAGACAAAUAAAAUAGAAGACUAAUAGGUUGAGAAGCAAUAAUAUCUCAAAGUUUUUGAAUGAAGCUCAGAUUCUAAUUAGAUGAGCGAGGCUAGUAGCUUUUUGCUUCUGAACAGUUUUGGCAUCUCACUUUAUCCAUUGAAGCUCAGAGUGAUUGGCAUCUAUAGGAACUCUGAAUUCAGAUAGUGUUAUUGAUUCUCUUAUUUCAGCGUGAUGAUUCUUGAACACAGCUAUUUUAUGAGUCUUGGCCGUGGCCCUAAGCACUUUGUUUUCCAGUAUUACCACCGGAUACAUAAAUGCCACAGACACAUAACUGGGUGAACCUUUUCAGAUUGUGACUCAGCUUUGCUAAAGUCCCCAAUUAGAGGUGUCCAGAGUUCUUAAGCACACUCUUCUUUUUGCUUUGGACCUUGACUUUAACCGCUCAGUCUCAAGUUUUCACUUGACACCUUCACGCCACAAGCACAUGGUUAGGGACAGCUUGGUUUAGCCGCUUAGGCCAGGAUUUUAUUCCUUCUUGGCCCUCCUAUCCACUGAUGCUCAAAGCCUUGGGAUCCUUUUUAUUACCCUUGCCUUUUAGUUUUAAGGGCUAUUGGCUCUUUGCUCUUGCCUCUUGGUUUUAAGAGCUUUGGCUUUUUCUGCUUGCUUUUUCUUUUUCUUUCUAUUUUUUUCGCUACUUUUUCUUGCUUCAAGAAUCAUUUUUAUGAUUUUUCAGAUGAUCAAUAACAUGUCUCAUGUUCAUCAUUCUUUCAAGAGCCAACAUAUUUAACAGUCUUAAGCAACAAAUUCAAAAGACAUAUGCACUGUUCAAGCAUUCAUUCAGAAGACAGAAAGCAUUGCCACCACAUUUAACUAAUUAGAAUUUCUCUUAUUAAAACUCGAAAUUUUAUUGCCUCUUAUUCAAAAGAUCUACUACUUUAUUCAUGUUUGCUGAUGAUGAGAAAAAUAAACUAUAGCUUAAUUGGAGAAAAAAAUCAAAAUAGACACUAGUUACUACUAUAUGACUCCUAAGGUAAACUUCUAUAAGGACACUAUCACAGAGUUAAGGCAGAAAUUGGAAAUUAACAACCUUUAUUCUGGGGGAACGGGGGUUCCUCUGAUCCUUGGGGUGCUUGGUCCUGCAAGAGAUACUUUCUGGCGCUUCAAGUCCCUUAAGUCACGCCCUUGCUCCUCUUGUUCUUUAAACAUAUAGGUGAGAAUUUGACCGUGUUCCUUUUGUUCUUUUAUGAUUUGUUCCAUAGCUUCCCGUAUCUUGGUAACAGACGUCUCAAGAUACUCCCAGUAUUCAGACUGAAGGAUCUCUGGGAGAAAUUCCUGUGUUUUCUUCUUGAUGGGAUCAUCCUGUGCUUGUUGUUUUUCCAUUGAUGCUUUGGUGAUUGGCUUCUCAACUGAGAUAUACUCAGUUAUUCCCAUCCUUACUCCAGCAUCCUUGCAGAGCAGAGAGAUCACGCUUGGAUAAGCCAACCUGGCCUCUUUAGAAUUUUUGUUAGCAAUUUUGUAGAGUUCAGCUGAGAUCAGCUAAUGGACUUCCACUUCUUUUCCCAUCAUGAUGCAAUGGAUCAUCACUGCUCUUUUAACAGUGACCUCAGAACGGUUGCUGGUGGGCAGCAGAGAAUGCCCAAUGAAGUCCAGCCAUCCUCUGGCGACUGGUUUGAGAUCUUCUCUCUUGAGUUGAUUUGGGACACCCUUUGUGUUGGUGGUCCACCUGGCUCCAGGGAUACAUAUGUCCUCUAGAAUCUUGUCCAGGCCCUUGUCUGUUCUCAUCAUUCUCCUAUUGAAUGAGUCUGGAUCAUCUUUCAGCUGAGGUAGCUUUAAGAUCUCCCUGAUCUUGUCAGGGUGAGUAUGAACAAUCUUUCCUCUGACCACGGUCCGAUAGUCAUAGAGAGCAGUCCCAGAUAGUUUCUGCUUGUCAGUUUGCCACAUAUUAGCAUAGAACUCCUGGACCAUGUUCCUCCCCACUUUCGUUUCAGGAUUAGCUAGGAGUUCCCAGUUCCUGAUUCGAAUUUGCUCCUGGAUCUCCGGAUAUUCAUCUUCUUUCAGAUUGAAUCUAACUUCCGGGAUCACUAAUCUCAGACCCAUUAUUUUGUAAUAAUGGUCUGAAUGUUCUUUAGAUAAGAACUUCCCUUGAUUCCAAAGUGGUUUUGGAACGCUCUCUUUCUUGCCUCUUGGAGUGGGUUGUUUUCCUUUAGGAGCCAUGAUCUUAGUGAUCUCGGAUAAACACACCAAACUUAGAGGUUUGCUUGUCCUCAAGCAAAAGAAAAGAAAGGAGAGGGAUGGAAGGAGAGCUAGGUGCAAUUGUUGAUUGAGGAGGAGGGAGGCCGAACCCAUAUUUAAAGGGAUGGGGGGGUUUUCGAAAAAUUGGAAAAGAUAAGAUAAAAAGAUUGAUUUGAAAAAGAUAAGAUAGAAGAUAUAGUUUAAAAUUGAGAAGAUAUGAUAGAUUUUUGAAAAAGAUGAAUCUAGAUUUUGAAAAAGAUAAUAUGGAGAUUUGAAAAAGAUAUUGAAAAUAUUUUAGAGUGAAAAAGAUAGAUUUGUUUUUAGAAAAUAUUUGAAAGGAGUUGGAUUGAAUUUGCAAAGAGGGUUGUGCUUAUGGAUUAAGAUAUAUUUGAUAUUUUGAAAGAGGAAUUUUUAGAAAUUAAAGUUUUUAGAAAUCAGGGUUCUUGACAUGUUUAUGCAAGAAAUCAUGUAUUGAAACAUAAAAUUUUGAAAUUAGAAUGGAAAUAUGUGUGGAAAAAAAUGAAUUUGGCUCUUCCCUGCCAUCCUGGCGUUUGAACGCCCAAACACUGCCUGUUUUGGGCGUUCAGCGCCCAAAUGCUGCACUCCUGGGCGUUCAACGCCCAGUUGUUGCCCUUUUCUGGCGUUGAACGCCAGAUUGCUAUCCUUCCUGGCGUUCAGCGCCCACUGGAUGCCCAUUUUGGGCGCUGAACGCCCAAAAUGGCCUUCACUGGCGUUUUCUUGCCAGUGAGCUCCCUAUCUCUGUUUUGUGUGUAGAUUCCUUCUGUAACCCUGUGGAUUUAUGAAAAUAAUGAUUUACCUUAGUCUCAAUGAAUUUUAUAUAAACAAAUAAAAAUAAAAAUCGGGCAAAAUGCUUAGAGGAUUGAUGCCCCAUGGCUGGGUUGCCUCCCAGCAAGCGCUUCUUUAUUGUCUUUAGCUGGACCUUGCUGAGCUUUUAAUCUAGCUUCAGCCUUGAGCAUUCUUGCUCAAUGUUGCCUUCAAGAUAAUGCUUGAUUCUCUGUCCAUUGACAAUGAACUUCUUAUCAGAAUCAAUAUCUUGAAGCUCCACAUAACCAUAUGGUGACACACUUGUAAUCACGUAUGGUCCCCUCCACCGGGAUUUCAAUUUCCCGGGGAAUAGCCUGAGUCUAGAGUUAAACAGCAGAACCUUCUGUCCUGGUUCAAAGAUUCUAGAUGACAGCUUUCUGUCAUGCCAUUUUUUUUAUUUCUCUUUAUAAAGCUUGACAUUUUCGAAAGCUGUGAAUCUGAAUUCCUCUAGCUCAUUUAGCUGGAGCAAUCUUUUUUCUCCUGCUAACUUGGCAUCAAAGUUUAGGAAUCUGGUUGCCCAGUAGGCUUUAUGUUCCAGUUCCACGGGCAGGUGACAUGGCCUCAACCCAUUUUGAUACAUAGUCAACUACCACCAGAAUAUAAGUGUUUGAGUAUGAUGGUGGGAAAGGUCCCAUGAAAUCAAUUCCCCAUACGUCAAACAACUCAAUCNCACACCUACGGAUUAUUCCGUCUGCACAUCUCUUAAAGAGAUAGGGUUCAUCCCACAAGUAGUACUUUGCAUCAGUGAUUAAUUUUUUCUUUUGUAUACUGUUGUACUCUUUGGGUAUGAACCUUGCAGCUUUAUAGUUUGCAAUAUCGGCAAACCAUGGUGCUUCCUGAAUGGCAAAUAGAUGCUCAUCCGGAAAAGUCUCAGAGAUCUCAAGAGAGGGGAGGGGCGUCCCUUCUAUUGGCUCUAUCCGGGACAGAUGAUCAGCCACUUGGUUCUCUGUCCCUUUUCUGUCUCUUAUUUCUAUAUCAAACUCUUGCAGAAGCAACACCCAUCUGAUGAGCCUGGGUUUUGAAUCCUGCUUUGUGAGUAGAUAUUUAAGAGCAGCAUGGUCAAUAUACACAAUCACUUUUGAUCCUACUAAGUAUGAUCUGAACUUGUCAAUGGCAUAAACCACUGCAAGUAAUUCUUUUUCUGUGGUUGUGUAAUUUUUCUGGGCAUCAUUUAAAACGCGACUAGCAUAAUAAAUGAUGUGCAGAAGCUUGUCAUGCCUCUGUCCUAACACUGCACCAAUGGCGUGAUCACUGGCAUCACACAUUAGCUCAAAUGGUAAUGUCCAGUCUGGUGCAGAGAUAACUGGUGCUGUGACCAGCUUAGCUUUCAGCGUUUCAAACGCCUGCAGGCACUCUGUGUCAAACACAAAUGGCGUGUCAGCAGCUAGCAGGUUGCUUAGAGGUUUUGCGAUUUUUGAAAAAUCCUUUAUAAACCUCCUAUAGAAUCCUGCAAGCCCCAGAAAGCUUCUGAUUGCCUUAACAUUGGCAGGUGGUGGUAAUUUUUCAAUUACCUCUAUCUUUGCUUGAUCCACCUGUAUUCCCUUGUUUGAGAUUUUAUGCCCAAGAACAAUCCCUUCAGUCACCAUGAAGUGACAUUUUUCCCAGUUUAAAACUAGGUUGGUCUCUUGGCAUCUUUUCAGAACAAGUUUCAGGUGAUCAAGACAGGAGCUGAAUGAGUCUCCAUAUACUGAGAAGUCAUCCAUGAAGACUUCCAGAAAUUUUUCCACCAUAUCAGAGAAAAUAGAGAGCAUGCAUCUCUGGAAGGUUGCAGGCGCAUUACACAGCCCGAAUGGCAUCCUUCUAUAAGCAAACACUCCAGAUGGACAUGUGAAUGUUGUUUUCUCUUGAUCCUGGGGAUCUACUGCAAUCUGGUUAUAGCCUGAGUAGCCAUCCAAAAAGCAGUAAUAAUCAUGACCUGCCAGUCUUUCUAGCAUCUGGUCUAUGAAUGGUAAAGGAAAAUGAUCCUUUCUGGUGGCUGUAUUGAGCCUUCUGUAGUCAAUACACAUGCGCCACCCUGUAACUGUUCUUGUAGGAACCAGUUCAUUUUUUUCAUUAUGAAUCACUGUCAUGCCUCCCUUUUUUGGGACGACUUGGACAGGGCUCACCCAGGGGCUAUCAGAAAUAGGAUAAAUAAUCCCAACCUCUAGUAAUUUGGUGACCUCUUUCUGCACCACUUCCUUCAUGGCUGGAUUUAGCCGCCUCUGUGGUUGAACCACUGGUUUAGCAUUAUCCUCCAAUAGGAUUUUGUGCAUGCAUCUAGCUGGGCUUAUGCCCUUAAGGUCACCUAUGGACCACCCAAGAGCUGUCUUGUGUGUCCUUAGCACCUGAAUAAGUGCUUCCUCUUCCUGUGAAUUUAAAGCAGAGCUUAUGAUCACUGGAAAAGUGUCACCUUCUCCUAGAAAUACAUAUUUCAAGGAUGGUGGUAAUGGCUUGAGCUCGGGUUUAGGAGGUUUUUCCUCUUCCAGAAGAAAUUUCAGAGGCUCUUUCAUGUCCUCUGAAUCCAGUUGCUAGGAAGGGUCUUCCUAGAAUGAGAGUAGCACUCUUGUGCUCCUCCAUUUCCAGCACAACAAAGUCAGUGGGAAAGGCGAAUGGCCCAACUCUGACUAUCAUGUCUUCAAUCACGCCUGAUGGGUAUUUAGUGGAGCCAUCAGCAAGUUGGAGACAUAUCCGGGUUGGUUUAACUUCGUCAGCUAAGCCAAGCUUUCUGACAGUGGAUGCAGGUAUUAGGUUGAUGCUUGCCCCAAGAUCACAUAAAGAUGUCUUGGUACAAUUAUCUUCCAAUAUGCAUGGUAUCAGAAAACUCCCAGGGUCUUUAAGCUUUCCAGGAAAGCUCUUCAGAAUGACUGCACUGCAUUCUUCAGUAAGGAGAACUCUUUCUGUUUCUCUCCAAUCCUUCUUAUGACUCAAGAUCUCUUUCAUGAACUUGGCAUAAGAAGGUAUUUGCUCAAGUGCUUCUGCAAAUGGAAUCUUUAUUUCAAGAGUCCUGAGAUAAUCUGCAAAGCGAGCAAAUUGCUUAUCCUGCUCCUCUUUCCGGAGUUUUUGAGGAUAAGGUAUCUUGGCUUUAUAUUCUUCAACCUUAGUUGCUGCAGGUUUAUUGCCUACAGAAGUGGUUGAAGAAGCCUUUUUAGAGGGGUUGUUAUCAGCAUUUGUGUGUGUCUGAUCCCUCACUGGCAAUUGAGUGCCAGAAGUAGAAGCUGGAGUGAUGUUGGGCGCCAACUCCUUGUCUGUUCCUGGCGUUUGAACGCCAGAAUUGUGCCCAUUUUGGGCGUUCAGCGCCAGAUCCUGCCCAUUUUGGGCGUUCAACGCCAGAUCCUUGUCCAUUUCUGGCGUUGAACGCCAAUCCUGCCUUGUUUCUGGCGUUGAACGCCAGUUUUGGGCAUGGUCUGGGCGUUCAGCGCCAGCCUUCCACCAAUUUUCUGGCGUUUUAACGCCAGAAUUAUUUCUCCCUGGGCUCUUAUAGUCCUCAGGUGAAUCUUAGGUGGUUUGCUCAUUUCUUAGCUUUUUGCUGCCUUGAGGUGGGGCAUUUAAUGUUUUCCCACUUCUUAAUUGAACUGCUUGGCAUUCUUCUGUUAUUUAUCUUGACAGCUGCUGCUUUGUUUGCCUAAACUGUUCUUCCAUAUGUAUAUUAGCCAUCCUUGUCUCUUGUAGUCUAUCCUUGAAUUCGGUUCCCCAGAGUCCUCCUGGACUGUUCAUUUUCGCUUAGGUCCUUGAUGGAGAAAGGGAGAUGAUGUAAAAUAGAAAAAAAAUAUUUUUAUUUAUUUAUUUAUUAAUUUAUUUCGAAAAUAAAAUAAUAAUAAAUAAAAAUGGGUGAAAUUUUCGAAAAAUUGAGGAGAGAGAAAAUGGUUAGGAAGUUUUGAAAAAGAUAUGAUGAUUUUUUUGAAAAAGGUUUUAAAUUUUGAAAUAAAAAUCUGAAUUUUUGAAAUAGAAUUCGAAAAUUUGCUUUUAAAACAGAGAGAAAAUAUAUUUUUGAAUUUAAAGAGGAGAGAGAAAAACAAUAAGAUAGCACAAGAUUUAAAAUUUUUAGAUCUAAUGCUCCUUGUUUUCGAAAAUUUUGGAGGGGAAAACACCAAGGAACACCAAACUUAAAAAUUUUAAGAUCAAGACACAAGGAAAACUCAAGAAUACUUUGAAGAUUCACAAGAACACAGUAACACGAAGGAAGAACACCAAACUUAAAAUUUUUAGAAAACCAAACUAAAAUUUUCGAAAAACACAGAGAAAUCAACAAGAAAACACCAAACUUAAAGUUUUGGGCAGAGGACUGGCGUUGAACGCCAGUUUACGUCGUCUAUCCUUGUGAAAAGUAUGGACUAUUAUAUAUUGCUGGAAAUCCCUGGAUGUCUACUUUCCAACGCAAUUAGAAGCACGCCAUUUCGAGUUCUGUAGCUCCAGAAAAUCCACUUUGAGUGCAGGGAGGUCAGAAUCCAACAGCAUCAGCAGUCCUUUUUCAGCCUGAAUCAGAUUUUUGCUCAGCUCCUUCAAUUUCAACCAGAAAAAUACCUGAAAUUACAGAAAAACACACAACUCAUAGUAAAGUCCAGAAAUAUGAAUUUUUUCCUAAAAACUAAUAGAAUUAAACAAAAAACUAACUAAAACAUCCUAAAAACUAUAUGAAAUUAACCCCAAAAAGCGUAUAAAAUAUCCGCUCAUCAGGUGUCUCCCACCCAGCACUUUUCUUUUACAUCCUUAAGUUGGACGAUCUUGUGCUCAAGCUUCCUCUUCUUUUGGUGCAUCCUCCAGGAGGAGCACUUCCACUUCCUUGGGUGAUUUGUAGCCAUGGUACUUCUUUACUCUAUGGCCAUUCACCUUGAAGGUUGUCUUACUUUGAGGAUCAAACAGCUCCACUAUACCAUAGGGUUUAACUUCCUUCACCUUAAAGGGACCUUCCCAUCUUAAACAGAGCUUUCCAGGCAUGAAUCUGAGCCUCGAGUUGUAGAGGAGAACUUCGUCACCUUCUUGAAAAUCUUUCUUCCGAAUGUGGUGGUCAUGGAAUGUCUUAGUCUUUUCCUUGUAGAUCCGGGCAUUUUCAUAUGCCUCUAUUCUAAGAUAUUCAAGCUCCUCUAACUGCAAUUUUCGGGCUACACCCACCUUGGUGAUGUCCAUAUUACACUGCUUCACUGCCCAAUAGGCUUUGUGUUCAACUUCCACCGGGAGGUGGCAUGCCUUACCAUAGACGACCCGAAAGGGGCUCAUCCCUAACGCUGUCUUGUAGGCCGUCCUGUAUGCCCACAAUGCAUCUCCUAACCGAGUGCUCCAGUCCUUCCUUGUGGGUUUACCACUUUCUCCAGGAUUCGCUUAAUCUCUCGGUUGGACACUUCUGCUUGCCCAUUUGUUUGGGGUGAUAUGCAGUUGAAACCUUAUGUGCUAUCCCAUAGCGCUUGAGUAGUGCUUCUACUUUUCUGUUACAAAAAUGGGAACCUUGGUCGCUCACGAUUGCUCGUGGCAACCCAUAACGGCACACAAUAUUAUUUCUAAUGAAAGAAAUCACAGCAUUGGCGUCAUCAAGGCAAGUAGGUAUCGCUUCUACCCACUUUGAGACGUAGUCAAUUUCUAACAGGAUAUACAAGUACCCACUUGAGUUGGAAAAUGGUCCCAUAAAGUCUAUGCCCCAUACAUCAAAGAUUUCGCAAAAUAGCAUGGGUUGUUGAGGCAUUUCAUCCCUUUGAGAUGCAUUCCCCGACUUUUGACAUUGGUGACACGACACACAAAAUUGGUUAGCAUCCUUGAACAGCGUGGGCCACCAGAAUCCACAAUCCAAAACUUUUUUCGCCGUCUGUUGUGGGCAAAAGUGGCCACCAAACUCGGACGAGUGACAAGAUUCAAGAAUUGAUUGGAUUUCAGAUUCUGGAACACAUCUGCGAAUUACUUGGUCUACUCCUCUCCUCCAUAAGUGGGGGUCAUCCCAAAUAUAAUAUUUGGAAUCACUCCUCAACUUAUCUCUUUGGUGUUUGGAAAAGUUGGCAGGGUAAAUCUUAGCAACCAAGUAGUUCGCCAUGGGGGCAAACUAAGGAAAACUAUCCGAAACAGCAUGCAAACCUUCUAAAGGGAAUGAGUCAUUGAUCGGAAAUGGAUCAUACUUAAUAUUUUCCAAGCGGCUUAAAUGAUCCGCAACUAAAUUUUGUGAUCCACUCCGGUCCCUAAUCUCAAUGUUGAAUUCUUGCAAAAGCAAGAUCCAACGUAUGAGCCUGGGUUUUGACUCAGUCUUUGUCAAUAAAUAUUUCAAGGCAGCAUGAUCCGUGUAUACCACUAUCUUAGAGCCUAGCAAGUAAGAUCGAAACUUAUCCAAAGCAUAAACAACGGCUAAAAGCUCUUUCUCGGUAGUGGUAUAGUUGGAUUGUGCCGCAUCCAACGUCUUUGAGGAGUAAGCGAUGAUAUAGGGGAGCUUACCAUCGCGCUGUGCUAGCGCGGCACCUACGGCAUGAUUUGACGCAUCGCACAUGAUCUCGAAUGGCUACGUCCAGUCAGGGCCCCUCACAAUCAGUGCUGUGGUAAGUGCUCUCUUUAACUCCUCAAAUGCGUCCACACAAGCACUAUCAAACUCAAAGUCCACGUCCUUUUGGAGUAGGCGCGACAAUGGCAAUGCAAUUUUGCUAAAAUUCUUGAUGAAGCGCCUAUAGAAUCCUGCAUGCCCCAAAAAAGAACGGACCUCCCUCACAGAUGAGGGGUGAGAUAAACCGGUAAUGACAUUCACCUUGGCCGGGUCUACAGAAAUUCCUUUGUCGGAAACUACGUGUCCUAAUACUAUACCUUGUCUAACCAUGAAGUGACAGUUUUCAAAAUUCAAGACAAGGUUAGUAUCAACACACCUAGCUAGGACCUUGGCCAAGUUCUCCAAACAACUAUCAAAUGAAGUUCCGUGCACACUGAAGUUGUCCAUAAAGACUUCCAUACAACUCUCCAUAAGAUCGGAAAAGACACUCAUCAUACACCGCUGAAAUGUGGUGGGUGCAUUGCAUAGCCCGAAUGGCAUCCUUUUGUAGGCAAAGGUGCCAAAGGGACAAGUAAAUGUGGUCUUUUCCUGAUCCUCAGGAGCGAUGUGAAUCUGGAAAUAUCCAGUAUAGCCAUCAAGAAAGCAAUAAUGGGAUUUACCCACAAGUCGGUCUAGUAUCUGGUCGAUGAACGACAAAGGAUAGUGGUCCUUCCUAGUUGUAGCGUUCAACCUCCUAUAAUCGAUGCACACUCGCCAUGCAUUUUGUACUCUUGUGGUGACCACUUCACCAUCUUUAUUCUUUACAGCGGUGAUGCCAGAUUUCUUUGGAACGACCUGGACCAGACUUACCCAUUCACUAUCAAAAAUCAGGUAUAUGAUACUUGCAUCAAGUAGGCUCGUGACUUCCUUCUUUACCACGUCAAGGAUAGUUGGGUUAAGUCGUCUUUGCGGUUGUCUAACCAGCCGAGCUCCUUCUUAUAGAAAAAUGCGAUGCAUGCACAUUUGUGGAUCAAUUCCCACAAUAUCGGCUAAGCUCCAACCGAUUGCUCUCUUGUGUUUCCUCAGGACUUCUAGGAGCUUCUCCUCUUCGUGACUAGAGAGCUCACUAGCAAUAAUGACCGGAAACUCUUAAUUGUUCCCAAGGAACGCAUACUUCAAAUGAGACGGAAGAGGUUUCAGUUCACUUUUUGCUUCCAAUUGAGGUUCUUUUUCACUGAGCUCAUAGGAUUCAUCUUCAACCAUUUCCCUUUGUUCAUCAUGAUUAUCCUUCUCUUUAAUAGUAGCGUAACAUAGCUCGUCAUGAUCUUCGCUUUGCACUUCCGCUACCACCUCAUCAAUUACAUCACAUCGGAGAACGGAAUGCUCUUCUGGUGGGUGUUUCAUGGCUUUCUCCAAGUUGAACUUAAUCAUCGUAUCCCCAACCUCAAAAGAAUAUCUGCCGGUGUAGGCAUCUAACUUGAAUUUGGAAGUUUUAAGGAAGGGUCUACCAAGUAGAACAGAGGAAGAGCUUCUACCCUCUGUUAGUGGCAUUUCAAGAAUGUAAAAAUCGACCGGAAACACCAAAUCCUUGAUUGCUACGAGUACAUCUUAGGCUAUACCCAUCACAGUAAUUAUACUCUUGUCGGCUAAGGCAAAUCGAGCGGCCAACCUUUUCAAUGGAGCCAAGUUCAACCUUGCAAAAACUGAGAGCGGCAUAAUACUCACACAAGCUCCUAGAUCACACAUACAAUCAGGAAAAAUAACUCUACCAAUACAACAAGAAACCAGACAAGGCCCGGGGUCAUCAAACUUUUCAAGAAUAGGCUUCAUCAAUGCAGAAAUAGAAUUGCCCAAAGACAACAUUUCUAGUUCACCAAUCCUAUCUUUAUGUGUACACAAGUCCUUCAAAAAUUUUGCAUACUUCAGAAUUUGUUGUAUAGCAUCAAGAAGUGGGAUGGUUACCUCAACCUUCUUGAACACUUGGAGCAUGUUCAAAUCGAAUUCCGGAGCUUUCUUUGCUUUCUUUAUCAUUGAAGGGAAUGGGAUAGGAAUGGGAUCAUCUGUGGUAGCUUUCCUCUUAGGUUCCUUGAGGCUCAUUUCUUCUUCUUCUUGCCUUGUGCUCACCUCCUCCUCUUCAUGUGGAGCUUCAACAGCCACUUCCUUCUCCUGAAUGUCUUCCAAGACCCUAGGAGGUAUCUUCUCCAAUGUAGUCCCCGACCGUAGUGUGAUGGCGUUGAGUAUGCCCUUUGGGUUUGGAAGGGGUUGGGAUGGAAGGUUUGAAGAGCUUGAGGGUUGGUGGAUGUUGUUGGAAGAGGGUAAAACCAAUCUUGAGACCAUCUCGGUGAGGUUAGCUAAUUGGGCAUUCACAGUAUUAAAUUGAGCUUUGCUAUUUUCUUCAUUCUUUUCCACAAUAGCUCUAAGCUUAUCAACUUGGUUGGUAGAAGCAGAAGAAGCUUGGUUGGAUUGUUGUCUUUGAUGUGGUGCUUGGUAUUUUUGGUAGUUGUUUUGGUUUUGGUUGGCUUGGUAGUUGUUGUUGUUAUGGUGGUGUUGGGAUGAAGAUUGGUAAUUGUUGUUGUGGUGCGAAGAAGAGUUGUUCCAUCUUUGACCUUGAUGGUUCCCUUGUGCAUUAUCCCUCCACCCUUGAUUGGAGUUAUUGCCAUGAGAGUAGUUGUUGUGGCCUUGGUUUUGGUAGGGUGGGUGAUUGUUGUAAUUCACAUUAGCGACGGCUAAGGUGUAGUCCUCUUGAAUUCGGUGGCAUUGAUCCGUGUAAUGUACGGUGCUAGAACACAAGCCACAAAUCCUUAGAGGACCUUCAAUUUGGGGAACUUGGGGUGAAGCUUGAACGGCUUGAAUGGAAUAGAACUCCUUUUGCUGUUUGUGCAUCUCGAUGAGAAUGGUAGUCAUGUCACCAAGCACCUUAGUCAAACUUGAUUCAGAAGGAGAGGGUUCCACUAUACCCUUGAGGGGGUUGCUUCUCACCCUUACGUGUUGAGUAGCCUCGGUGACAUCAUUUAUCAAGCUCUAUGCUUCCGCCUCUGUCUUGUUCUUGGAAAGGGACCACCGCUAGAUGCGGUAAGUAGCCUUCUAUCUUCCACACAAAGACCUCCGGUGAAGUAACUUAUGAGUAGAUGAGUGCUCAACCCAUGGUGGGGGCAAGUCUCCAAUAAUCUCUUGAAUCGGCUCCAAUACUCAUACAAAGUCUCUUGAUACUUUUGCAUUAUGCCCGAGAUCUCUUUCCGGAUAUAGUCGAUCUUUUCCGGCGGGAAGAACUUGUCUAGAAACUCUCUUCUCAAGAAGUCCCAAUUGGUCACUAUCUCAUCCGGUUGGGAGUAGUACCAUUCCUUCGCUUGCCCUUCAAGAGAAAAGGGGAAGGAGUAAACCAUGAUGGCAAUUUCGUUGGCCCCAUGCCUCCGGGCCGUAGCACAAGCCGCUUGAAAAUCUCUCAGAUGUCGAAUGGGGUCUUGACCGGGAAGCCCAUGGUACUUAGGAAACAAGUUGAUCAGACUACUCUUCAACUCAAAGUUUCGGUCAAGGUUGGGAAAUCUUGUUUGUAGUGGUGGCAGAAUGAGGUCCGGCGCUCCUUGUUCAUGCAAAGUGAUCCUACGUGGCUCCGCCAUGCGAGGUUCACCUGUUGAUUGCGAAGAUGUAUCAGUAGUGCCAACAGAAGAAUAAGAAGUAAUGGACUCUAAGUCGCUCGGAACCGUCUAGUGGUUCGGUAUGUUCCUCAAGUGAGGCCGAAACACUGGGCGCGUAGUCCAACCGACGCCUAGCUUGCCGAGUAUGCAAUAAAGUCCUUUCAAUUUCUAAGUCAAGCUCGGCUAAGCUAGCGUUUGGUUGGGACCGAGUCAUCAAACUUGAGAGUCAUAGCUCAUGUACACAAGAAAUCUAUACUAAGAGAAAAAUAGAGAAAACAAGUAAACUAUCCACACUAUCUACAUAUUCAUAUAACCAAUGCUAAGGCAUACGUUGCACUCAUUCCCCAGCAACGGCGCCAUUAAUUUGGUAGAGUUGACGGAAGGUAUACCGGUUCGGAAUUCCACAAAAUACAUCCGUUGUUAGUAUAGCCCAACUGAUAAUUAAUCCUCAAUCCCAAAUUAAGAAAGGGUGGUUGUUGAUGAGCGGAUAAUUUAUACGCUUUUUGGCAUUGUUUUUAGGUAGUUUUUAGUAGGAUCUAACUAUUUUUAGGGAUGUUUUUAUUAGUUUUUAUGAAAAAUUCACAUUUCUGGACUUUACUAUGAGUUUUUGUGUUUUUCUGUGAUUUCAGGUAUUUUCUGGCUGAAAUUGAGGGAUCUGAGCAAAAAUCUGAUUCAUGCUGAAAAAAGACUGCUGAUGCUGUUGGAUUCUGACCUCCCUAUACUCGAAAUGGAUUUUCUGGAGCUACAGAACUCCAAAUGGCGUGCUCUCAAUUGCGUUGGAAAUUAGACAUCCAGGGCUUUCCAGCCAUAUAUAAUAGUCCAUACUUUAUUCAAGUUUAGACAAUGCAAACACGUCACAAACCAGAGUUAAACGCCAAAAACACGUUACAACUUGGCGUUUAACUCCAGAAGAAGCCUAACACGUGUAAAGCUCAAGUCUCAGCCCCAGCACACACCAAAGUGGGCCCUGGAAGUGGAUUUCUGCACUUAGACUUAUUUCUAUAAACCCUAGUAACUAGUUUAGUAUAAAUAGAACUUUUUACUAUUGUGUAUGGAGUUCCUUUUUGGAAAAUCCCCUUUUGGGAGGAUCCUUGGACGUUCAGUUCUUAGACAUUGGGGGCUGGCCAUUCGGCCAUGCCUGGACCACCAUCACUUAUAUAUUUUCAACGGUGGAGUUUCUACACACCAUAGAUUAAGGUGUGGAGCUCUGCUGUACCUCGAGUAUUAAUGCAAAGUACUAUUGUUCUUCUAUUCAAUUCAUGCUUAUUCUUAUUCUAAGAUAUCCAUUCGCACCCAAGAACAUGAUGAAUGUGAUGAUUAUGUGACGCUCAUCACCAUUCUCACUUAUGAACGUGUGCCUGACAACCACCUUCGUUCUACAUGCAAACAAGCCUGAAUGAAUAUCUCUUGGAUUCCUUAAUCAGAAUCUUCGUGGUAUAAGCUAGAAUCCAUUGGCAGCAUUCUUGAGAAUCCGGAAAGUCUAAAGAGUAGGAUUCAGGGAUUGAAUGACUGUGACGAGCUUCAAACUCGUGACUGUAGGGCGUAGUGACAGACGCAAAAGGAUAGUAAAUCCUAUUCCUACAUGAUCGAGAACCGACAGAUGAUUAGCCGUGCGGUGACAGCGCAUCUGGACCAUUUUCACUGAGAGGACAGACAGUAGCCAUUGACAACGGUGAUCCCCCAACAUACAGCUUGCCAUGGAAAGGAGUAAGAACGAUUGGAUCAAGACAGAAGGAAAGCAGAGAUUCAAAAGGAACAAGCAUCUCCAUACGCUUAUCUGAAACUCCCACCAAUGAUUUACAUAAGUAUCUCUAUCCUAUUUUAUUUAUCUUUUAAUAUAUUAUAAUCUCUCAACCAAUUUGAAUCAGCCUGACUAAGAUCUACAAGAUGACCAUAGCUUGCUUCAUACCAACAAUCUCCGUGGGAUCGACCCUUACUCACGUAAGGUUUAUUACUUGGACGACCCAGUGCACUUGCUGGUUAGUUGUCCGAAGUUGUGAAGAAUGUGUGUGAACCAUGGUAUUGUGCACCAAGUUUUUGGAGCCGUUGCCAGGGAGGGAACGAACAACAAUUGCCAUUGAGAUCACAAAUUCGCCUAUCAGUUGUCACAAGUGCUAACCCCAAAUAAGAAUGUAACCGGAGUAUUUAGACUCCGGGUCAUCUCACGAAGAAUGGAAAAGCAUGUGCUUUAGCAUUGAUCAGAAAUACGGGGUUGAGAAUCAUGGUGAUGAAAAUUAACUACCAAGCUUGUCAUGCAAGAAAUCUUAAAAUGCAAGAAACUCUAAAUUUAAGCAAUUAACUAAAUCAAGAACUAGCAACUAAGAAUUUUGGUUUUUCAAAUAUGAAUCAAAGGUACUCUUGACUAAGCAUGGGAAUUGGGGUCUCUAUCCUUGUCUUCAACUAUAAUUUGCCAAUUGUGACGAACUAAACUCACUAAGUCUACCUCAAAGAACCUUAAGUACGUAAUAUUUACUCCUAGGGUUGAGGUAUGUCAAGUGGUUUGACCAAUUUCAACACAUAAGUCCCAACCAAUCUACUAAUUAGUAGUGGGUUGGUGUUAAUGGGUGUCAAUUUGGUCACUAAGGGUUCUCCAAUCAACAAUCCAAUGAGACCCAAUGACUCAAGGUCACCCAAUUCUCAUAACUUAGACCAAGAGUAAAAGAAACUACUCCAUAAUUAAAGCAAACAUUUCAUCAAACACAUAGAAUGCACUAACUAGAGACAUGUUCAAAUUACAAUUAAAUUGAGAAUUAUGAGGACCCACUAACAAUCAUCUAUAGAAACUACAUAAUUAACACUAGCAAUCACAAGAAGCAUCAACAUAUUCAUAGAAAUCAACACCCACAAUGUUCAUGAAUUGGGGUAGAAAAUUGAAAAGCAAUAAGACAACACAAUCAAGAUAAGAUCUAAACAAAAUAACACUAGAGGAUUCAAAUUGAGUAAACAAGAGUAUCAAACAACAAGAUCCAAUCCAGUAAUUUCACAAUGGGAGAUCAAAAUCAAGCUAGAUUUAGGGAGGAAGAAGGGUUCCUCUCUAGAUGAACAAAAACUACCCAAAAACUCAAAAUGUGUCUAAGUGUCUAAUGUGUGAUCCCCCAUUGCUCCUACAAUCCAUGGGUCAUUUCCAUGCAGAGCUAGCCUUCAAUUGGGUCCCUCCAGGCCUCAGAAAUCGCUAGCCACGAUUUCAUUAAUGAGGUCACGUGCUGGUCGCGACGCGUGCGCGCCAGGUGCGUGCGUGCGCCGAUGAGCUCCUGAAUCCACGCGUAUGCGCACAGUACGCGUGUGUGCUGAUGACGAUUCUUCCAAUGUGCAUGGGAGCGUCAGCUAUAUGCGAGUGGCCACAAUAGUACGCAUCCACGCGUACGCGCCAGGUGCGCGUGCGCGUUGAUGACUGAACUCCAAGGCUCCAAACCUCCAUGUUUCUUCACUUGUGCAUGCUUCCUUCUCCUCUUCUAGACCAAUCCUGCCCUGGAAACUAUAAAAUCACUAAACAAAUACGUCACGGCAUCGAGUGGUAAUAGAAGAGAUCAAAAUAUAGCAAUUCCGGCUCAAAUAAGCAUGUUUUCAAUCACAAGAUCAAACACGGAUGGAGAUACAAAACCAUGCAAUUCAAGUGGAUAAGUGUGGAAAAUAUUGACAAAAUCCCCUCAAAUCAGCACAAGAUAAACCACAAAAUUAGGGUUUAUCAAACCUCCCCACACUUAAACCAUGCAUGUCCUCAUGCUAAAGAUAAGAAGACCAAAGGAUAUAAUGAAAAGAGAGUUGUGGAAUGCAACUAAUGCAAAUGCAUCUACCUACUUGGUCAAGGGUGAAUCUAUCCUCCAAUAAUAUAUGGGAAUAUAUAGGGUUAAGGUGACAUGAUAGUCCAAGAAUGCUACCAAUUCAAAGCAUCACAAUACGGUGAACAUAACUUGCAAGAUGUACGCUUGUAAAGGAGAAUAACAUGGAAGCUAUAUAUGGUAUGAAGCAAAUGUUCUAUUUGAAACUAAUGCUAUAUCUUGUUCAUUUAGUUUCCUUGUUGCAUUAAGAGAAGGCGACAACUCCUUUUGUUUAACAUCUGCAUACUUUCCCAAAAAUAAACUUCCAAGAUGGUACUCGAAAGUUUAUGCCACUAAUAAAAAUAACCUGGAAAGAUAACAAAUAAGCUCCAAAAGAUUUAAAAAGUGAGAAAACUAACCGGAUAUUAGUUAUAUUUUUUCAUAAAAUACUUUAGAUAUUAGAUUUCGAUGCGAUUUUUUGUAAGUAUUAUUAGAAAAAAGAGACUUUGUCAUAGUUAAAAUUUGGUGAUUUGUCAAGGAAUUUUUUCAAUAUUUUUUGUGAAUGAUUGAAUUUAAAAUAAAAUGCACAAGUUGUUUGCUAAAUACAAAAUUCCUUUAUCAUUUAUGUAAAAAAAAUGAUAUUUUUGUUAAUUUUGUCACGUUUUUAAAUCUUUUGAGACUUCUUGUCAUUCAUAGAAAUCUUAUUUGGUUAUUUUUCAUAGCGAUAUGAGUUUUUUGGUGCAAUUUCAGUAGUUUACCUUGUUCCUAAUAGCAUGUGAGCUAUUUUUAGCUCAAUUUGUUAGUUACUUUAUAAGCUAAGCUCUUGAGCCGGUGAGCUACUGAGCUUGAGCUAAAAAUUUGAGCUCAUUUAUUAAAUGAGUCAAACUUAACUUUGCUAUGAUCCAUGAGCAAGGUUGUAUAUUCAUUUAUCGGUUCACAUAGAUAUGUAGAUGCCUGAGACCUUGGCAUAAUAUCACCUAUAUCAUUAUAUAUUAUCAAUAAUAAUAUAUAAUAUCUCAAUUAUUUGCAUAAUGUGUCUUGUAGAUUAAAUAUGUUGAAAAUAAGUAUGUACUUAUAGCCAAAAGCUUAAUUAAUAUCUAAGGGUUAAUGUUUAAAAUGGUCUUUGAAAUUUUACUCGUGCAUCAAGAUUCCAUAAUAAGAUUAAGCUCAAUAAUAAAUCAGUCAAACCAUGAGUUGAGCUAAAUAUUAUCAAGCUGAGUUUGAGCAUUGUCAAUUUUGGGGUUGACUUUGCGUAAUUUCAACCCUUGAUUUUGUUUUUGUUCUUUCACACUGAAUGAAAAUCUUGGAAUCUUCCAGAAUACUCUAGUUAUGAUGUCUAUUAUUAUCUGUAGAGUCAGAAGAAGGUUAAAUGCCUGCUAAAGCUAUUAUGCGCACUAACAGUACCAUCCUCUUCAUCUCCUUAGAGGAUGGCCAUGUAAAUUUGGUGGCGCCUAGUUCAUCAUUUUUCAUUUAAUGUUCUACAGUUUUAGAUGAAUGCCAUUGACUAAUUAGAUCGAAGAAAUGCAAGUAUUGGUUUUCAGUUGCUAGACCAUUCUACAAAGUUGCUUAUACCAUAUAGUUUCAAAUUCAGUGUUGGUUUAUACUUGGGGAAGCAUAAUUGUUAGAUUAUUACAUAGUUACAUUGAGGUUCAGUUAUUUAGUCAGUAAUGAGAAUUAUUCUCCUAAAUAUGUAUGUUAGGAUUGGUUUCAUUCUGUUAAGAGUAGUACAAACUACUUAAAAUGAGUAUGUAAGUGAUAGCUAUGAUUGAUUGUAUCGGUCAACCUCAUUUUAAAUUUAUGCUUAGAUUUUUCUCCCAGCCUACUCAAUUUGUCUGAGCCUCCGUGCAUUCCAUUGGAUAUUGACAUUUGUUAACCCUUCGUGUUAUAAAUUUUAAUAAUUUGAAUUGUGUAUUCUCUUUGCUAAUAGAUGUUUUAUAUUGUUAUGAAUACCAUCAUGUAGUAUUUAAUCUGAAAGUAAUAGCAGAAGCAAUAGAAUAAUAGCAAGCGGCAUAUAAUCCUGAUAAACUCCAAUAUUGUGGUUUAUCUUGUACUUAUUUUGGGGGAUUUUAUCACCUUUUCUCACAUUUAUUCAAUGAAAUAGCAUGGUUUUGCAAUUCUCCCUUGAUUUGUGCUUAAAUGUGAAAACAUGCUUUUUAGGCCCUAAAAUAGCUAAAUUUAACUCACUUUAAUUCCAUUCGAUACCUUGAUGUAUUUGUUGAGUGAUUUCAGGUUCAUAAGGCAAGUAUUGGAUAGAAGAAGUGAGGAGAAAAGUAUGCAAAGUGGGAGAACUCAUGAAGAAAUGAAGGAAUCGUAAAGCUGUCAAGCCUGACCUCUUCGCACUCAAACGACCAUAACUUGAGCUACAGAGGUCCAAAUGAGGCAGUUCCAGUUGCGUUGGAAAGCUAACAUCCGGGGCUUCGAAAUAAUAUAAAAUUUGUCAUAUGUUGCUUCAUUUUAAGGGGCGCGCACGCGUCAUGUACGCGUGCCUGCCGAUGCUGCUCGUGGCCCACUAAAGUGAAAUUGCCCCCAGCGAUUUCUGAAGCAUUUUGGGCCCAACUCAACUCAUUUUUGAUGCUAUUUCAUGCAGAAUUUAAGCUUGGACAAGGGGGGAGCAAUUGUUUGGUAGCUUAGCAUCAUGUAGGUUAGUAUCUAGAGAGAGAAGCUCCCUCUUCUCUCUAGAAUUAGGUUAGGUUAAUCCAUCUUAGAUCUAGGCAUGAUUACAUGUUUUCAUCUUGUUCUCUUUACAAUUUCAUGCUUCUACUCUUUCAUUCUCAUGAUUUGUAAUGUUAAUUUCCCUUUUGUUCUCUUUUGUGAUGAUGAACUCUUGAUGGAUUUGGAUCUCUUUUAUGAAAUUUAUGUUUGAUGUUCUUUUAAUUGUUGAUUUGAGUUGUGAAUUUACUUUUCUUGCAAUUGAUAGUUGGUAGAUUUAUUAUUCUUGCACUUUUACCAUGCUUUCCAUUUGUACCCAUCAAGUGUUUGACAAAAUGCUUGGUUGGGCUUUAGAGUAGACUUUGAGCAUUCUUGGCUUGGAAAGAAUAAUUAGGCAAUCUUGAGUCAUGAAUACCCAACUAAUGUUGGUGAUCUAGAGUUGUUAAUUAAUAUGAAUUCCAUUGACUCUAAUCUUUUGCUAUACAUUUGGAUUGAGGUUAACUAGUCUUGUUUGACUUUCUCUUAUGGAAGAUAAUGUGAUACCUUCUUCCAAUAUUGGAGAUGACGAAAUGAGAUAGAUUCUUGUUAUUAUUGUGAUAUGAUUGAUUAGUUUUAUUUGACAUUCUCCCUAUGUGAAGAUAACAUGAUACCUUCUUCCAUUUGUUGGAGUUGACUAGAAAAGAUGAAUUAAUCAUUGUAUGACUAGGAUAGAAAGCCUAUGAUCUCAAUUCUUGCCAUGAAUGUCUCUCUUUAUUAGUUGCUUCCUUUAGUGACUUGCUUGAUUUACUUUUCUUGCCCAUUUAAUUUCUUAUCCCUUCUUACAAAUCAAACACCCCCUUGUAUCUUCAUAGCCAAUAAUCAUUCACUUCAUUGCAAUUCCUCGUGAGACGACCCGGGGUCUAAAUACUCCGGUUAAUUCUUAUUUGGGGUUUGUUAAUUGUGACAACCUAAAUUUUUUAUGUGAGAAUUGUUUGUUGGUUUGGAGCUAUGCUUACAACGAAGUAAUUCUUUCUAUAAGAAGAAAAUCUAAACCGACACGACAAUAUCUCAUUAUCAAAUCCCAUAAAAAAAAGAAAAGAAAAAGGUAGACGUAAGUUGAUUGUGCAAUAAAUCUUUCUCCUUUUUCACCCUAUCGACGUUUGCAAUGUAGCAUUUGGAUUAAGUCCAAAGUAGUUUUUGAGAUUGUUCAUUUGCACCGGAAAAGUUUUUGAGAUUUUAAAUACAUUAUAAAUAUCUUUAAGAUUAAAAAAAUUGUAUUAUUAUCAUUUCAACAAAUAUUUAUCGUCAAAACUAAAGUAACGUCAUUUUGUCUAAGUCAAGUUACUCAAGAUAUGAUGUGUAACUCGACAGAGAAGGGAUAGGAAUCACGUGGUGUAAUUUUUUUAAUCUUGGAGAUUUGUUAGUGCAAUUAAAAUUUCGGUGAUUUUUUUUUUGUGCAAGCUGCCAAUUUUAAUGACCACUUUAGAGUUUAACAGAGUUUACAUCGUAAUAUUUUCUCUUAUGUUGCAAAUAGUUAGUGUUUUUUUAUCUUGAAGUAGUUGGUGUUUAAUCCAUGGUCUGACUAUUGGCACACUCUUCGUUCAAAGAUAAAGUCUAAUGAGUUAUAUGUUAGUAUCCUGUUUAGUUGAAGAUAAAUAUAGAAAUUGAAAUAAACAAAAUUACUAAAAUAUCCUUAUUAAUAAAAAAAAUUAAAAUUAGAAUAAAAAUCCCAUUCGGUCAUCCCACACAUUGAAAACGAAAGAAAUAAAGAAAGAGAGAGCAGAGACUGAAAGAAAAGAUAGGGAAGAAGAGGAAGGAAAGAGAGAAGAGGGGAGGGAGAGACGAUGCCGAUGGUAUGGGUGUUCGUGCAGUUUGGAUCGGUUUUAAGUCAAACACUCAUUUGAUUCGAAUACUAAUUUUACUUGAGGUGCGGUUUGGAUGGAAUCGGAUUUGUGUCACAAAACAAACAUAACGAGCAAUAUCUAAAGAUUUUUCCAUUUACUAGAAGGUAAUUUUGCCAUUAGCUUGAACUUCUGUAGAAGAACAUGUGGUGCACCAGUUUGGAUGACAGAAAAAUGUCUCUUUCUCUUAGUUAGUUGACUCAGUGACUAUUUCUUAUUGGAGGAGGUUAUUGCUACUGUACGUUUGUUCUUGGCCAACGGUUAGGCUGAAGGUGUUUUAGGAUUGGACUAGAAUUGGUUAUUGGACUGAGUUGUUGCAUUCUUGGGUUGAGCUGCUGAUUUCUUGGGUUUAGAAGCUGGUUUUUUGGGUUGAGUUGCUGGAGGGUUGGGUUGUGAGGAUGAAGUCUUCCUCUACUUCCCUUUUUGAACUAUUUGACCAGGGAGUUGUGAGGAUGAAGCCUUCCUCCCUCUCUUAGGAGCUUUGGCAGCUUGUUGUGUUGAUAUUUGGGCCUAUGAAGGUAAUCACAAUUAUAUAAAAAGAAUCAGAAUUAAAUACAUAACCAAAAAGUAAAAUAUAUACAUAGCAUAAACCCAAGUAAACCCUAGAGCAUAAUGGCACAUUGAUGAGCAGAUAAUUUAUACGCUUUUUAGCAUUAUUUUUAAGUAGUUUUUAGUAUGUUUUGAUUAGUUUUUAUUAUAUUUUUAUUAGUUUUUAUGCAAAAUUCACAUUUCUGGACUUUACUAUGAAUUUGUGUAUUUUUCUGUGAUUUCAGGUAUUUUCUGGCUGAAAUUGAGGGACCUGAGCAAAAAUCUGAUUUAGAGGCUGAAAAAGAACUGCAGAUGCUGUUGGAUUUUAACCUCCCUGCACUCGAAAUGGAUUUUAUGGAGCUAAAGAUACCCAAUUGACGCGCUCUCAAUUGCGUUGGAAAGUAGACAUCUUGGGCUUUCCAGCAAUAUAUAAUCGUCCACACUUUGUCCGAGUUUUGAUAACGCAAACUGGCGUUUAAACGCCAACUUUCUACCCUUUUCUGGCGUUAAACGCCAGAACUGGCAUAAAAGCUGGAGUUAAACGCCCAAACUGGCACCAGAGCUGGCGUUUAACUCCAGGAAAAGCUUAUGCACGUGUAAGCUUCAAUGUUCAGCCCAAGCACACACCAAGUGGGCCCAGAAGUGGAUUUCUGCAUCAUUUACUUAUUUCUGUAAACCCUAGGUUACUUGUUCAUUAUAAAUAGAACUUUUUACUAUUGUAUUUUCAUCCGAGGAUCAUUUUAUCCUCUAGUAUUAGAGGCUGGCCAUUCGGCCAUGCCUGGACCUUCAUCACUUAUGUAUUUUCAACGGUGGAGUUUCUACACACCAUAGAUUAAGGUGUGGAGCUCUGCUGUUCCUCAUGAAUAAAUGCAAAGUACUAUUGUUUUUCUAUUCAAUUCAUGCUUAUUCUUGUUCUAAGAUAUCCAUUCGCACUUCAACAUGAUGAAUGUGAUGAUCAAGUGACACUCAUCACCAUUCUCACUUAUGAACGCGUGCCUGACAACCACUUCCGUUCUACCAGAAAACAAGCUUGAAUGCAUAUCUCUUGGCCUCCUGGUUCACGACGCAUGAUUGCCUCUCCUGACAAUAGAGCAUUCCAUUUUGUGAGAUCAGAGUCUUCGUGGUAUAAACUAGAAUCAUUUGACAGCAUUCUUGAGAUCUGGAAAGUCUAAACCUUGUCUGUGGUAUUCCGAGUAGGAUCCGGAAUGGGAUGACUGUGACGAGCUUCAAACUCGCGAGUGUUGGGCGCAGUGACAGUGUGCAAAAGAAUAAUUGUAUACUAUUCUGACAUGAGUGAAAACCGACAGAUGAUUAGCCCUACGUAACCCGUAGCCGGACCAUUUUCACUGAGAGGACGGACGGUAGCCAUUGACAACGGUGAUCCCCCAACAUACAGCUUGCCAUGGAAAGGAGUAUGAAAGAUUGGAUGAAGACAAUAGGAAAGCAGAAGUUCAGGAGGAACAAAGCAUCUCCAUACGCUUAUCUGAAACUCCCUCCAAUGAAUUACAUAAGUAUCUCUAUCUUAUUUUAUGUUUUAUUUAUCUUUUAGUUAUCAAAACCCCAUAACCAUUUGAAUCCGCCUAACUGAGAUUUACAAGAUGACCAUAGCUUGCUUUAAGCCGACAAUCUCCGUGGGAUCGACCCUUACUCACGUAAGGUAUUACUUGGAUGACCCAGUGCACUUGCUGGUUAGUUGUAUCGGGAUUGUGAAUAACAAUUUAAUGCGACCAAGUCUUUGGCCAUUGCCCACGAGGGAGCGAACAAUAAUUCCGUGCACCAAGUUUUUGGCGCCGUUGCCGGGGAUUGUUCGAGUUUGGACAACUGACGGUUCAUCUUGUUGCUUAGAUUGGGUAAUUUUAUUUUAUGAUUAAACCUUCUUUUAUUUUUUUAUUUUAAAAAAGAAUCAAAAAUUUCAAAAAAUUUUAUUCUGUUCUUCAGAAUUUUUAAGAAUGAAUUCUAGAGUUUCAGAUGAUAUGUGAAGUCUGGUUGGCUGUUAAGCCAUGUCUAAUCUUUUGGACCGAGGCUUCAAUUUAUCAUCACAAGAGCUUGUUGAUUUCUAUCAAUCUUGCUGUUGAAUGUAAUGAUCUGCUAAAGCUUGGCUGGCCAUUGGCCAUGUCUAGUGUUUUGGACCGAAGCUUUCACUUAAAGCUUGGCUGGCUAGUAAGCCAUGUCUAAUCUCUGGACCGGAGCUUUAGACUAACAUUGCAUGAUUCCUGGAAUUCUCAUUAAGAAUUUUGAUUUCCUUAUUUUCUUUUUUCCAAAAUACUUUCAAAAAAUACAAAAAAAAAUUUAUAAAAAUCAUAAAACUAAAAAAAAUAUUUUGUGUUUCUUGUUUGAGUCUAGUGUCAAGUUUUAAGUUUGGUGUGAAUUGCAUGUUUUUCUUUUUUUUUUCUUGCAUUUUUUUCGAAAUUUUAUGCAUUGUGUUAUUUAUUGAUCUUCAAGUUGUUCUUGAUGAUUUUCUUUGUUCUGAUCUUUAAAUUCUCUUGUUUUGCGUCUUUUGUUGUUUUUCAUAUGCAUUUUCAAAUUGUUAGUGUCUCUAGUAUAAAAAUUUUUAAGUUUGGUGUCUUGCAUGUCUAUCUUUUCUUAAAAAUUUUCAAAAAUGUGUUCUUGAUGUUCAUCAUGAUCUUCAAAGUGUUCUUGGUGUUCAUCUUAACAUUCAAAGUGUUCUUGCAUGCAUUAUUAGUUUAUAUCUUAAAUUUUUCUGUUUUGAGUCAUUUUGUUAUUUUUCUCUCUCAUCAUUAAAAAUUCAAAAAAAAUAAAAAAAAUAUCUUUUCAAGUCAAUAAUAUAGAGAAUUGAAGAUUCAGAACAUACAGUAGAGGAAUUACAGAGAAAAAACUGGGCGUUCAAAACGUCCAGUGAGGAAGGAUUUCUGGCAUUUAAAUGCCAGCCAGGGUACCUGGCUGGGCGUUAAACACCCAAAAAGGUAGUGAUUUGGGCGUUAAACGCUAGAAUUGAUACCAUUCUGGGCAUUUAACGCCAGGAAGACACAAGGGAGGUAAGCUUGUUUUCAAUUCAAAUCUUUUUCAAAUUCUCAUAACUUUUCAAAAUCAAAUCUUUUUCAAAUCUUAUCUUUUUAAUCAUAUCCUUUUUAAAAUCAAAUCUUUUUCAAUUUUCUUUUAAUAUUUUUGAAACCCUUGCUAACAAUUAAUGUUUUGAUUCAAAAAUUUCAAGUUUGUUACUUUCUUGUUAAGAAAGGUUCAAUCUUUGAAAUUUUAGAAUCAUAUCUUUUAGUUUCUUGUUAGUCAAGUCAUCAAUUUUAAAAAUCAAAUCUUUUUAAUUUUGUUUUUCAAUCAUAUCUUUUUCUAAUUAAAUCUUUUUCAAUCAUAUCUUUUUAAAACCCUUUGAUUUUAAAAUCUUUUUCUAACUUCUUAUCUUUUCAAAAUUUAUUAUUUCUUAUCUUUUUCAAAACCACCCAACCACUUUCUCACUUUCAAUUUUUGAAAACCAUUAACCAUUUUUCAAAAUUCUUUCUAAUUAAAUAAUUGUUUUGAACUCUAGUUUAUUUUAUUUUAAAAAUUUUUUGAAGAUUCCCUCUCUCUCAUCUCUUUCUAUUUAAUCACUAACACUUCUCCUCUCUUAAUAAUUCGAACUCUCUACUCUCCUUAUAUGUUCGAAUUCUUCUCUAUCUACCUCAUCCUUCUGUUCUUCUUUUCCUCUGACACAUCAAGGAAUCUCUAUACUGUGAUAUAGAGGAUUUCAUACUUUUUUUAUUUUCUUCUCUCUCAUAUGAGCAGGAACAAGGACAAAGGCAUUCUUGUUGAAGCUGAUCAUUAACCUGAAAGGACCUUGAAGAGAAAGCUAAGAGCAGCUAAAGCACAAUACUCUAAAGAGGACCUGACAGAAAUUUUCGAAAAGGAAGCAGACAAAACAGUCAUGGCCGAACCCAACAACAACAAUGCAAGGAAGGUACUUGGUGACUUUACUGCACUAACUCCCGACUUCUAUGGGAGAAGCAUCUCUAUUCCUGCCAUUGGAGCAAACAAUUUUGAGCUUAAGCCUCAAUUAGUUUCUCUGAUGCAACAGAAUUGCAAGUUUCAUGGACUUUCAUUGGAAGAUCCUCAUCAGUUUUUGGCUGAAUUCUUGCAAAUCUGUGACACUAUUAAGACCAAUGGAGUUGAUCCCGAGGUCUACAGGCUACUGCUCUUCCCCUUUGCUGUAAGAGACAGAGCUAGGAUAUGGUUGGACUCACAACCUAAGAAAAGCCUGAACUCUUGGGAAAAGUUGGUCAGUGAUUUUCUGGCUAAAUUCUUUCCACCUCAAAAGAUGAGCAAGCUUAGAGUGGAAGUCCAAACCUUCAGACAGAAGGAAGGUGAAUCCCUCUAUGAAGCUUUAGAAAGAUACAAGCAAUUGAUCAGAAGGUGUCCUUCUGACAUGCUUUCAGAAUGGAGCAUCAUAUGCAUAUUUUAUGAUGGUCUGUCUGAACUGUCCAAGAUGUCAUUGGACAGCUCUGCUAGAGGAUUGAUGAGCGGAUAAUUUAUACGCUUUUUGGCAUUGUUUUUAGGUAGUUUUUAGUAGGAUCUAGCUACUUUUUGGGAUGUUUUUAUUAGAUUUUAUGCAAAAUUCAUAUUUCUGGACUUUACUAUGAGUUUGUGUGUUUUUCUGUGAUUUCAGGUAUUUUCUAGCUAAAAUUGAGGGACCUGAGCACAAAUCUGAUUCAGAGGCUGAAAAAGGACUGCUGAUGCUGUUGGAUUCUGACCUCCCUGCACUCGAAAUAGAUUUUCUGGAGCUACAGAACUCCAAAUGGCGCGCUCUCAAUUGCGUUGGAAAGUAGACAUCCAGGGCUUUCCAGAAAUAUAUAAUAGUCUAUACUUUGUGCGGGUUUUGAUGACGUAAAAUGGCGUCAAAACGCCCAUUCUCUGCCCUAUUCUGAAGUCAAAAUGCCAGAACUGGCAUAAAAGCUGGCGUUUCAACUCUAAGGAGCCUCUGCUCGAGUAAAAGCUCAAUGCUCAGCCCAACACACACCAAGUGGGCCCCGAAAGUGGAUUUCUGUAUCAAUCAUCUAUUUCUAUAAACCUUAGUAGCUAGUCUCAGUAUAAAUAAGACUUUUUACUAAUGUAUACGGAGUCUUUUAGGCGGGGAUCUUUGGACGUUUAGUCCUUAGACCGUAUCUUUGGAUUAUUUGUUGAUCCUUUGAUCACGUUUUGGAGGCUGGCCUCACGGCCAUGCCUGGACCUUGUUCUUAUGUAUUUUCAACGGUGGAGUUUCUACACACCAUAGAUUAAGGGUGUGGAGCUCUGCUGUACCUCGAGUUUUAAUACAAUUACUACUAGUUUCUAUUCAACUCAAACUUAUUCUUGUUCUAAGAUAUUCACUCGCACUUCAACCUGAUGAAUGUGAUGAUCCGUAACACUCAUCAUCAUUCUCACCUAUGAACGUGUGCCUGACAACCACUUCCGUUCUACCUAAGAUGGAGCAUUUAUCUCUUAGAUUCCUGGCUUAUGCGUGUUGAUUGCCUCUCCUGACAAUAGAGCCGUCAACUCUUUGAGAUCAGAGUCUUCAUGGUAUAAGCUAGAAUCCAUUGGCAGCAUUCUUAAGAAUCCGGGAAGUCUAAAUCCUGUCUGUGGUAUUCCGAGUAGGAUUCAGGGAUUGAAUGACUGUGACGAGCUUCAAACUCAUGAGUGCUGGGCGUAGUGACAGAUGCAAAAGGAUCACUGGAUCCUAUUCCAACACAAUUGAGAACCGACAGAUGAUUAGCCCUACGUAACCCGUAGUUGGACCAUUUUCACUGAGAGGACGGGAGGUAGCCAUUGACGCCGGUGAAACCCAACAUAACAGCUUGCCAUGGAAAUGAGUAGGAAUGAUUGGAUGAAGACAGUAGGAAAGCAGAGAUUCAAAAGGAACACAGCAUCUCCAUACACUUAUCUGAAAUUCUCACCAAUGAAUUACAUAAGUUCUUCUAUCUUUAUUUUAUGUUUUAUUUAUCUUUAUAUUUUCGAAAACCCAUAACCACUUUGAAUCUGCGUGACUGAGAUUUACAAGGUGACCAUAGCUUGCUUCAUACCAACAAUCUCCGUGGGAUCGACCCUUACUCACGUAAGGUAUUACUUGGACGACCCAGUGCACUUGCUGGUUAGUUGAGCGAAGUUGUGACAAAGUGUGAUUCACGUUUGAGAGCACCAAGUCUUUGGAGCCAUUGUUGAUGAUCACAAUUUCACCCACCAAGUUUUUGGCGCCGUUGCCGGGGAUUGUUCGAGUUUGGACAACUAACGGUUCAUCUUGUUGCUCAGAUUGGGUAAUUUUAUUUUAUUUUGUUUUUCUUUAAUUUCGAAAAAAAAUCAUAAAAUUAUAAAAAUCCAAAAAAAUAAAUAUUUCAUGAUUCUUGUUUGAAUCUAGUGCCAAAUUUUAAGUUUGGUGUUAAUUGCAUGAAUUUAAUUAUCUUGCAAUUUUCGAAGAACAUGCAUAAUGUUCUUGAUGAUCUUCAAGCUGUUCUUGAUGAAUUGCCUUGUUUGAUCUUCAUGAUUCCUUGUUUUGCAUUGCAUAAUGUUUUACAUGUGCAUUCUUGCAAAGCAUAUGGACCAAACAUGAGAAAAUUCUAAGUUUGGUGUCUUCCAUGUUUUCUUUUAUUGAAAACUAAGUUCUUGAUGUUCAUCAUAAUCUUUAUGAUUGUUCUUGGUGUUCAUCUUGACAUUCAUACUGUUCUUGCAUAUAUCUUGUGUUUGAUCCAAGAAUUAUAUAUUUUGACUCAUUUUGCUGUUUUUCAAAAUUGAAAAUACAUCUUCUUGAAUAAAGAAUAUAGCAAAAUGAGGUUUCAAGAACAAAAAGCAGAAGAUUUACAGAGAAAAAGCUGGACAUUCAAAACGCCCCGUGAAGAAGGAAACUUGGCGUUUAAACGCCAACUAGGGUACCUGGUUGGGUGUUUAAACGCCCAAUGAGGAAGAAAAACUGGCGUUUAAACGCCCAACCAGGGUACCUGGUUGUGCGUUUAAACGCCCAAUAAGGAAGGAAAACUGGCGUUUAAACGCCAGCCAUGAUACCUGGCUGGGCGUUUAAACGCCCAAAACAUGCAUCAAGUGGGCAUUAAAUGCCCAAAACGUGCAGCUCCUGGGCGUUUAACGCCAGAAAGCACUAGGGGAGGAAAUUGUUUUCAAAUCAAAUCUUUUUCAAAAUCUUCAUAAUUUUUAAAAAUUUUUCAAAAUCUUAUCUUUUCCAUAUCUUUUCACAUCAAUCAUAUCUUUUUCAAAUUAUAUCUUUUCAAAAUUUGAUUUCAAAAUCUUUUUCUAACCUCUUAUCUUUCCACAUUUAUUAUUUCUUAUCUUUUUUAAAACCACCUAACUAUUUUUCUCUCUCUAGUUUUCAAAAAUUAUUAACUACUUUUUCAAAUUUUAAUUUUAAUUUUCGAAAAAUUUCCCCCCUUUUUCUCAUUUUUUAAAUUGAACACUAACAUUCCUCCUCCAUUAUCAAUUCGAACCCCAUCUCUCCUUGAGUGUUCGAAUUCUUAUUCUCCUUCAUCCUUCUAUUCUUAUUUUCCUCUGACACCUCAAGGAAUCUCUAUCCUGUGACAUAGAGGAUUCCAUAUUUUCUUUGUUUUCUUCUCUUGAGCAGGAACAAGGAUAAAGGCAUAAUUGUUGAAGCUGAUCCUGAACCUGAAAGGACUCUGAAGAGAAAGCUAAGAGCAGCUAAAGCACAAAACUCUGAGGAGGACCUCACUGAAAUUUUUGAAAAAGAGGCAGCCCAAGAAACAACUAUGGCCGAACCCAAUAACAAUGUAAGGAAGAUGCUUGGUGACUUUACUGCACCUAAAUCCAACUUCCAUGGAAGAAGCAUCUCAAUCCCUGCCAUUGGAGCAAACAAUUUUGAGCUAAAGCCUCAAUUAGUUUCUCUAAUGCAACAGAACUGUAAGUUUCAUAGACUUCCAUCAGAAGAUCCUUAUCAGUUUUUAACUGAGUUCUUGCAGAUCUGUGACACUAUUAAGACUAAUGGAGCAGAUCCUGAAGUCUACAGGCUUAUGUUUUUCCCUUUUGUUGUAAGAGACAGAGCUAGAACAUGGUUGGACUCACAAUCUAAAGAUAGCCUGGACUCUUGGGAUAAGCUGGUCACGGCCAUCUUGGCCAAGUUCUUUCCUCUUCAAAAGCUGAGCAAGCUUAGAGUGGAUGUUCAGACCUUCAGACAAAAAGAUGGUGAAUCCCUCUAUGAAGCUUGGGAAAGAUACAAGCAGCUGACCAAAAAGUGUCCUUCUGACAUGCUCUCAGAGUGGACCACCUUAGAUAUAUUCUAUGAUGGUCUAUCUGAGUUUUCUAAGAUGUCACUGGACCAUUCUGCAGGUGGAUCCAUUCACCUAAAGAAAACGCCUGCAGAAGCUCAAGAACUCAUUGAGAUGGUUGCAAAUAACCAAUUCAUGUACACCUCUGAGAGGAAUCCUGUAAAUAAUGGGACGCCCCAGAAGAGAGGAGUUCUUGAAAUUGAUGCUCUGAAUGCCAUACUGGCUCAGAACAAAGUAUUGACUCAACAAGUCAAUAUGAUAUCUCAGAGUCUGAAUGGAUUGCAACAUGCAUCCAACAGUACUAAAGAAGCAACUUCUGAAGAAGAAGUCUAUGAUCCUGAGAACCCUGCAAUGGCAGAGGUAAAUUACAUGGGUGAAGCCUUUGGCAACACUUAUAAUCCUUCAUGGAGAAAUCACCCAAACUUUUCAUGGAAGGACCCACAGAAACAAGGCUUCAAUAAUAACAAUGGUGGAAGAAACAUGUUUAGCAAUAGCAAACCUUUUCCAUCAUCAUCUCAGCAACAGACAGAGCAUUCUGAGCUGAACCCUUCUAGCUUAGCAAACUUAGUCUCUGAUCUAUCUAAGGCCACUCUCAGUUUCAUGUCUGAAACAAGGUCCUUCAUUAGAAACUUGGAGGCACAAGUGGGCCAGCUGAGUAAAAGGGUCACUGAAACUCCUCCCAGCACUCUCCCAAGCAAUACAGAAGAAAAUCCAAAAGGAGAGUGCAAGGCCAUUGAAGUAAUCAAAAUGGCCAAACCUGAGAAGGAGGAGGAGGACAAAAAUUCCAAUGAGGAAUACCUCAAGGAACGUCUACCAUUCAGUAAGGAGUACCCUAAUGAGGAACCAAAGGAAUCUGAGGCUCAUACAGAGACCAUAGAGAUUCCAUUGGACUUCUUUUUACCAUUCAUGAGCUCUGAUGAUUAUUCAUCUUCUGAGAAAGAUGAAGAUAUUGUUGAAGGGCAAGUUGCCCAGUACUUAGGAGCAAUCAUGAAGCUGAAUGCCAAAUUGUUUGGUAAUGAGACUUGGGAAGAUGAACUUCCCUUGCUCACCAAUGAAGAGAAUGCAUUGGUUCAGCAAACUCUACCUCAACAGAGACAGGAUCCUGGUAAAUUCUUAUAUCGGCACCAUGAUCUUUGAAAAAGCUCUGUGUGACCUAGGGUCAGGGAUAAACAUGAUCCCACUCUCUGUAAUGGAGAAACUGGGAAUCUUUGAGGUACAGGCUACAAAAUUCUCAAUAGAGAUGGUCUACAGCUCUACAAAAAAGCCUUAUAGAUUAGUAGAGGACAUGUUGAUAAAGGUUGGAGGCCUUUACAUCCCUGCUGAUUUCAUAAUCCUGGACACUGUGAAGGAUAAGGAUGAAUCCAUCAUCCUUGGAAGACCCUUCCUAACCACAGCAAAAGCUGUGAUUGAUGUUGACAGAGGAGAGAUGAUCCUUUAUGUAAAGGACGAAUGCCUUGUAGUAAGGACUCAAGGUUCUCCCUCUGUAACCAUGAAGAGUGAGCAUGACAAGCUUUUCUCCAUACAGAGUCAUACUGAGCCCCCACAUUCAAACUCUAAGUUUGGUGUUGGGAGGCCACAGCCAAACUCUAAGUUUGGUGUUGAGAAAUCUCAACCAUGCUCUGAUCAUCUGUGAGGCUCCAUGAGAGCUCACUGUCAAGCUAUUGACAUUAAAGAAGCGCUUAUUGGGAGGCAACCAAUUUUAUUUUAUCUAACUUUAUUUUAUCUAUGUAAUUUUUGUUUUCUUUUAGGUAGAUGAUCAUGUGAAAUCACAAAGACACUCAUAAAAAUAAAGCAGAAGUCGAAAACAGCACACCCUGGAGGAAGAACUUACUGGCGUUUAAACGCCAGUAAGGGUAGCAAAAUGGGCAUUUAAACACCCAUCCUGGCACCUUUCUGGGCGUUUAAAUGCCAGAACAGGGCAGGAAGCUGGCGUUUAAAUGCUAGAACAGGAAGGAAAGCUGGCGUUUAAAUGCCAGAACAGGAAGGAAAGCUGGCGUUUAAAUGCCAGAACAGGAAGGAAAGCUGGCGUUUAAACGCCAAAACAAGGCAGCAAUCUGGCGUUUAAAUGCCAGGAUUGCACUCCUAAGGCGUUUUGAACGCCCAAUUGGAGCAGGGAUGAAAAAUCCUUGGCCCCACAGGAUCUGUGGACCCCACAGGAUCCCUACCAACCUCAACUCCUUAUACUCCCCUCUUUCUUAUUUUGCUCGAGGACGAGCAAACAUUUUAAGUUUGGUGUGGUAAAAGCAUUGCUUUUUGUUUUUCCAUAACCAUUUAUGGCACCUAAGGCCGGAGAAACAUCUAAAAAGAGGAAAGGGAAGGUAAAAGCUUCCACCUCCGAGUCAUGGAAGAUGGAAAGAUUCAUCUCAAGGGUCCAUAGUCCAGUGGUAGAGCAUUUGACUGUAGAUCAAAGAGCCACGAGAAAAGAGUAAUAAAGUCAAAGAAGAGACAUAGAGGAGCUCAAAAGCACCAUUGGUCAUUCAAGAGGAGGAAGACACCACCCUCACAAAGGUGGACUCAUUCCUUAAUCUCCUUGUUUAUUUUUUUUUUCUGUUUUUUCGAAUUUUUGCUUGAUAUGCUAUCUAUGUUUGUGUCUUCACUACAUGAUCAUUAGUGUCUAGUGUCUAUGCCUUAAAGCUAUGAAUAACUCUAUGAAUCCUUCACCUCUCUUAAAUGAAAAAUGUUUCUAACUACAAAAGAACAAGAAAUACAUGAGUUUUGAAAUUAUCCUUGAAAUUAGUUUAAUUAUUUUGAUGUGGUGGCAAUACUUUUUGUUUUCUGAAUGAAUACUUGAACAGUGCAUAUUUUUUAUCUUGUUGUUUAUGAAUGUUAAAAUUGUUGGCUCUUGAAAGAAUAAGGAAAAAGGAGAAAUGCUAUUGAUGAUAUGAAAAAUCAUAAAAUUGAUUCUUGAAGCAAAAAAAAGCAGUGAAAAAGAAAAAGCUUGCGGAAAAAAAAAAGAAAAGAAAGAAAAAGAAAAAGCAAGCAGAAAAAGCCAAUAGCCCUUUAAACCAAAAGGCAAGGGUAAAAAGGAUCCAAGGCUUUGAGCAUUAAAGGAUAGGAGGGCCCAAGGAAAUAAAAUCCAGGCCUAAGCGGCUAAAUCAAGCUGUCCCUAACCAUGUGCUUGUGUCAUGAAGGUCCAAGUGAAAAGCUUGAGACUGAGUGGUUAAAGUCGUGAUCCAAAGCAAAAAGAGUGUGCUUAAGAGCUCUGGACACCUCUAAUUGGGGACUUUAGCAAAGCUGAGUCACAAUCUGAAAAGGUUCACCCAGUUAUGUGUCUGUGGCAUUUAUGUAUCCGGUGGUAAUACUGGAAAACAAAAUUCUUAGGGCCACGGCCAAGACUCAUAAAAGUAGCUGUGUUCAAGAAUUAACAUACUGAAAUAGGAGAAUCAAUAAAACUAUUUGAAUUCUGAGUUCCUAUGGAUGUCAAUCAUUCUAAACUUCAAAGGAAAAAGUGAGAUGCCAAAAUUGUUCAGAAGCAAAAAGCUACUAGUCCCGCUCAUCUAAUUGGAGCUAAGUUUCAUUGAUAUUUUGGAAUUUAUAGUAUAUUCUCUUCUUUUUAUCCUAAUUGAUUUUCAGUUGCUUGGGGACAAGCAACAAUUUAAGCUUGGUGUUGUGAUGAGCGGAUAAUUUAUACGCUUUUUGGCAUUAUUUUUAGGUAGUUUUUAGUAGGAUCUAGCUACUGUUUGGGAUGUUUUUAUUAGUUUUUAUGCAAAAUUCACAUUUCUGGACUUUACUAUAAGUUUGUGUAUUUUUCUGUGAUUUCAGGUAUUUUCUAGCAGAAAAUGAGGGACCUGAGCACAAAUCUGAUUCAGAGGCUGAAAAAGGACUGCUGAUGCUGUUGGAUUCUGACCUCCCUGCACUCGAAAUGGAUUUUCUGGAGCUACAGAACUCCAAAUGGCGCGCUCUCAAUUGCGUUGGAAAGUAGACAUCUAGGGCUUUACAGAAAUAUAUAAUAGUCCAUACUUUGUACGGGUUUUGAUGACGUAAAAUGGCGUCAAAACGCCCAUUCUCUGCCCUAUUCUGAAGUCAAAACGCCAGAACUGGCAUAAAAGCUGGCGUUUCAACUCUAAGGAGCCUCUGCUCGAGUAAAAGCUUAAUGCUCAGCCCAACACACACCAAGUGGGCCCCAGAAGUGGAUUUCUGUAUCAAUCAUCUAUUUCUGUAAACCCUAGUAGCUAGUCUCAGUAUAAAUAAGACUUUUUACUAAUGUAUACGGAGUCUUUUAGGCGGGGAUCUUUGGACAUUUAGUCCUUAGACCGUAUCUUUGGAUUAUUUGUUGAUCCUUUGAUCACGUUUUGGAGGCUGGCCUCAUGCCCAUGCCUGGACCUUGUUCUUAUGUAUUUUCAACGGUGGAGUUUCUACACACCAUAGAUUAAGGGUGUGGAGCUCUGCUGUACCUCGAGUUUUAAUACAAUUACUACUAGUUUCUAUUCAACUCAAACUUAUUCUUGUUCUAAGAUAUUCACUCGCACUUCAACCUGAUGAAUGUGAUGAUCCGUGACACUCAUCAUCAUUCUCACCUAUGAACGCGUGCCUGACAACCACUUCCGGUCUACCUAAGAUGGAGCAUUUAUCUCUUAGAUUCCUGGCUUAUGCGUGUUGAUUGCCUCUCCUGACAAUAGAGCCGUCAACUCUUUGAGAUCAGAGUCUUCGUGGUAUAAGCUAGAAUCCAUUGGCAGCAUUCUUGAGAAUCCGGAAAGUCUAAACCCUGUCUGUGGUAUUCCGAGUAGGAUUCAGGGAUUGAACGACUGUGACGAGCUUCAAACUCAUGAGUGCUGGGCAUAGUGACAGAUGCAAAAGGAUCACUGGAUCCUAUUCCAACACAAUUGAGAACCGACAGAUGAUUAGCCCUACGUAACCCGUAGUUGGACCAUUUUCACUGAGAGGACGGGAGGUAGCCAUUGACGCCGGUGAAACCCAACAAUAACAGUUGCCAUGGAAAGGAGUAGGAAUGAUUGGAUGAAGACAGUAGGAAAGCAGAGAUUCAAAAGGAACACAGCAUCUCCAUACACUUAUCUGAAAUUCUCACCAAUGAAUUACAUAAGUUCUUCUAUCUUUAUUUUAUGUUUUAUUUAUCUUUAUAUUUUCGAAAACCCAUAACCACUUUGAAUCUGCCUGACUGAGAUUUACAAGGUGACCAUAGCUUGCUUCAUACCAACAAUCUCCAUGGGAUCGACCCUUACUCACGUAAGGUAUUACUUGGACGACCCAGUGCACUUACUAGUUAGUUGAGCGGAGUUAUGACAAAGUGUGAUUCACGUUUGAGAGCACCAAGUCUUUCGAGCCAUUGUUGAUGAUCACAAUUUCGCCCACCAAGGAUCUCUUCAUCUAAAGAAGACACCUGCAAAGCUCAGGAACUUAUUAAAAUGGUUGCAAAUAACCAGUUCAUGUACACCUAUGAGAGGAAUCCUAUGAAUAAUGGGACGCCUCAGAAGAAGGGAGUUCUUGAAAUUGAUGCUCUGAAUGUCUUAUUGGCUCAGAACAAAAUAUUGACUCAGCAAGUCAAUAUGAUUUCUCAUAGUCUGAAUGGAUUGCAAGCUGCAUCCAACACUACUAAAGAAGCAUCUUCUGAAGAAGAGGCUUAUGAUCCUGAGAACCCUGCAAUAGAAGAGGUGAAUUACAUGGGAGAACCCUAUGGAAACACCUAUAAUCCUUCAUGGAGAAAUCAUCCAAAUCUCUCAUGGAAGGACCAACAAAAGCCUCAACAAGGCUUCAACAAUAAUAAUGGUAGAAGAAAUAGGUUUAGCAAUAGCAAGCCUUUUCCAUCAUCUUCUCAGCAACAGACAGAGAAUUCUGAGCAGAGCCUCUCUAGCUUAGCAACCAUAGUCUCUGAUCUAUCCAAGACCACUCUCAGUUUCAUGAAUGAGGCACGGUCCUCUAUCAGGAAUCUGGAGGCACAAGUGGGUCAGUUGAGUAAAAAGGUUACUGAAACUCCUCCUAGCACUCUCCCAAGCAAUACAGAAGAAAAUUCCAAGAGAGAGUGCAAGGCCAUAACUGUAACCACAAUGGCCGAACCUGGAGAGAGUGAAAAGGCAGUGAUUCCCAGUGAGGAAGACCUCAUGAGACGUUCACUGACCAAUAAGGAGUUCCCCUUUGAGGAACCAAAGGAAUCUGAGGCUCAUACAGAGACCAUAGAGAUUCCAUUGAACCUCCUUCUGCCAUUCAUGAGCUCUGAUGAGUAUUCUUCCUCUAAAGAGGAUGAAGAUAUUACUGAAGAGCAAGUUGCUAAGUACCUAGGAGCAAUCAUGAAGCUGAAUGCCAAGUUAUUUGGUAAUGAGACUUGGGAGGAUGAACCCCCUUGCUCACCAAUGAACUGAAUGACUUGAUUAGGCAGACAUUACCUCAGAAGAAACCGGAUCCCGAAAAAUUCUUAAUACCCUGUACCAUAGGCACCAUGACCUUUGAGAAGGCUCUGUGUGACCUGGGGUCAGGCAUAAAUCUCAUGCCACUCUCUGUAAUGGAGAAACUGGGAAUCUUUGAGGUACAAGCUGCAAGAAUCUUACUAGAGAUGACAGACAAAUCCAUGAAACAGGCUUAUGGACUAGUAGGGGAUGCCUUCGUGAAGGUUAAAGGCCUUUACAUCCCUGCUGACUUCAUAAUCCUAGACACUGGAAAGGAUGAGGAUGAAUCUAUCAUCCUUGGAAAACCUUUCCUAGCCACAGCAAGAGCUGUGAUUGAUGUGGACAGAGGAGAGUUGGUCCUUCAAUUGAAUGAUGACCACCUUGUGUUUAAAGCUCAAGGAUCUCCCUCUGUAACCAUGGAGAGGAAGCAUGAAAAGCUUCUCUCAAUACAGAGUCAAACAAAGCCCCCACAUUCAAACUCUAAGUUUGGUGUUGGGAGGCCCCAACCAUGCUCUGAAUAUCUGUGAAGCUCCAUGAGAGCUCACUGUCAAGCUAUUGACAUUAAAGAAGCGCUUAUUGGGAGGCAACCCAAUUUUAUUUAUCUAUGUUAUUUUAUGUUUUCUUUAGGUUGAUGAUCAUGUGAGGUCACAAAAACAACUACAGAAUUAAAGCAAAAUCAAAAACAGCAUUAAAAACAGCACACCCUGGAGGAUGAGCUUACUGGCAUUUAAACGCCAGUAAGGGUAGCAGAAUGGGCGUUAAACACCCAGUUUGGCACCAUUCUGGGCGUUUAACGCCAGAAAAGGGCACCAGAUUGGCGUUUAACGUCAGAGAAGGGCACCAGACUAGCGUUUAACGCCAGAAAAUGGCAAAAAGCUGGCGUUAAACGCCAGAAAGGGAAGAAAAGCUGGCGUUAAACGCUAGAAAUGGGCAGCAACCUGGUGUUUAACGCCAGGAUUAGCACAGGAAUGGGCGUUUACACGCCAGAAUGGUGCAGGGAUGAGAAAUCCUUGACACCUCAGGAUCUGUGGACCCCACAGGAUCCCCACCUAUCUCAACUCACUCUCUCUCUUCUUCACACCUUCCCAUAACACCCUUCCCCAAAUACUCUUCACCAAUCACCUCCAUCUCUCUUCCCUAAAUACCCCCUCACCAAUUACAUCCACCCAUUCUUUCCCAAAAACCCCCACCUACCUCACCAUUCAAAUUCAAAACCUUUCCCUCCCAAAACCCAACCCUCACACACGGACACCCCUCUCUUUCCGCUCCUAUAUAAACCCCUCAUCACUCCUUCAUUUCCACACAUCUUAUACACUUUCUCCCUACUUGGCCGAACCUUUCUUCCCCCUCCAUCUCCUCUGUUUCUUCUUCUUCUCCGCCCUUCUUUCUUCUUUUGCUCAAGGACGAGCAAACCUUCUAAGUUUGGUGUGGUAAAAAGUGUUGCUUUUCGUUUUUCUAUAACCAUUUAUGGCACCUAAGGCCGGAGAAACCUCUAGAAAGAGGAAAGGGAAGGCAAAAGCUUCCACCUCCGAGUCAUGGGAGAUAGAGAGAUUCAUCUCAAAGGUCCAUCAAGACCACUUCUAUGAAGUUGUGGUCAAGAAGAAGGUGAUUCCUGAGGUCCCUUUCAUGCUCAAGAAGAAUGAGUAUCUGGAGAUCCGACAUGAGAUUCGAAGAAGAGGUUGGGAAGUUCUCACCAACCCCAUUCAACAAGUCGGAAUCUUAAUGGUUCAAGAGUUCUAUGCUAAUGCAUGGAUCACUAAGAACCAUGAUCAAAGUAUGAACCCAAACCCAAAGAAUUGGCUUACAAUGGUUCGGGGGAAAUACUUAGAUUUCAGUCCAAAAAAUGUAAGGUUGGCAUUCAACUUGCCAAUGAUGCAAGGAGAUGCAUGCCCCUACACUAGAAGGGUCAACUUUGAUCAAAGGUUAGACCAAGUCCUCAUGGACAUAUGUGUAGAAGGAGCUCAGUGGAAAAGAGACUCUAAAGGCAAGUCGGUUCAACUAAGAAGGCUUGACCUCAAGCCCAUGGCUAGAGGAUGGUUGGAGUUCAUCCAACGCUCUAUCAUUCCUACUAGCAACCGGUCCGAAGUAACUGUGGAUCAGGCUAUCAUGAUCCAUAGCAUCAUGAUUGGAGAGGAAGUAGAAGUUCAUGAGGUUAUAUCUCUAGAACUCUACAAAGUGGCUGACAAAACCUCCACCUUGGCAAGGUUAGCCUUUCCUCAUCUCAUAUGUCACCUAUGCAAUUUAGCUGGAAUUGUCAUAGAAGGAGACAUCCUCAUUGAAGAGGACAAGCCCAUCACUAAAAAAGAGGAUGAAGCAAACAAGAGAGUCCACUCAUGGACCUCAACAAGAGCAUGAGGAAGUCCCUCAUCAAGAAAUCCUUGAGAUGCCUCAAGGGAUGCAUUUUCCUCCAUACAACUAUUGGGAGCAACUCAACACCUCUUUGGGAGAUUUGAGUUCCAAUAUGGAGCAACUGAGGAUGGAGCACCAAGAGCACUCUAUUAUUCUCCAUGAAAUUAGAGAGGAUCAAAUAGCUAUGAGGGAAGAGCAACAAAGGCAAGGAAGAGAUAUUGAGGAGCUCAAGCACUCCAUAGGAUCUUCAAGAAGGAGAACUAGCCGCCAUCACUAAGGUGGACCCGUUCUUUAAUUUCCUUGUUCUUAUUUUUCUGUUUUUCGAUUUUUAUGCUUGAUGUUUUAUCUAUGUUUGUGUCUUCAUUACAUGAUCAUUAGUGUCUAGUGUCUAUGUCUUAAAGCUAUGAAUGUCCUAUGAAUCCUUCACCUUUCUUAAAUGAAAAAUGUUCUAAAUGCAAAAGAACAAGAAGUACAUGAAUUUCGAAUUCAUCCUUGAAAUUAGUUUAAUUAUUUUGAUGUGGUGACAAUACUUUCUGUUUUCUGAAUGAAUGCUUGAACAGUGCAUAUUUUUUUUAGUGAAGUUUAUGAAUGUUAAAAUUGUUGGCUCUUGAAAAAAUGAUGAAAAAAGAGAAAUGUUAUUGUUUAUCAGAAAAAUCAUAAAAUUGAUUCUUGAAGCAAGAAAAAGUAGUAAAGAACAAAGCUUGCAAAAAAAAAGGCCGAAAAAGAAAAGAAAAAGAAAAGGCAAGCAGAAAAAGCCAAUAGCCCUUUAAACUAAAAGGCAGGGGUAAAAAGGAUCCAAGGCUUUGAGCAUUAAUGGAUAGGAGGGCCUAAAGGAAUAAAUUCCUGGCCUAAGCAGCUGAAUCAAGCUGUCCCUAACCAUGUGCUUGUGGCAUGCAGGUCCAAGUGAAAAGCUUGAGACUGAGUGGUUAAAGUUGUGAUCCAAAGAAAAAGAGUGUGCUUAAGAACUUUGGACACCUCUAAAUGGGGACUUUAGCAAAGCUGAGUCACAAUCUGAAAAGGUUCACCCAGUUAUGUGUCUGUGGCAUUUAUGUAUCCGGUGGUAAUACUGGAAAACAAAGUGCUUAGGGCCACGGCAAAGACUCAUAUAGUAGCUGUGUUCAAGAAUCAACAUACUAAAACUAGGAGGAUCAAUAACACUAUCUGAAUUCUGAGUUCCUAUAGAUGCCAAUCAUUCUGAACUUCAAAGGAUAAAGUGAGAUGCCAAAACUAUUCAGAAGCAAAAAGCUACUAGUCCCGCUCAUCUAAUUGAAACUAAGCUUCAUUGAUAGUUUGGACUUUAUUGUAUAUUCUCUUCUUUUUAUCCUAUUGUGUUUUCAGUUGCUUGGGGGCUAGCAACAAUUUAAGUUUGGUGUUGUGAUGAGCGGAUAAUUUAUACGCUUUUUUGCAUUAUUUUUAAGUAGUUUUUAGUAUGUUUUGAUUAGUUUUUAUUAUAUUUUUAUUAGUUUUUAUGCAAAAUUUACAUUUCUGGACUUUACUAUGAGUUUGUGUGUUUUUCUAUGAUUUCAGGUAUUUUCUGGCUGAAAUUGAGAGACCUGAGCAAAAAUCUGAUUCAGAGGCUGAAAAAGGACUGCAGAUGUUAUUGGAUUCUGACCUCCCUGUACUCGAAAUGGAUUUUUUAGAGCUACAGAUACCCAAUUGGCGCGCUCUCAAUUGCGUUGGAAAGUAGACAUCUUGGACUUUCCAGCAAUAUAUAAUAGUCCAUACUUUGCCCGAGUUUUGAUAACGCAAACUGGCAUAAAAGCUGCAGUUAAACGCCCAAACUGGCACCAGAGCUGGCGUUUAACUCCAGGAAAAGCCUAUGCACGUGUAAGCUUCAAUGUUCAGCCCAAGCACACACCAAGUGGGCCCGGAAGUGAAUUUCUACAUCAUUUACUUAUUUCUAUAAACCCUAGGUUACUAGUUCAUUAUAAAUAGAACUUUUUACUAUUGUAUUUUCAUCCGAAGAUCAUUUUAUCCUCUAGUAUUGGAGGCUAGCCAUUCGGCCAUGCCUGGACCUUCAUCACUUAUGUAUUUUUAACGGUGGAGUUUCUACACACCAUAGAUUAAGGUGUGGAGCUCUGCUGUUCCUCAUGAAUAAAUGCAAAGUACUAUUGUUUUUCUAUUCAAUUCAUGCUUAUUCUUGUUCUAAGAUAUCCAUUCGCACUUCAACAUGAUGAAUGUGAUGAUCAAGUGACACUCAUCACCAUUCUCACUUAUGAACGCGUGCCUGACAACCACUUCCGUUCUACCUGAAAAUAAGCUUGAAUGCAUAUCUCUUGGCCUCCUGGUUCACGACGCAUGAUUGCCUCUCCUGACAACAGAGCAUUCCAUUCCGUGAGAUCAGAGUCUUCGUGGUAUAAGCUAGAAUCAUUUGACAGCAUUCUUAAGAUCUGGAAAGUCUAAACCUUGUCUGUGGUAUUCCGAGUAGGAUCCGGGAUGGGAUGACUGUGACGAGUUUCAAACUCACGAGUGUUGGGCGCAGUGACAGUGUGCAAAAGAAUAAUUGUAUCCUAUUCCGACAUGAGUGAGAACCGACAGAUGAUUAGCCCUACGUAACCCGUAGCCGGACCAUUUUCACUGAGAGGACGAAUGGUAGCCAUUGACAACGGUGAUCCCCCAACAUAUAGCUUGCCCUGGAAAGGAGUAUGAAUGAUUGGAUGAAGACAAUAGAAAAGCAGAAGUUCAGGAGGAACAAAGCAUCUCCAUACGCUUAUCUGAAACUCCCUCCAAUGAAUUACAUAAGUAUCUCUAUCUUAUUUUAUGUUUUAUUUAUCUUUUAGUUAUCAAAAUCCCAUAACCAUUUGAAUCCGCCUGACUGAGAUUUACAAGAUGACCAUAGCUUGCUUCAAGCCGACAAUCUCCGUGGGAUCGACCCUUACUCAUGUAAGGUAUUACUUGGACGACCCAAUGCACUUGCUGGUUAGUUGUAUCGGAAUUGUGAAUAACAAUUUAAUGCGACCAAGUCUUUGGUGCCAUUGCCCACGAGGGAGCGAACAACAAUUCCGUGCACCACACAUAUACUCUUAUUAGAUUUUGUGCAGCCCCCUUCUUGUGCCCUACAUCACCACAAUUAGAGCAUCUUUGAAUUUGACCCCUCUGUGAUAGGUGAUUCUGGCUUCUAUUCUCCUCAUCUCCAGAUCCUCGCUUCCUCUUUUUCACAGGUAUGUGACUUGGCCUCCUAUAUGGAGGUGGCAUGACAUCAUCAUAUUGGGUUCUCUCCUAUAAAUCCGGUCCAUUCAGAGGGUAUAUCACCUUCUGGUAGCAGCACUUCUGGUUAGCAUCUUUCUUUUAGCAAUCAUCCCCAUAGGAUUUUAAAUCUAGUCCUUUGAAGUUAAUGCAACUAAUGGCAUGAGGACAUGAAAUUCCACUCAUCUGCCACUUCCUACAAGAACACUAAGCAGCAGCCAGAUCCACAAUAAAUUUAUCUAAUCCACACAUGACCUCAUAUUUAUUAGUAGCUGACCAGUAUGGCCUCCAGUCCCUAGCUAACCUUGCCCAUUUCUCCAAUUUAUUCCUAAUUAUUGGCAUAAUAUUUUCCUAGUAAAGCUUAAUCCUAUCUCUAUUGGCAACCUAUCUAGUCAUGAGAUACACCAUAAUGUCAUCUAACAUGGUUACAAUAGGUUUUUCUCUUGCCUCUACUAUGACAGCAUUAAAACUUUCACUCAUGUUAUUAACAAGGGUGUCACAUUUUGAAUGAAAUAUAAAUCUAGAACGCGACCAAAACCUGUGUGCAAUGCCGUUUAAAUGUCAAAAUUCCCCAUCAUUACAAGUCUCAGAGAUUUCAUUUCCUUCUCCCAAUCCCUCCAAUGAGUUGCCUUUGCACAUUGCCACAUUCUGUUCUUCAGCUCUAAACUAGGAAAUUUCUAUCUGAAAUUGCUAUAGAGAUGCCUCAUGCAGAGUCUGUUGUCACCCCUGGUAUGACCUCUUCAAAUGCUGGUAACAAACCUUAUGAAAUGAAGGUGAGCAUGCAUUUGGUUAGUCCAGAAAUCAUUAUAUCUAAUUUGAAACAAUCAUUAUUUGUUAAAGCAUAACAAUAAUGUAAACUGUAUCAUUACCUUCUGCUGAUCAGACAUGAAGGUGCAUUUUCCAAUUUUUUCCAACUCCAAAUCCUCAACAAGAUGGCGCAAAAACCAAAUCAAGGAGUCAUAUGUCUCAGCUUCAACCACUACAUAAGCAAUUGGAAGCAUAUGAUCGUUCGGGUCUCUUCCAAUUGCAGUUAACAGUUGUCCACCCUGAGGAGUCUUUAAGAAGCAUCCGUCCAAACUAACAAACGGUCUACAGUGUUGGAAGAUUUUCUUGCAUGCAUCAAAGGAUACAUACAGUCUCUGGAAUACACAAUAAUUCAUCAAGAUUGGGUUCUGGAUCUCCUGAGCAAAAUCUAGGGACCGAAUCAUUUUCAGGUAAACGGAUGAUCCUGGAUUUGCUCUUAGAAGUUCAAACAAUAAUCGUUAAUCCUCUUAUACUGCUCUCUAAAUGCCCUGAAUCUGGCUCAAUGCCUUUUGCUUGGUUUUUACUGCCAUUGAUUUAGUCACAGUCAGAUUCCACUUUUUGUAUGCCUUUGCCACCAACUCCUUUAUUUUGAUUCUUGGAUUAGACUCCACCUUCUUCUUAAACUGGUUGUCUAGCCAUUUGGAGUUCAUUAUGCCAAUCCUGUGUGUUUGCAUGCAAGUAUGUUGCAAAUUUAAGCUUCUUAAUUGCCAUGUUGACUCCUCCCCGCCAAUCCUGUGUGCAUAAAGCCAAAAGAGGCACUCUUUGUGACAAACAGCCCUCUUCCAAUCUGUCCUCCACCUCCUAACUCUCCUGAAACACCCUCGUUAUGUUCCCCACUUUCUGCAUUCUGAAAUUCUAUUUCAACCUCAUCAUCAACUGCUUCAGUCAAAGGGUCAUCAUCCUUUACUAUCACACUCCUUUCUUGCUUUCCUUCAAAUACCAACUAUCUCAACACCAGCACCAUUAAGUUUCUCACUUUCAACGCCCCAAUAACUCCCCCUACAUUAAUAUAACUAACUUUCGGAAAUCCAUCCGCAUCCCCAACAUCAUAGACCACAAACAAAUCACCAAACCCCACAUCUCAGCUAUUUUGCACAUCUCAAUUACAUCUGAGUCACCUUUUAACAUCUUCAAGUUAUUUUCAGAAUCUUCCGUAGUUGGAUCUUUAUACCAUAAUGCUGCAAUGUUGGACUCCAAGUAUCCAAACCGUCUUAACUCUUCACAGGCCUCAACACAGAGCACCGAUUGCCAUCAAUUUUUUCGAUAAUUGUAGUUUGCCCCUUCAAAUGCUUAAAUACCCCGUUCUCAUAUCCGAAUGCACCCCAUGAUGCACCCUCAUGUAAAGUACACCGUCUUCUACUCAAACAACCUUAUUAUUAUUCAACAUAAUACAUUACUAAAACAAACAAGAAAGAAAAGAAAUAGAUCAUCACAAACCUAGCUUUAUCCACCGUCAAUGCAGUCUACAUUAAACCCUAAACAAUUCAGAUGCAGCAACAUUGUUGUAAAGCUUAAACCACCCAAAUGUAAGAAAUAUUUGAGGUGAAGCGACAUUGCAUGGAAAGCAAGCUUACCUCAACAACGGCUAUCUACAGCGAUGAAGAUGAGUGACGAAUGCGACAUCACGCCACACCCUCGGUCAAACUCCUAACAACAAAAUGUCUUCAACUACUAGCGUAGAUCAUCCUCGCAGGAACACUUUUGUAGGGUUUCACGCAAAUGUUUCAAAGACCAAGUGUGUUCUCAAAUAUUGUGAGUUAUUUGAGGAAGACGAAAUGAUUUCACGAGAAUAACAUGAAGGAAAAGAAACCAUAAAGAGCAAAAUCGUCUUUAAAAAGUAUUUUUUAGCCCGAAGGACGAUUUAAAACAAACUCGAACCUUAGGGACGAUUUUGUAUGAAAAAAAGAUUAGAGACAAAAAAAAUUUCGGCCUAUACAUUAAAGACCAAAAUUGUACUUAACCCUAUUGUUUAUUUGGUUAAAUUAUCUAUUUUUAUUAUGAAUUAAGUUACCUUAUUUUUUUUAUAUAAUAUUUUGUAUUUUCAUAACAACAUUUGGCUAAUUUUUUUAAAAAAGUACACAAAUAUAUAAUUAUUAAAUAUUUUAUUGAGUAUAUAUUCAAAUAGGUUCCAAAAAAUUUUGUAUAAGACGAUUUAGUCUUUGACAAUUUUUUAUUAUAAUCAAGGUCCCCCAAACUUUACAUAAACGAGACAUUUUAGAUAUCUAGUUAGUCAAAGUCGUUGACUACUAACAGUAAAAGUAGAUGUGGUCGUUAAGUUGCUGACGUGGCCAUAACGUUGUCACGUGUCGCCAGUCGGACUAAUAGGUCUUCCAAAUUAAAGGACAAAAGCGAUGUCGUUUUUUUUUUUUUUUUGAUAAAAUGCUGCUUUUCUACUUAAAUUCUGAAAUGAAUGACAGAAUACAAGAGUUCUUAUGUGAAUGUCAAUGCAAAAAAUUUUGAUAUAAAUUUGAAUGCGAUUGGUAUAUCUGAAUAUGAAUAUUGUUGUUUUAAUUUAAAUAAAAAUGCAGUAUUUUGUCCAAAAAAUUUAAUUAAAGAACCUAUUAAUUUGAUUGGCGAUACGUAAUAACAUUAUAGUCAGCAAUUUAAUGCUCACGUAGUCUUUGACUGUUAGUAAUUAAUAGCCUAAUUGUUUUAUAAAAUUCGAAAACUUUGAUUGUAAAAAAAUUUCAUUACACCAAAACGUGGAAUAUGAAAUUUUUUGAAUCUUAUUUGACCGUAUAUACUCUAUUUUAUUUAUUAAAAAAAAUCCUAAGAACAUUUGCCUAAUAAUUUCCUAUUUCGAACCACAGGGUUUCCGCACCAGUAAGCCCCCACAAAACCACAAACCAAACGACAAACCCUGCGCCACCUCUUCCACCACCAUCAUGGCACGGAUAGCCAGGUCCUCUGCGCCGCGCCUGCUCUACACCUUCUUCUCCUCCUCCGUGCCCCCGGCAUCUCCAUCGCCGUCUCCGUCUCCGGCGUCGUCCCUCCUUGCCGGUGCAUUCCACCUGCGGCACUUCUCGUCGGGCAACGCUGCUCGAGCGAGGGCGGCGGCGGCGGACAAGGAGCCAUGGUGGAAGGAGUCCAUGGAGCGGUUACGCAACAUCGGGAUCUCUGCUCACAUCGACUCUGGCAAGACAACUUUGACGGAGCGAGUGCUUUUCUACACUGGUCGUAUCCACGAGAUCCACGAGGUUCGGGGCAGAGACGGCGUCGGCGCCAAGAUGGAUUCCAUGGACUUGGAGAGGGAGAAAGGUAUCACUAUCCAGUCUGCUGCUACUUACUGCUCUUGGAAAGACUAUAAGGUAAUAUCUCUUUCUCUGCUAUUGAUAAACUGUUCCCCUUCUCCAAAUGGUUUUGUUGUUUUGCUAUUCCUCAAAUGAUAAAACAAUAUAAAAGUAGUUAUUUACUCCAAUUUUAGUCUAAUUUUUCAAAAAGUAAUUAUUUUUUUUACGUUUUCUGUAAAGAAAAUGUGUAUUGAAGUACCUGUCAAUCUACUAGUGACUAUGAUGAAUCAGUCAGUUUCAUUUCAGUGUUGCAGUUAUGAUUGGAGUUGAGAUUCAGUUGGAUGAAUUUUAUGUGGUUAUGAGUUGACUGAGCUCAGACUGAAUUUAAGUAUUAAAUCAAUUUUGAAGAGCUAAUGAGCUUUUAAUGUAUAGUGAGAUUUGAGUGCUGCUGUUACUGCAAUCCCUAACAUACUAAUUAUUGUUAUGGAUUAGUUAUUAGUUAUGAUGGAUAAUGGAGAAAAGGUUGAAAAGGUUUCUCUGUGUAAUCAUUCUUAAGUGGAAUUGAGAAAAUAAAAAAGUUAGUCUGCUAAGCAAAAGUAAAUUGUCUCGAUGACAGUCAGAAAUGUUGAAACAUUGGAAUAUUGGAAUAAGAAUUCUAUAUUAUACUUGCAGUACUGAUGACUUCCUUCUUUCAUCUCUUUGACUUGCUAAUUAUUUAUACUUUCUAAUUUUUGGGUAUAAAUAUAAUUGUAUCUGUAUUUCUUUUGGGAAAUUUGUCAUUGCAGAUUAACAUAAUUGACACACCUGGUCACGUUGAUUUCACCAUUGAAGUUGAGAGGGUUUUGCGUGUCCUUGAUGGUGCUAUUCUUGUACUUUGUAGUGUUGGUGGUGUGCAAAGUCAGUCCAUCACGGUAGAUUGUUUUUCACCAAUAGAUUAUCAUGAAGUCGAUGUACUGCAUUCUCCUUUAGCUUUAUAUGUAGUUUAGAAUAUUUAAUUAUUUUAUUAAAUAUUGAGUUUUAUUAUUGUGAUGUCAUUUUUCUUUGAGCAGGAAGCAAUUCGUAGGGCCACCAUAGCACUGAAGUUUGUACCAGUGUUCAUGGGUAGUGCUUUUAAAAAUAAGGCAACCAUUGAAUUACCUUUAGUUAUUAUGUGUAUUCUAUGCUAUAUAGUCAUUGCUUUCUGUAUUCCUCCUCUUUACAUUAUUAAUAUGUUGUAUCCUUAUUUUCCAUAUGUACACAAUGCACCUAAUUUGGAUUUUUUUUUUUUUCCUUUUCUUUUUUUGAGAACUUAAAUCCUCUUGGCAUAGUUGCCUCGACAUUCUGUAAUACACAACUGCUAUAAUGGUUGAGUAUGCAUAUCAUAUGGGAUCAUAAAUGGCAUGCAUCAUGUUAGCAGGUAUUUAAUAUUUGUCAGGAUGGCUCAAAAUAUUAGGAGUGUAAAAUAUUCAAAUAUUGCAAGAGGUAGCUUAAGUUGCCCAACCUACUAGAUCCUUUACGUUUGUUUUGAUUGGAUCAUAGAUGUCUGGGAUUUUUGAUCCCAUCAUAUGCCCAAAUGAAAUCAAAUACAGGUCAAUUUAUGACCAUACACAAUAAAUAUAAAGGAAUAAAAUAUUUUGUCCUGAUAAAUUUUUAUUAGAAUGCUGCUGUGUUUAUAACUAUCUAUUACUGACUACUAGUCUCCUAUUUGUGUUCGAUCUCCUAUCUUGCUUGUGAUAUUCUGGAUUGCUCUGUUAAUGUGGCGUGUAAUGUUUUGUAAUUUGUAUCAUUUAUUAAGUUACCUUUUGAUCGGGUUUGUGUAAUUGAUGAAUCUUUUUAUCAUCAAUUCGUCUUGGGUUGGUAUCCUUGCUCUCAAGUUCAAACUCCCAAACCCCCAAGAGGUUCUCUUGUACAUGCAUAUGCUUGCAGGCAUCCCUAUUUUUACCUUCUGCCUCUUAUGCUUUUCAUUGUCUUCUGUUACUGAUACAGGGAGUACAGCCACUUCUGGAUGGUGUACUUAAUUAUUUGCCAUGUCCAAUUGAAGUUAGUAGUUAUGCCCUUGACCAAACAAAGAAUGAGGAAAAGGUACCUGAUUUGUAAGAUGUUUAUCUUUGUUUUGCUUUGAUAUUAUGAUCUAUUUGUCAUAAAUUGUCAAUUGGCCUCUGAAUUUGCAGGCUAUUUUUUAAUGAUGAUUUAUAAGUUUCUUUAUAUUUAUAGAUUAGAUAUAUAUUUGAGUGGGAGUGAAAGAAGAAUAUUUGGUUUGAAGAAUCAUACAAGAAAAUAUAUGGAGAAUAGAGUAAAACCUAGAAAAAGGGGAAAAACAUCAAUUAAGAACUUGUUUAAUUACUCGAAUAAUUAAAUUUUCAUGGAUUUUUUAAAAUGUAAUUACUAGUUAAACAUAAUCUUUAAAAAAGUUAAAAAUUCUCAUGUGGACAUUUUCUUGCAUCUAUAGUAGCAUUUGUAAGACUCCAGGCAGAAAAAGUAAAUACAAAAUGAAAAAUAACAUAACUUAGAUUUAACCGGGAUGAUAACUAUUGCAUAAGUUUUCAAAAUAUAAAUCACAACUUAGUCAAGGGAAGGUUAAAUUAUUUUGAUAGAAAAAGAAAUUUUAUUAGGAGAGAGAAGAAUGUACACAAGAGGAUGGAAUAUCCUCACAUGGAUACAAAAUGGUAUCACCCAACAAACAGGACCAUGUACUAAAGCAUGCCAAUCCCUUUGAAUGUUAGCUAGAGGAAGUGAGGAACACCCUUAGACAGACCAUGUACUAAGCACCAAAGCGAGGCCGAAAAGGUAAUCGUAUCUCAAUUAAAUGAGUAGUCGAAAAGGAGCUGUUAAAAGGCAUGGACUUCCUUUACAAGUUUCAACCGAAUGCGCCAAAACACUGAAAAGUUACCAGUUGUAUUUGCUUCUUGGUAUGAUCCAAAACUCUGAAUGUGGUAAUUAGAAACUGAUGCAAAUCCAUUGGGAAAAACCCAAGGAUUUUAAAUGAUACCAAAAGGCCUCAAGAGUUCUUGCUGUGGCAAUGAGAGGCCUGCAAAUGAUUUUGCAAGCCGAUUUUGCAUUUGUGCUCUUGUUUCUUUUUUUAUUGAAUAAUUUAUCUAUGCACUUUCAGGUUGAGUUGACUGGAAGUCUUGAUGGGCCACUUGUAGCGUUGGCAUUUAAGUUGGAGGAAGGGCGGUUUGGCCAGUUGACAUAUUUAAGGUAAUAUAACUUCAAACUCUUUUUCAACAUAUAUAUGGCAGUAUCAAGUGAGAGAAGUUGGCUGUUAUGAGAGUGAGAGCAAUUCUUGGCUGCAUCAUCGUACAUGAAUGGUUGACGUACUUUAGAGCUCACAUGAUUACAUAUAGAAGUCGCCUCUCGUAUGACUGUAUGUAACAACUGGUACCAAUUGUAGGUAGAAAAGAGAUCAAACAGUACAGAAACUGAAGGAAAUGGGUAAAAUCCAAUGUGGCUUUACCCUUCCCCAGGUCAUAUGUGUUCUUUACUGAGAAAGGAAAAAACAAUGUGUGACAAAUGGCAGACUUUUGAGAGACCUGACUCUCUCCUAGUCUGAUUCUAAUCCCAACAAUCUGAAUGCCCUCCUCAGCAUUUUGUCACCUCCCAAUAUACUCCCCAACUCUCUUUUCUAACAAAAUCAUUUCACUACCCCUCCCCACCAGUCUUGCCACCCAGAGUUACCAGUCCCUCGGGCCCAUAUUGCGCUCCCCUCCUCCCCGUCCUGAGCAUUUUGUUUUUCCACAACCGAGAUUUACUCAUUUUAUUCUCACCAUUAACCAUUUUAUCACUUUCCCUGCGUGUGUUUGUCUGCAUAUAUUUUGUUUUGAAUGUGUUAACUUUGUAAAUUACACAAAAUUAUUGGAUUGUUUUCUCAAUUUUCCCUCCCCCCGGCUUUGGGUGUUG